AAUUAAGCCAGAUGUUGUUAUAUAUAACACCUUGUUUAUUGGCCUUUUUGAAAUACACCAGGUUGAGCGUGCUUUCAAGCUGUUUGAUGAGAUGCAAUGUGAUGGCGUGGCAGCUGAUACCUGGGCAUAUACAACCUUUAUUGACGGGCUCUGCAAGAAUGGUUAUUUUGUAGAGGCAGCUGAACUAUUUCGUACUUUGAGAGUACUCAAGUGUGAACUUGGUAUUGGAGCAUACAGCUGCCUCAUUGAUGGAUUGUGUAAAAUAGGCAAACUGGAAACUGCUUGGGAACUGUUUCAAAGUUUGCCUCGUGUAGGCCUAAUGGCAGAUGUUGUAACAUAUAACAUCAUGAUCCAUGGGCUUUGUAAUGAUGGGCAAAUGGACAAGGCACAUGAUUUAUUUCUUGAUAUGGAAGCAAAGGGUGUGGAACCCGAUUUUGUCAUAUUUAAUACGCUUAUGCUGGGUUUCAUCCGCUGUAAUGAGACAUCAAAAGUUAUUGAACUCCUUCACGGAAUGGAUAAGAGAAAUGUAAUGCCAGACGCAUCUAUACUUUCAAUUGUUGUGGACUUGCUUGUAAAGAAUGAAAUUGGUUUAAACUCGAUUCCACAAUUCAAGAGACAAAAGUAAGCAGACGGGUUGAAUCUUGAUUUAGUAGUGCGUCUCUUCUGCUUUAAAACCAGAUCUGGGGAAUCCCAUUCUUAUUACAACGUGUGAAGGAGUGUUGUGUAUUGUUGGCAUGUUCCCAGGUUCUGUUCAUGGAUUCUGUUUGCAGACAUGGCCGACUCUUUGUCUCAUCAGAUAAGUUUCAAAUAAUUCUGGCAACGUUUUGUUGUAAAAUUACUUUUUUAUCAUUUAAUUCAUAUGUUUUCCUUCUAUAAUGCCUCUUUCGCAUUUCCUGCAAGUGCAAAAUUUUUGAGCUCUUCCUCUUAGACCUCUUUUUCUUCUCUAAAUAGAUAAAAUGGCAUUUCAUUGUUCUCUUGCGAGGUUGCUGGUUUAUGCUGAAACUUUCAGUUAGUUAAAUUGAUUGUCUUUGAAAUUGGAACUUGUAGUUGAACUAGUUUGCAUUUCGAAUAUAUGAGAUUACCAAAUGUAACGGGAAUUGGUGCCGAAUUGAUUAUGUUAUCAGGUUUUUCAGUCUGUGUUCAUCUUUUAUUUCUGUUAAUAAUUAAUAGCACAGCUUGUCUUCUCUGCUUCUUUGGUUCCUGUCUAUUGUCAAAUAUAAACUUGUAAAGACAUUUUGUUUUGGCAUGGCACAUGCUAGAUUUUGUUUUUGGUUUGAAUGACACUACACAUCUAAGUAAUUGUCCAGAUUUUUUUCAUUCCUAGUGACAUGGCACUCAAUUGAAUGGUGACUCAUGUAUCAUGAUUGUGUGUGUUGGUAUUUGUUAUACUACGUGUUGGCAAGACAAAGUUAACCCUUUUUUUUUUUUUUUUUGGCUUUUGGAUUUUGUUUCAUUAUAUAUAUAUAUAUAUAUAUAUAUUGUAUACCGUUAUUAGCUUCGACAACUUGAGUUGCAGUCUUGUGAGUUUAGAACCUGCCAAAGUAAGCAUACACAUGACAAUGAAGAAUUGAAGAUUGUGAACGGUUAUUAGCUAUUGUUGCAAGUUUAGAACCUAUAAAUUGUAUACAGUUAUUAGCUAUUGUUGGAGCCUUAAGUGUGAACUUAUCAUCGUUGCCUACAGUUGCCUCAUUGAUGAAUUGCGUAAAAUAGGCAAACUGAAAAUUGCUUGGGAACUGUUUCAAAGUUUGCCCCGUACAGGCCUAAUGCCAAAUAUUGUAACAUAUAACAUCAGGAUUCAUGGGCUUUGUGACGAUGGGGCAAAUGGAUAAGACACAUGAUUUAUUUCUUGAUAGACCAUUCUCAGGGCACAAAGGGUGUGAUGCCCAAUUGUGCCAUAUUUACUAUGCUUAUGCGAAAGAAUGAGACAUCAAAAGUUUCUUCACUCAAUGGAUAAAAGAAAUGUAAUGCCAGAUGCAUCUAUAGUUUCAAUUGGUGUGCGCUUACUGGUUAAGAAUGAAAUUAGUUUAAACUUGAUGCCAGAAUUCAAGAGACAGUUCAUUAGAUGAGUUGAAUGUUGAUUUAGUAGCCUUGAAGUUUUGAAAAUGUUUCCUGAUGGAUAAAUUGAACUUGUAUGCACACGUGUGAACUAAAAGAAAAAUGAUAUACCAUUGUGGAAUCGAAAUUCUUUUGAAUGGAAAAAAGUUUGUCAGGAUCGCCUGAUUUCUAAUUGAUUUUAAGGGAAAUUAUCAUCGGUAUACCCUUAAAUGUCAUUGGUAUCAAACGUACUACAACACUUUUCGCUUAUAUCACUCGUAUACCCUAAGUUGACAAAAGAGUUCUGGCGUCCAACUUUCCGUUUACUACCGUUAAGAACUUAACAGAAUUUGAGCAAAAUGACUAUUUUACCCUUUAAACUCAAAAUGAGGUAAAAAAAUAAAUUUGCCUUGAAAAUUAAUGUAAAUUUUCAAUACACAAAUUUUUUUUAUUUUGUUUUUAACAAUACAUUUUUUUAUUAAAAAAAUAUGAAUUAUUAAUGGUACAGAUUAUUAACAAUUAUCCAUAAAAAAUAUUCAUCUUAUACCAUAAAAAAUUAUUAACAACAUCUUAUUUAUAAUUAUACAUAUUAUAUCAUAAAAAAUUCAAGUUGGAUCUUGGAGGAGUAGAUCUUCAAUAAUUUAGGUUAAAUUUUGGAGGAGUAGAUUCGGUUGUAAAGUAUGUUUUUUUUAAAGCAAUUAUUAACAAUUAUCUGAUAAAUGGGAUGACAUGUCAUUUUUAUCAAAAUAUAUCAUAUGACAUGUCGUUUUUUACUAUGUAAAUGGGAUGCCAUGUCGUUUUUUAAAAAAAGACUAGAUUACCCUUAUGAUGUCAGCGCUCACAAACGGCAGUUAACGGAUCGGUGGAUGGCAGAAGUGUUUUGUCAAUUUAGGGUAUACGAGUGAUACACUUGAAAAGUGUUGUAACACGUUUGAUACUGGUGUCAUUUAAGGGUAUAUAAUUGAUAAUUUCCCUUGAUUUUAAUAGAAAACGUGCUUUAAGCAUGAGGUAAUACUAUAAAGUUUUUUUAAGAAAGGUUAUAAAUUCCAGUAAUUGAGUCUAAAUUUGAUAUUAUAUUCAUAUGGUAUAAGGUAGAAUAUUAAUUUUAUCAGUUAUAAAAUUUACUAUCUAAUAGAUGAACAACACUUAACAGUCUCAUUACAUUACCAUCAGUUACUCCACUCUCUUUUCCUUCUCCUUCUUCUAAUGUAAUAACUUUAUACUUGCAGAUUGGUUCCUCUGUUUCCAUGAGGCACUAAUAAUAAAUCCACUGUGAUAACUCUUGAGUAUCUACCACUUCGUCUGUAAUUAAAACUCAACAACUCAGAUGAAAAACUUAAAACUAAAAGAGAUACCCAACUCGCAAGCGACUUUCGCAGCCCUAUGGGCUACUACCCUUUCAUUCUAGAUUCUUGCUUAGAGAGAGAGAACUUGUGAAGAAAACUUCUAUCAGUAGGAGAGCGCUUACAAAGUAGAUUAUUUUAUAUUUCUCUAGACUGACUUUUUUACUUUAUCAAAGACAAAAGCAGCAUAAACAAAGACAGAAGAUUAACAAAAGCAUCAAUUGCCAAAGAGUGAAGAGUAUUAUUAUAUUUUAAGAACAUAGGUUAUGACCAACUUAAAAGAAGCAGUUAGGGCUUGUUGGAUAUCGUUUUAAUAGCCUUAUUUUCAUUUUUGUUUUGGGAGUAUAAAUAUAAUACAUAUUCAGUGGGUUGAAUCUAAAAAAUAAAUUAUAAAACAAAGAAUUGAUAUUCACUUUUAUAGUUAUAAAAUUAAGAACCUGUUGAACAUGUUCUCAAACAAAUUACAAAUUAAAUUAAAAACAAAACCCCAAAACAAAAUCUAAAAACUUAUCUUCCUCUCCCAAAAUCUUAUCCCCUCCCUCUCGUUAUCUCAUCACAACGCUGCUUUCUUCAUGGUUGAUACUUCUCUUUUAACCACAACCCACUUGAACUGUGCACUCAUCUUUCUCUCCCCUUCCCUUUUAUCUAGGUCUACUUCACAGCUCUCUCCCUCUUGGUGGCUGUUACUUGUUCAUCAACUGCAAUCCAUCGUCGCAAGGUACGACAUUGGAAUAUUUGACCAAAAACAUGUCAGGACAGAGUGAUGUCUAUCAUGGUUUAUUGCUGCAAGUACAUUAUUUUCUUUGUACUAAAGUGAAUCUUUGAUGUAUUUAUUAAAUUUGGUGGAGCAAUCUUAGUUAAUUUUGAUGAUUUAUAUAUGCAUUUAAUUUCAUUUUUAAUAAUUCAUGUGCAGGAAAUAUGGAUUAUGGGCUUUGCUUGGACUGAUGGUUUGCGCAAUUUCAUUUGGAAUCAAUCAGCUUCAAGGAUAAACACUCAUCCUUUCUUGUGCAUGGGACUUGCUUUUCUUCCAUCCAACAUUUUGGUUCUUUUUUUCUAUGGUAGUAGUUUUAUGUUUUGUGUUGGUGGGAAACUUCAUGCUGCAAUUUUGUCAAACUCUGUUGACAUACCCUAAUCAGUAAUGACUUUGCUGCAUGGCGAAAGCAUAAGCUCAUAGUUGACAUUGUUGUCAUUAGAGCUUGUUUCUAUAAAAUAAGUGUAAUUUGAAAGUACAUUGUACACUAAUCAAUUUGAAUUAUCCCCAACAAGUUUUGAUCAUGCUUGAUGCAUGAUGUCUAUCAUUUAAUUUUUUUUAUAAUUAUUUUGUUUAACUUAUAUGUAUUGUAAUACAUAGCUUAAUUAUAGUGUUAAAACAAUGGCAAUGUAAUUUUUUUUUAUUAAUGCUAAUACUAAAACUUUAUCAUCAUGUAAUACUUUAUAAUUGUUUUGUUUAAAUUAUUUAUGGUAUGUCUGCGUAUUAAUUUAAUAAACAAUUAGUUUUUACUAAAAAAGUAUGACUUACAUUUUUAGCAAAAACUGUUCAUGAAAAUAGUACUACCGAAUACAUUUUCUCUAUUUUUAUCUUUUUUAAUUGUGUUUACCGAACACAUGUUACUGUUUUCAAUUUUAAAAUACAAGAUAUAGAAAAUGAUAUCAUAUGCUUAUUUAAUUCAAAAUGCAGCAACUGCCAAACACUAUAUUUAUUCUCAUUUUUGUUUUUAGAAAAUAUUAAUUCAGAAACAAUACUAAACAAGAACUUAGUUUUAGUACGAAUAAUGUUGUGUUAGUUAUAUAGGCUUACAUGCACCCUUAGAUUUAUUGAAAGUAUCAAACCAACCCCCUAGUUACCGUUGACUGAUAUCUAACCAGUUGACCGAUGUUGACUCUUAAAAGUAACUAUAACAUCUAUAUUGUAAUCUCACUUUAUUAACUAAUAAAUUUUAAAAAUAUAAAUAGAUCAAUAAUAACAAAAUAAUUAAAGUUGAAAUCCAAGAAAUUACCCAAAAAACCAUACCUAAACCAAACCUGAAAACCAAAAUGCAUAAAAUUUCAUUAAUUUAGGUUGUGACAAUGAGUAGUCCACAUUAUAUGAUGAAGGAACAACUUUUGUUAUUUUACCAAGUUAUUAAUGCUAUGUUUACUUACUGGAGCGGGCGUGAGAAGUGUAGAUUUCUCUCACUCUAGAGUUUACUUGCAUAUUCUAAGAGGUGUGGGAAUCCCACUUCUUUGAUCCCACCCAAUUUUAAAGUAUGGAGUGUGAUUCCCACUCCCAUGAGGGAAGGUCCACUCCCAUAACUUUCUUUUUUACCUUUCUUUUAUUAAAUUUACUACAAUCAUAUUUAGUAAAAUAAAACAAAUAACAUCAUAUUUAUUUAAUAAAUAUUAUUAUAUUAUUUUAUAAAAUUCUAUUUAUUAAAAAGAAUAAUAUUAAUCUUAUUUACAUAAAAUUAUUAUUAUAUUUAUUUAAAAAUAAUAGUAUUAUAUUUAUUUAAUAUUAAUAAUUAAUAAUAAUAAAUAGUUUAUUCUAAGAAAAUAUUAAUUUUGCACUAUAUUAUUAAUAAUUAUGUUUCAUUUGUGUUGCUCUUAUCAAUAAUUUUUAAUUUACAUAAUUAAAAUUAAAACUAAUAAAAAAUUAUGAUUUACAUAAUUAAUGAUAUUAAUAAUUAUUGUUAAUUUACAAAUAUAAUGAAAUAAAUAUUUUAUUUCAAAUAUAUUUUUUAUUAAUUUUGUAAUUAAAAGUUACAAUUCUUUAAAUAAAGGUAAAACCAUAAUUUGAAACCAUUUACUCCCCUUCUCAUUCUAGUGAGAGGAAACAACUUGCUUCCACUUCACACCAUCAAUCACAAGAUUCUCACUUCUCAAGAUUUCCACUAUAAUCUAAAAUGUAAACACUGUCUAUAACAUCAAAUAAAAUUCUUAAUUAAGUAAACCAUAAGGUGCUUGCGUAUAAAAAAAAUUAAUAAUAUUAAUUUUCAUAAGAAUUUAUGCUCGUAGUAUUACUUUACUUUUUAUUAACCAUUGCUUCAACUUAUGGUAGAUAUUAAGAGAACAAUAAUAAUAGAGCUAUAAAUGUUUGCGUACUAUCAAUCAACUUAACACUAUAAUUACCAACAAACCCUUAAUACCACAAAUAAUUAAAUUAUUGGGGUUUUAAAAUGACUCUCCAGACUUUGCAAGACUUCUUUAUAUGUAGGUGCCAUGGUUCCUAUAAGUAAUAUCAGCCACACUUUUUGUUAUUGUUAAACAAAAUUUAUAGGUACAAUUUGUGAAUUUGUACAAAAUGUGGUAUUAUACAUUUGAAGCAUGAACCGACAAGACAAUGUUGUGUUAAUAAUAAAGAAAUAAAAAAAAAUUGUAUAAAAUACAGAUGUUGUAGUGUAACUUGGAUUCUUUUUCUUUAUGAUUGCACCUAUCAUGUGAUUAUUAAAAAAACCAAAAAAAAAAGAACUCCUGAGAUUUUAAAAUUUUGUAAUUGUACUAUUUUUGGAUUAUCAGAAGACUUCCUCUCCUUAAAGAUGCCCUUAAUCCAUAAAUGGUCCAAAAAAUAAUUCAUGAAAUGAAUUUAUUAUUUUAGAUAAGUUUCAAGUACGCAUACCUUUUAUAGCUCCAUAUUGCAUAACUCCUCAUUUCAAUCAAUGGAUGCAUUUGUUUACUUUUUCUUUUUUGUAAAUUUUUGAAUGGUCGUAAUUCUAUAGAUAAUUAAUUAAGUGUUAUUGCUUUCAUUAUUUUGUAGAUGCAUAUGAUGGGUGGGGACGUUGGGGGACAUGGAUCUCAAUACACUAGAGGGCUAUAAUAUUUAUUCUUUAAGAGGAACCACAACCAACAACAAUGCUUUAAGUUCCAUUUCAUGUUACUUUUGUGCACUAGAUUGCAUAAACAACAUUUAUUAUCCAAGGUCAGCCUCUCAAAGACUUUGGUUACAAGACAAAGCAUGGGAUUGCGGCCAAAAUUUUCUUGCAGUGAAAGGCUUAGAAGCUGAUGACAGCUGCUGAAUUGUGGGCUCCAAUGGUUUUAAUAUUAUUCUCUUAAAAACAUAUGUGUUGAUUAGAGACGAGAAGAAGAGGAUGAUCUGAUUCAGCCAGUUGUAGAAGAAAGAGCACGCAGUGGAGUUCAGAUUUUGAAUUCUCUUGUUAAAUUGUUUUUAAUUUACUACAAGGUAGAAUACGUUGCAUUGUUAAAAAAUACUUUGAACAUCCUAUUUUUGUAUUACAAAUAUACCAAAAAUUAAAUUAAUUUUUUUCUUUAUUAGUAUAAACUAAAUUUUGCCUGAAUCCUCAUCCUUGUAAGUGGAAUUUUAUUGUGAAACUAAUAGUCCUUCCUAGUUGAACUAACUAUCACUUUGAACAUAUGUGUCAUCUCUAACAACAGCUUCCAAACCUACAGUUGCCUGCUUCUUAGCAUUAGAAGCAGUAUCCGCAUUGGCUUUCAACCAGCCAUAAUUAGGAGGAGGGCACCGUUGUUUCUGUUUGUCAAUUUCCUUCCUUGAACCAUAAGCCAUAAUUAGGAGGAGGGCAAACUUCCAAAUAACAUUCAAAAUGGUGUUGUGAAAAAUUUUCACCCUUUUGGUAAUAAAAAAAAACUUUAUUUCUAGUUCUCUAUUAACAAUCUUACCAUUAAGUUCUCUCUUGAGUAGAAACAUCAUAUAUAUUAAUUUAUUGUUAAUAUAAAAAAAAACUAAAUAUUUAUAACUUAAAAGAUAAGUGUUGAAUAGAGGUAGUCUCACAGAAAAAAAAAGUAUUUCAAAGCAGUAGUGAUAUCAGAAUUUUUUGUAAUGAUACGAUAGUAUCACACUAGAUUUUUUUCCGCAUUACAAAAAGUUUGUAUUCAAGAAUAAAUUAGCAAUAUCAGGAACAAAAAGCCUCCAGGACAUGUCAUAUUAAUUUUGUGAUAUAUUAGUUGGUGGAUCUUCUUUCCACAUUACAAAAAAUUAGAAAUGCAAUCUAAAUCGAUAUCAAUUACUAAUUUUAUAUUGAAUGGGUCCUACAUGAAAAUAAGGGGUAUUUUUAUAAUUUAAGAAAUUAUUAGCGAUUUACCCUAAGUUUACUUUGUGUCCAAAAAUACUAUGAAAACUUUAACUUGUUUAGUUUUUUUACCUUAAUUUAUAAUUUAUAUCAAUCGCUCACUAAAAAGAUAGAAUAACAUCAUAAAAUGACAAAAUAAAAACAAACACAAAUGACAAUACCAAUCAUUUUAUAAGGAUAAUCAAGUCAUUUCGGCACCAAAUUACAUAUUCAAUUAUUUUAAAUAUUAUAAAUUACUUUUAGAUUGAACCCCGGUCAUUUUAAUAAUCAUGGCCAUUUAACCUAUCUAAACAUGAUAUUUCGAGUAGACUUAUGUUUGUGUAGGAAGAUAAUGUAAAAAAAGUGGCACUUUUAUUCAACUGAAUAAAUUUCACAAUUUAAAUAAACAAAAGGAUAAAAUUUCAUAAUUAACUAUUAUUUGAACUAAUUGAUUCGGGAGCCAUGAUUUGUAGCGGUCCCAAAAGCAUAACAUUAUUGUGAGUAAUGUUAUUGUGAGAUAAAUUAUUAAUUCUCGUACUUGCAAAAUAAACGGCAGAAUGCGGUUUAGGGACGGAUUAUCGAGGCAUUUGUUAAUAUUCGGAAAUGAAAAGAAAAGGGCAAAUAAAAUUUUAACUUAUUAUUAUUAUUAUUUUUAAAGAUUGUAACUCAUAUGAUUAGACAAAUAAAGGAGCUAAAGGCCACUUGGCGGCUUCACUAGGAGCUGUUUGAGUUUAAUUCUAUUGGUAAAUGACAAUAGUGGUUAUUUUAUAAGGAUAAUUCAAUCCUUUUGGCACCAAAUUACAUAUUAAAUUAUUUUAAAUAUUAUAAAUUAUUUUUAUACUAAGUGAUGGAUCUAAUUAUUUUAAUACUCAUGACAAUUUAAUCUAUCUAAACAUGAAAUUUUGAGUAAAUUUAUGUUUGAGUAGGAGGAUAAUGUAAGAAAAAUUGACACUUUUAUUCAACCGAAGAAAUUUUACAAUUUAAAUUAGAAACGAUAAAAUUUAAUAAUUAUUGUGAGUAAUGCAUUCUACUUGUAAAUAGUCGGUAUUGGAAGGAAAAGGGCAUAUAUUUCUCUCCUAUUUUGGUAAUUCUCUUCUUCUUCAACCCCAAAUAAUCAAAAGCUCUCCAAUGGCUUUCGUAUCCACAACUCGUCCAUUUCAUUUUACUUCAAUUUCUGUAUCAGCUCUUAGAUGUAAUUUCUCAUCUUCGUUCCCUCAUACCGGGAAACCCACAUCUUCAAUUUUGGAAAAUGAACCCUCCUAUCCGAAUACAACAGCUAAACUGAAGGAGUCGCUACGACUGACGGUCAAAGACCGAGCCUCACUCGAAAAAUUCCUCAGAGAAAGGUUCAAAUCAUCCGGUGAAGGUGAUAUUACUACUAUUACUCCUAAUGAAGCCUUUUGUAUCUUUGAUUACAUGCUCAAUAUGCGCCCUUCUCCGCCUCCUGUCUCUUCCUUUAAUAUUUUGUUUGGUUGUCUUGCUAAGAAUAAACAUUAUGAUACUGUCCUUUCACUCUUCAAGAGACUCAAUUCAACUGGGUUGUUUCCAGAUCUUUAUACGUACAAUAUCUUGAUUAACUGCUUUUGCAAAAUGGGUCGAGUUUCUCCUGGUUUUGUUGUUCUUGGGAGAAUCCUCAGGUCUUGUUUUACUCCAGAUGCUGUGACCUUUAAUUCUUUGAUUAAAGGUUUGUGUGCGGAGAGUAGAAUCAUGGAGGCUGCCGCAUUGUUUACGAAACUCAAAGCGUUUGGUUGUGAGCCUAAUGUCAUUACGUACAGUACUUUAAUUAAUGGAUUGUGUCGAACUGGCCAUACAAUCGUUGCUUUAAAUUUAUUUGAAGAGAUGGCUAAUGGAAAUGGGGAAAUUGGUGUUGUUUGUGAGCCAAACACUGUUACAUACACUACUAUUAUAGAUGGUCUUUGUAAGGAAGGUUUUGUGGACAAGGCCAAGGAACUGUUUCUGAAGAUGAAGGAUGAGAAUAUUAACCCUAACGUGGUUACUUAUAACUCUUUGAUUCACGGUUUUUGUUACGCUAAUGAUUGGAACGAGGCGAAGUGUUUGCUUAUUGAGAUGAUGGACCAAGGGGUACAGCCUAAUGUUGUGACUUUCAAUGUCAUCAUGGAUGAGCUCUGCAAGAAUGGAAAGAUGGAUGAGGCAAGUCGGUUGUUGGACCUGAUGAUUCAAAUUGGUGUGCGUCCAAAUGCUUUUGUCUAUAACACAUUAAUGGACGGGUUUUGUUUGACAGGUAGAGUUAAUCGUGCGAAGGAACUAUUUGUUUCUAUGGAGAGUAACAGGUGCAUGCAUGAUGUUUUUAGUUACAGUAUUUUGAUAAAUGGUUACUGCAAGAAUAAGGAAAUAGAGGGAGCGCUAAGCCUUUAUAGCGAAAUGCUCUCCAAAGGAAUUAAGCCAGAUGUUGUUAUAUAUAACACCUUGUUUAUUGGCCUUUUUGAAAUACACCAGGUUGAGCGUGCUUUCAAGCUGUUUGAUGAGAUGCGGCGUGAUGGCGUGGCAGCUGAUACCUGGACAUAUAGAACCUUUAUCGAUGGGCUCUGCAAGAAUGGUUAUAUUGUAAAGGCAGUUGAACUAUUUCGUACUUUGAGAAUUCUCAAGUGUGAACUAGAUAUUCGAGCCUACAACUGCCUCAUUGAUGGAUUCUGUAAAUCUGGCAGACUCGAAAUUGCAUGGGAACUAUUUCGUAGUUUGCGUCGUGGAGUCCUAAUAGCAGAUGUUGUAACAUAUAACAUCAUGAUCCAUGCGCUUUGUGCUGAUGGGAAAAUGGACAAGGCACAUGAUUUGUUUCUUGAUAUGGAAGCAAAAGGUGUAGCACCCGAUUGUGUCACAUUUAACACGCUGAUGCUAAGUUGCAUCCGCAAUAAUGAGACAUCAAAAGUUGUUGAACUCCUUCACAGAAUGGAUGAGAGAAAUGUAAUACCAGAUGCAUCUACACUUUCAAUUGUUGUGGACUUACUUGUAAAGAAUGAAAUUAGCUUAAACUCGAUUCCACAAUUCAAGAGUCAAAGGUAAGUGAGUUUAAUAUUGAUUUAGUCGCAUGUUUUUUCUGCCUGAAAACCCCGAUCUGGAGGAUCCCAUUCUUAUUACAACAUGUAAAGGAGUGUUGUCUAAUGUUGGCAUGUUCCUAGGUUCUGUCCAUGGAUUCUGUUUGCAGACAUGGCUAACUUCUUGUCCAACAGAUAAGUUUUAAAGUCUUUCGACUUUAUGCUGUAAAAUAACUUUUUUUUUUUUUUUUUUUCAAUUCAUGAGUUUUCCUUCUGUAACACAUACUUCUCAUUAGCUUGAAGUGCAAAUUUCUUAGGCUUUUCCUGUAUGGCCUCUUUUUCUGCUCUAAAUAAAACGGCAUUUUAUUUCCCUGUGAGGGUAUAAGGUUUAUCUUUAAACUUUCUGUUAGUUAAAUUUGUUGUCUUUGAUAUAGGGAACUUCCAGUUGAGCUGAUUUGUAAUUCGAGUAAAUGAGAUUACCAACUGUAUUGGGAAUUGAUGCCAAAUUAAUUAUGUCAUCAGGUUUUUCAAUCAUUGUUCAUCAUUUAUUUCUGUUAACAAUUAAUAGCUGCCUCAUUGAUGGAUUGUGCAAAAUAAGCAAACUGAAAAUUGCUCGGGAACUGUUUCAAAGUUUGCCUCGUGCAGGCCUACUGCCAAAUGCUGUAACAUAUAACAUCACGAUUCAUGGGCUUUGUAACGAUGGGCAAAUGGAUGAGGUACAUGAUUUAUUCACGCUUCUGUCUAUAACACGUUAAUGGAUGGGUUUUGCUGGACGGGUAGAGUUAACCAUGGGGAGGAACUAUUUGUUUCUAUGGAGAGUAUGGGUUGCAAACAUAAUGUUUUUAGUUACAGUAUUUUGAUAAAUGGUUACUGCAAGGAUAAGGUUGGGUGUGCUUUAAAACUGUUUGAUGAGAUGCGGCGUAAUCAUGCGGCAGCUGAUACAUAUAUAUACGGUACCUUUAUUGAUAUGGAAGCAAAGGGUUUGGAACCCAAUUUUGUCAUAUUUAAUACGCUUAUGCUGGGUUUCAUCCGCAAUAAUGAGACAUCAAAAGUUAUUGAACUCCUUCACAGAAUGGAUAAGAGAAAUGUAAUGCCAGACGCAUCUAGACUUUCAAUUGUUGUGGACUUGCUUGUUAAGAAUGAAAUUAGUUUAAACUCGAUUCCACAAUUCAAGAGAAACAAGCGAAUGAGCUGAAUGCUGAUUUACUUGCAUGUUUUUUUUUGGCCUAAAAUCUGGAUCUGGAGAAUCCCAUUCUUAUUACAACAUGUGAAGUUGUGUUGCGUAGUGAUGGCGUGUCCCCAGGUUCUGUUCAUGGACUCUGUUUGCAGACAUGGAUGACUCUUUGUUUCAUCAGAUAAGUUUCAAAGCCUGGCAACUUUUUGUCGUAAAAUUACUUUUUAUUUUUCAGGUCAUGUGUUUUCCUUCCAUAAUGUUUCUUUUUCAUUUUCUGGAAGUGCAAAGUUUUUAUGCUCUUUCUGUAUGACCACUUUUUCUUCUCUAAAUAGAUAAAAUUGCAUUUCAGUUUUCCUUUGUGAGAAGGCUACUAGGUUUAUGUUGAAACUUUCUGUUAGUUAAAUUGAUUGUCUUUGAUAUCUAGAACUUCUAGUUCUACUGUAUUAAAAAAAUAAAAUAAAAAAGAACUUCGAGUAUAAUUAUGCAUCAGGUUUUUCAACGUGUUCAUCUUUUAUUUCUGUUAACAUUUUGGCUUUGGACAUGCUGGAUUGUUUUUGGUUUCAAUGAUACAAAACAUCUAACUAAUUGUCCAAAGUUCUUCAUUCCUUGUGACAUAGCAUUCAAUUGAAUGGUGACUCAUGAAUCAUGAUUGUGUGUUUUGGUAUUUGUAUACUAUGUAUUGGCAAGACAAAGUUUGUUGAAACUUGAGAAACUUUUCUCCGCCUACCAUUCUUGAUUCAUAUUCUUAUGCUAACAAAUCUUGAUCAUGAUGAGUCUCCUCUUUUCUUUACAACCCACAAAUAAAGUCCUGGCCAUAAGCCUCAAGGCCUAUUGGCUAUUGCAGCGGUGAGUUCACUCUCAGGAAUCAGAUCUUUCAAAUUCGAGGAAAUUUGAAAAAAUUGCAAAUGUCUACAAAGCAAAUGUGAUCUAAAGGUCCUUUUUGUUAUCACUCACACAACAUUACUCAAGAGUAUCUAUGUUUUACAGUUGGUUCUGUUGUGAAAUAGCAUUUCUGAUUAUUAUAGAAGACAAUUCUUCGACGCAUGUAUUUGAGAUGCGUAUAGAGCGUUGGAAUUAUAUGCUAAAGUAAGCGUGCAAAUGACAAUGAAGAAUUGAAGAAGGGGAAGGGUUUACUUGUCAUUUUGUUUUGGAAAGCAAUGCGUUUUAUGCGGCGAUUUUUUUUUUCUCUACGUUGUGAAAAAAUUUAACUGAUUUUGAAGAUCCUUAAAGAUCGUCCAUCUUGGUUCUGGCUUUGUUGCAGCCUUGAAGUUUGCAAAACGAUUCCUGCUGGAUAAAUUGAACUUGUAUACACACAUGUGAACCAAAAGAAAAAUGAUACAUGCACCGAAAUACUUGUUAAAUAGAGAAAAGUUUGUCUGGAUAGCCUGGUUUUGAAUUGAUUUUAAUAGAAAACGAGCUUCAAGCAUGUGCUCCAACUACUCUGGCAUGAGGUAAUACUAUAAUUUUUUUUUUUCUUUAAUGAGUGAGGCUAUAAAUCCUGAAUUCCAACUUGACAUGGCAUUAAUCUGGUGAGUGGCAGAAUAUUAAUCAAACAGAGGGGCUAAUAUGCUUUCUGGAAUAUGAUCCGCUGGCAACCGGAAAGCCAAGGAAUUAAUUAUUCCAUUAUUAAUUCCAAUGGCAUCGUUGUAUCAGCUAAAAAGCACAAGAUAAAACAGAUCUACGCACUUGCCCCAUUUAUUUAAGCAUACUGUUGGUUUAGCAUUUGCUUAAAUUUGAAAGUAGAGUGUUUCCAUGCCACAUUGCCAUGACAUUGGUGAUUGGCCUACAUUUUUUUUUUUUUUUUGUGUAAUCUUUUUUGGUUGCAGUAAUAAAAUGUUAAUCCUUUCUUCUCAUGAAUGUUUUCUUGAACUGAAAUGUUAAUAAUUUCUUCAUGUUGAGGCAUUAAACUACUACAGACCUAGGGUGGCAAUAUAUGGAAGUAAAUGGUCGUUUAGUAGGACCCUUUAAUUAGGGUAUUAGCUGCUCAAUUUGGAGAUCUCAUGGACCAACAAUUUAUCUGGAAUGUCACAUUCACAUAUUUGAUUGAAAAAGGAAUUAAGGAAUUUCAGGUGGCCCGGAAACGCAACCGACUAUACCCGGCAAUGGCAGAAGACAUUAUAGAUUAUAGAUUAUUGAGUUAAAUAUGAAUGGUGGGAUUUCAGGUGGCCUAAAAAGUUAAACAUGAAUGUUCUAUUUAAGGUGCUCUGUAACUCGUAGUUCAACAAAAAGUUUUAAAACUAGAUAUUAAAAUGGUGGGAUUUUGUCUUUUAUCUCUUGUUUCUCUUCCCUUAAUCGUUUCUUGGCAUGUUUUAUCAACUCUUCCCUUGGGUCAUUUUGUAGGACGGGUUACACCAGCUAAACACAUGGGAAGGUUAUGUAGACUGGACUCUGGAGGAAUAAACCUGCCCUGAGAGGCCGUCAUGGGGGCAUGCUUUGCUGCUUGUUUUGUCUUGGGUCUGUCUAUUUUUCCUAUUACUAAAGCACAUUUUCCACCGUUUUCUCACAUGCUUACCAUCAUGUAAAAACCUUAGCUGCUGCGUACGAUUAAACGUUUACACUUUAUAGUAAAAGAAAUUACAUAUUAAGAGAAAUAUUAUAUUUGCAUGUUGAUAUGAAUUAGCACUAGAAACAUGAGGCUUGCUAAUUAGAAUUGUUAUAUUGUCGAACUCAGCUGUGGAGGUACUGGAGAAUCCAGUAUAUCUGGCCAAUGCAAGCAACCUUGUGCUGUAUCUUUCAAAAUUUAUGCAUUUUUCAUCAUCCAGCUCUGCAAACAUAGUUACCAAUUUCAUGGGUUCCUCUUUGCUCUACUUGGCUUUUUAGCGGUUGCUUUCUUCAACACCUACAGCAUCUAUGUCAUAAGUGCGGCAAUAGAAUUCACGGUAAGUUUUUUGUUAGGAUCAAACUUUUUAACUUGUUAUAUUUUUGUAAUUUCUUACUAAUAAGGGAGAGUUGCCUAUUUUUAUCCGAUUAUCAUGCCUCAUACAAUUUUCUUGGGAUUUGCUUCGAUGCCUCUGUGACUCACUAUGAAACUCAAAAACUUUCUAAAACUAGCUCCAAAUACACAUUUCUUUGGAUUAAACUUCAUCUGGUACUUCCUCAGCAAACCAAAGGUUUCUUUCAAAUGCUGCACGUGGUCACUCGAGUUGUGAGAUUUUGUGAUAAUGCCAUCCUUAUAUGCCUCCAUUAUGUUCCCAAUCAGCAGCUUGAAGAUCUUAUUCACGAAUCUCUAGUAUGUUGCUCAUACAUUUUUCAAGCUAAAGAACACGACAUUAUAACAAUACAGCCCUUGGUUAGUAACAAAAGAAGUAUGCUCCUCAUCCUGAUCGAACAUCGGUACAUGGUUGUAAUCCAAAAAGGCAUCUAUAAAUGGUGGUAAUGGUUUUACUGGAUGGUCUAGUGGUUCUAAUCAUACUGGUUUUGGUUCUCAAAAUAGAGGGCUACUGUCAACUCCAGGACGUGGGAAUUUUUCCUCUUCGCCAAAUUUCAAUCCUGGUAAUGGUCCUAUCAACAAACCCCCAAUGGGUCUUUUUCCUUUUGGUAAUCGGAUUCAAUGCCAAAUCUGUCAGAAAAUGGGUCACUCAGCUAUUGAUUGCUACAAUCACAUGAAUCAUGCAUAUGAGGGUCGUAUCCCUCCCCAUCGGCUUUCUGCAAUGAUUUCUACAUCAACAUCUUUUGGUUCCCCAAAUUGGUUAACAGAUACUGGUGCUAAUGCUCAUAUAACUCCAGAUAAUGGGAAUUUAAUGCAUCCUCGUGAUUACAAUGGUCAGGAUACCAUCGGUGGUGUCGUCGGUGGUUCAGGUUUGCCUAUUAAAUCCAUUGGUCAUUCUUACUUAUCUGCUAAUUCUUCCACUUUUCUUUUAAAUGAUGUUCAUCAUUGUCCACAAGCUUCCCAUAGUAUUUUAUCCGUUCAUAAAUUUGCUAAUGACAAUCAUUGUAGUUUCACCUUCUUUCUUGAUUAUUUUGUUGUAUAGGAUCUGACAACGAAGAAGACAUUUUUCCGCGGACUGAGCAGUAAUGGUCUUUAUCUAUUUCCUGGUCGAAUUUUUCAACCUAGUCAUCCAUUUGCUUAUGUUGGUGUUUGUAGUGAUGCUCGAAUUUGGCAUUCACGGCUUGGACAUCCUUUGUCCGUAGUUUUAAAUCAACUUAUAUAUUUUAAUAAGCUACUCAUUUUAGGAUCUCGAUCUUUAUUUUUUUGUUCGUCAUGUCCUUUAGGAAAGAGUCAGAAAUUACCUUUUACAUGUUCUUUUUCAGUCUCUCAUUCUCCUUUGGAAUUAAUACAUUCUGAUGUUUGGACUUCUCCUAUUCGUUCUAUUUCUAGUUAUAAAUAUUAUGUUAUCUUUAUUGAUAAUUUUUCCAGAUAUGUAUGGCUUUAUCCUAUGCGAUUGAAAUAUGAUGUUUUUAUAAUUUUUAAAACUUUUAAAUCGUUGGUCAAAAAUAUGUUUUCCACUACUAUUAAGUCACUUCAAACUGAUGGUGGUGGUGAAUAUGUUAAUCAUCAGUUUAAGGAUUAUCUAAAUACUCAUGGCAUUAAUCAUCGUCUCACAUGUCCUCAUCAUCCUGAACAAAAUGGUAUUGCUGAACGUAAACAUAGACAAAUUGUUAACAUGGGCUUAACUUUACUUGCACAUGCCUCCAUGCCUACUACUUAUUGGACUAAAGCUUUUUAUACAUCUGUAUAUUUAAUCAAUCGUCUACCAUCUCAAUCUUUAAAAUUUCGAGUACCGUACUCUUUACUAUUUUCUAAAACUCCUCAAUAUGAUUUUUUAAAGAUCUUUGGAUGUGCAUGUGUUUUCUUGGGAUACUCAUUCAAUCAACAUGGAUAUCGUUGUUUGCAUAUUUCCUUCAGGCACUGUAUUUAUAUCUCGUCAUGUUCUUUUUAAUGAAAAUUUAUUCCGUUCGUUGACCAUGUUACUACUAGGCCUCCGGGGGUGAGUACUUCAAUGUCAGAUUCUACAGGACUUAAUAUUCUUUGGAUUAAUGCUAAUACUUCACAUUCAGCUCUAACAGAACCUACAUCACAAUCUCCUUCCCAAGCCAAGUCACCAUCUUCAUUUAAUUCACCUUUACCCCAUUCCUUAUCAUCUCCAAUUAAUUCUCCAUCAUUACGUUCAAGUGCCUCUUUAUCUUCCUCCACUCCACUCAUCUCAAAUACAAAUUCUCUUAGCCUUAAUUCGACCCCCACUAAUUCAAGUAAUAAUACAAUUCCAGAAUCAUUAUCUUCACCUACACUAACACCAUCGAUGCCCUGUGAUAAUAUUAUCUUCUCAUCCAAUGGUCACUCGAGCAAGAGCCGGUAUUGUGAAACCAAACCCAAAAUAUGCAAAUGUAGUUACUAAUGAUGCUGUUGAGCCUAAUGGUUUUGUACAGGCAAAUAAGGAAUCUCGUUGGCGACAGGCAAUGGGUGAUGAAUUUAAUGCUCUUCAAAGAGCUGGUGCUUGGGUAUUAGUUCCUCUACAUCCAUCUUACAAUGUCCUUCUAAAUAAAUGGGUGUAUCGAAUUAAGCGAAAAGCUGAUGGAAGUAUUGAGCGUUAUAAAGCUCGUUUAGUUGCUAAUGGUUUUCAUCAACAACCUGGCCUUGAUUUUGGUGAGACGGUCAGUCCAGUGGUUAAUCACAAUAUCAUUCGUCUCAUUUUAGCUAUAUCUGUUACCAAUAGCUAGUCUAUUCGACAGUUAGAUGUGCAAAAUGCUUUCCUGCAUGGUUAUUUACAGGAGGAUGUCUAUAUGCGCCAACCUAUUGGUUUUGUUGAUCCACAAUAUCCAACUUUUGUGUGCAAGCUUCGCCGAUCUCUCUACAGCCUUAAACAAGCUCCUAGGGCAUGAUUUCAAUGUUUCUCUAGUCAUUUAGAACAAUUGGGCUUUCAUGAAUCACUAGCAGACUAUUCUCUAUUUAUUUAUUCACAUGAUUCAGUGCUUUUAUAUUUACUUAUCUAUGUUGAUGAUAUUUUAAUUACGGGAAAUAGUUCAUAUCAUAUUUCUCAAAUGAUACAUCAUAUGAGCAAAUUAUUCUCUAUGAAAGAUCUUGGUCCUGUACAUUAUUUUCUAGGUAUUGAAGCUACUCAAAUAGCAAUGGGGCUCCACUUGUGUCAAACCAAGUAUAUUCUAGAUCUUUUACAUAGCACUGAGUUCCUUCAUUCAAAGCCUAUGACAACACCAACAAUGAGUGGUCGUCGUCUCAGUCUGUUUGAUAGUGAUUUACUUUCAAAUCCCACCGAAUAUCGUAGUGUUGUUGAUGCUUUGCAAUAUCUUAUAAUCACUCGUCCGGAUAUUUCAUUUGCUGUUAAUCAGGUUUGUCAAUACAUGCAUCGUCCUACAACAACUCAUUGGUGUGCAGUUAAACGCAUCUUGCGGUAUUUGAAAAGUACAACCACUUAUGGUCUGCUUUAUUCAUCUGGUUCAAUGGAACUACAAGCCUUUUCUGAUGCCGACUAUGCUGGUGAUCCUGAUGAUCGAGUAUCCACAGGGGGUUCUUACAUAUUUAUUGGACCUAAUCUCAUUUCCUGGAGUUCUAAGAAGCAAAAAAGGGUUUCUCGUUCCAGUAUUGAGGUUGAGUACAUACAGCUUGCAUAUACAACUGCUACUUUAUCUUGGUUUCGAUCUUUGUUCAAAGACUUACAUAUUCCUCUGUCUUGUCCUCGCAUGUGGUGUGAUAACAUAAGUGCCAUUUCCUUGGCCUGCAAUCCUGUGUUUCAUGCCCAGACUCGUCAUGUAGAGGUUGACUAUCACUAUGUUUGAGAAAAGGUUAUUCGUGGAGAGCUUGAUGUUCGUUAUAUCUCUACUCUCGAUCAACUUGCCGAUUGUCUUACUAAAGGCCUGUCUACUUCUCGCUUUCGCUAUCUAAUUUCCAAGCUUCCAAUUCGUUCUUGUCCUGUCAGCUUGCGGGGGUGUGAUAACGAUAAAGAUAAAACUUAAAAUAUUCUUAUCGUUAGUCUUGUAAUUAUCUUUGUAGUUAUCGUUUGUCUUGUAAUUAUCCUUGUAGUUAUCUUGUAAGCUAAUGUUUAUCAUAUGUAUUCUUAGCUUGUACAUAAGUUUGUUUGAAGUCACUUGGAAUUUAAAAAAUCCUAUGCUUCAAUAUAUUAUUAAUCAAAUCCCCUUAUAUCUUGGUAAAAUCUUUUUUACUCUUUCAUUCGCAAGGAGCUGGAUGAUGGCUGGAAAUAAGGAAAUUCAUUUUUUUUGUUUCACCCCAAUUGUUCUUGUAUUUGCAUAUUGCCAUAUAUCAUAAAAUACAAAUUUAUGUAUGUCAAAAUGAAAUCGAUCUUAAAAAAAAAAAAGAUCUCGCGUUACUGCCGCUCACACACCCCCAUGCCGCAGCUGCUAUUAAUUCUGUUUGGCGCACCAGCAUUACAGCUUCUAGCUUUUCUUUAUUCCUUAAGUUGAUAUUGUUCCUCUUUAUAGGCUUCAAGUUAAUGUCGUCUUCAGUCAUUCUAGAGUCGCUUACUUUUGAUCUGGCUAUUGUUGUUUCUACCUCCUUCUUCAUUAAUUGCCGUCAGCCGCAUAAGGGAAGGAUGUAAGUUUAUGUUUACGAUUCCUAAUGGUGAUGAAUAAGACAUGGCGUAAGAGAUAUGUUAACUGAAUUUAGUGUGUUUUCUAGGAUCAUAUGCAAUACAUAUGUAUUUCUUGUAUAAUUGUUGUUUGUAUAUUGUAUUUCAAUCGGGCAUGGCUAUCUUUGUCUUACUCUUGUACAUUUCUAUUACUUUAGAUAAUUAUUAAGGUGUAGAUGGCUUUCACGGAUAAAUAAUAAGCCAUUUUAGGAGCUUUUCGUGUAAAAAUAUAGAACUUAUACUGUUGAAAUGUCGAGUAUACUUAGUAGUUGAUAUUUGUUUAUAUUUUUACAUUAAUCUGGGAUGGGAUUUGAACUUUAUAACCGAAAUUGAAUCUAAACCAAAAUUAAGAUAAGAAUAUUCAAACUAAAUCGAUCCAAAAUGCAAACCUAAACCAAAUUGCGCUAAAUUAAAUUUGAUUUAGUUUGGUUUGGGUUUACUCUCUAAACCUGAUUGGAUUGACUUCUCUAACCCAAUUAAGUUUGAGCCCAAAUUGAAACCUAAACAACCUGAAUCGAAGCCCGAUUUGCCCACCCUUAUGAUACGAACCCAUCCAAAAAAUAACGCAACCCUAAUCAAUUUAAUCUCCAAGAUUAAAUAGAAGCGCUACCCAAUGCUCAAUGAAAGCAUGAACCUUAGUAUGUGAGGACGCUACAAUCAGUUAUGGAUGAUUUGAUUAUAAGUUAAGAGUUUGAAUGACACAAAAAUUUGAUAAAUUUAAAGAGUUUGUUUAAGAAUAAAAAAGAAUUAAUUCUCUCACCAAUUGCAUCAAAAUUUAUUUGUCUUUGUUUAUUAGAUGCGAGUACAUUAUAUAGAAUUGGUUACAAAAAUUUUUAGAAAUAAAUCCUAAACCGAAAUCAAAUUGGAAUCCUAAUCUAAUGCAAAUAAGAAAAGAAUUUUAAUUAAAUCAGAAUCCUAAUCAAAGCAAGUAGGAAAGAAUCUAAAUCGAGUCAAAAUUAUAAUCUAAGUAAAUAGGAACGAAUUUAAAUUACACCAAUUAAAAUAAAAACUCAACAAUUAAAAUAGAAAUAACUUAUUGUUUCUCUACCAGCCUCAUCCAGAAAUGAGAAAGUAUUCAAAAAGAAAAGUAGUAUAUUUUUCAAAUGGAAAAGUAUUUGAAAAAGAAAAAUAAGAUAUUUUCCCGCCGUAAUGUGCAAGCCAACUUCUUAUUUUAUGGAAGUGAUUAUUUGGAAACUUUAAGAGCCGUAAUCAUGCAUUUAUCACGUGCAAUUCCUUUAAUAGGCCUCCAUAAAUUUGAUUGAGCCUCAAUUACUUGAAUAAACACAUUAAACGCUUCUUUAAAUUUGUUUGUUCGAGCUUUAGUGACAGGUCCGAUGAUAACUUGAAUAGGAUCUGAAUAUAUCUAAUCCCACAUACUUAUGAUAGUUUUGUCCUCAAUCUCAUCAUUUUACUUCCAUAAUCUCGACCCAAUCUUUAAAUUUUUUUCAUGCUAGCUUGACUUUACUAUGACUGCCUUGAGAUUUUCAACUGGUUUUUAUCUCCCUUUCUUGAAAUCUGUUUAAGUGUCAAGUUAUCUACGUGGCUUCUUUAGUCGCGGACACAUAAUAGCACCUAACAAUUCUCUAGUCACCCUGUACAACUUUCGCCACACUAUUUACUCAUUCUUUGAGUGCCAUGUAAUGGUUAGACAUCAUGGACUUGCUAAUCCUCAUAAAGGGUCUUCCAAAAAUUAUUUGAUAUGGGCUGUCUUCCUCGACUAUUAUAAAAAAUCUGGCAUGAUGGUCUUUUCAAAUGGUCUGGAGCCGAUUGUUACUAGCAGCUCUAGGCAUUAAUUUUCUUCUUCUAUGUCCUUUCAAAGAACUGUUGGUGUGCUUGUUGGGUAAAAAUUCAAAUGCUAUGGGUGUCAAUGUGUAAGUGUACACAACAAGUAAUAUAAUGAUAAGUAUUCAAGAUUAUCUCCACAGGAGUUGAUGUUACGGAAAUUACUACAGCAACUUUAACAAUUCUGUUUGAAGUGAAAGUAGAUUGAUUAAUUAAACUAAUAAACCACCUAAUAAAAUGCAAUAAGUAAAUAUGCAGAAAAGCAAACUCUCAUGUCAAACACAAAAAUAAAAUCAAUAGGAAUGAAGUAGUUGAGUGACUAAACUCUCUUAAUGGAAUUGACUAUUUCUUGCAAAUUUCGAUCCAGUUGCUACAGCACUGGGCAGAAUCCUCAUGCAUCAUCAGCUGUCGCAUGUUAGAUGUCUUAUAUCUAUAUGCAACCUAACAAUGACCAAUUGUUAUGCCAACAUAAUAUAUAACAUUACACAUUUAGGUUCUAUUACCCUAUAAGGUGAAUCUCUAUAUCUUGUUCAUCACUAACAUAAUAUAUGACCCUUUUUGGAAUCAAGUUGAACUCAAUUUAGGAACUCAAUCUAAAACUAAAUAUUAUUCUGAUAUGUUCCACUAAGAUAGGUCAUUUUGUGGCUCUUUCCUAGCUUGUAUCAUUAAGUGGGUGGUCAGCCAAAAUAAUGACUUUAAAUAAACACUAUCACAACAAAAUGUUAUAGCAAACAUGCAGCCAGGGACAUAGCCAGGAUUUUGAUCGAGUUGGGGCACAUUUAAAAUAAAAAAUGACUCGAAUGCGCGAUUGCUCGUGUGGUAAAUGUGGGCCCCACAAACUCUAAAUGGGAGCUUGCCACAUGUACAAUCGUGCUCCUUAUAGAGUGUCUCUGCAUGCAUCUAAUUAAAACGCUAUUAAAAUAUAAUACACUUCUAAAAAUUUAAAUGGCAAUAUAUAACAUUACAACUAUAAUAUUCAUUGAUAAUAAAUUUACUUAGUAUAAUUAUUCUCAGUGAAAACUCCUCAAUGAGAUUUUAUGAGUUGAAAAUAAUGCAUUAUCAAUAUAAGUAAAAAUAUAUUUUUCAAUCUACAAGACUAGGUUAUAACUUAAUUUGCUCUUAAAAUCUUUUAAUAAUAACAAAAAAUAUUUAUAUAUUGCAACACACAAAACAAAAUGAAUGCUAGAUAAAAUUCUAGAUUUUAAAACUAGACAAAAGAUUAUCAGAAAAUUAAAAAUUAGAAUUGGGUAGACUUACAACUUAUGGUUCAAUGUCGAAAGACCAACUAUUUAAUUUGGCUUGAAUAGAAAACAAAAAGAUUAAAGACUGGUCCAUUAACCAUUUUACUAACAUUUUGUUGUGAUUUUUUUUCAUUUUAAUAUUUGUUCUUGUGUCUUUAAUUGAGUUUCAUGAAAUGUUAAUAACUAAUUAAAUUAUUUAUAAUUAGAAAUUUAAACUAGGGACAAUAUGAAAUAUUUCAAAAUUACUAGAGUCAAUUUCAAAUUUUACAAUUCAGUUGGGGUAUUUUUCAUAAAUAACAAAUAAAAUACAAAUUUUUAGUAUAAUUUUUUUAAAAAAAAUUUAAAAGGCAGCAGGGGCAUGUGCCUCAGCUCGUCCCAUGCUGGCUCCGUCUCUGCAUGCAGCAACAUAUAAAUUCAGUUAAAGAGCCAUUAAAGUUGUUUAUCACUCAACCACAAGGAAUAUUAGUUCAUGAUUUUCAAAAGGAAACUAAACAACAAAGUUUCAGCCGGCAAAUACAUUCUCAUGUCAAAAAAUUAAACAAUAAAUCAAAAUAAGAAUAAGAAAGACUGAAUUCCAAUUGAUUCCAGCAAACUUCUCCACUGAUGCAGUCUUGAUUCUUGCUCCUGAAAUCUAUUUUUCCUUGUUUCUUUUCUAUUUAUGAUCUUGGUUGACGGCCUCCUUUUUUUCUUUUGUACAUGUGCCUAUGUUAUAGUACAAAAUUAGGGUAAAUGGAAGUUUAGAGCGCGCAUCUUCCCGAUUAGGAAAUUGUAGAUUGCAAUCCGUUAAGUAUCUUGCGCGAAAUCUUCUCCGUCAUUGUUCCCAGAUUGUUACAUCACGGUUUGCUACAACAAUAGCUACAGUAUAUGCACUGUUCCAAAUUUACUCCAAUUCUUCUAUAGCCGUAUUCUUUUGUCCUUUUUGCAAACCCAUUGCUACAACAUCCUUCCCAUGAAAAUUUAACUUUGGGUUACCUACAAUUAUACAUGUGUUUUAAGGACAUAAUUAUUAGAAAUCAAGCAAAUUUUAUUAAACUUAAACUAAAAUGAAUGUUAAUGUAAACUAUCAUUAAAUGCACUAAAACACAUCAAUUACCCUCUAAGUAAUCUUGAUUUAAGUUUAAAAGUAUCAUGAUAAUCUUAUUUCAUAGAGUUAUCAAUGCUCUAACUUCAAGUCGCGCGAAUCUAUAAGGAUUCUUAUGAAUUCUUUGCUCGUUACAUUAGCUUUUAACACCAAAACAUCUUCAUGCAAGUAUAGUAUCCCUUCCUCAUCGUAUUAUGUCCAAAUGAUUGGAACUUGCUUGGUUCUUGCUCAUUUUUUCAAUAAAGCAUUGAAGAGAAUAUCAUGACUUGUUAUUGCAUACCUUUUGUAGUACUUCUAGGCUUUGUUAGAGUUAUUUACAAGAGUUGGCCCUCUUACAAUAACUCUAUCUACUGGCUCUUCAAAAAUCAUAUCACCAGUAUUCUUUUUUGCUGUAUGCACUGUUGAUCUGUCAUUGGAUAAGAACUGUCAAUAUACUUAUUCAAAUAAUAAUUUCUUACCAGAACUUCUACUUAUUUUUUUAAGUCGUGACACUGUGGUUUGGUGUGGCCAUGGGUGUUAUUCAUCGCAUUAUCCUAUCUCUUAGAAAAUUUUGGCAAGUAAGGACUAGUGAAGGUAGGUUUGGGUUUUGGUUUAGUUGACCUUAUAUUUUGAGUUGGGUUAACUUGGAUCGUUAUAGUGAGGAUGGCUAUCAACUAGUUAUAUCAUUUCAAGUAGCUCUAUUUAGAGAGGGGUGGGGUUAAUUUCUUUUUACAUAGUAUGGGGAGAUAAGAGUGGCCAAAAUCGAAUUUAGAUUGGAUUCGGAUCAAUUUGAUCAUAUAUUAAAUUUUUCGGAUUGAUUAAAAAAACUCAUCUGAAUGUACUGGAACUUCAAUCUAAUAUGAAUAUAUUUGGAUCAGAUGAAUAAUUUGGCUUAAGUUAGAUUUGGAUCGGUUUGGUAAAUCUCAAAUUUAAUUUUAAUUUACAGGUCACUAAACUCAAUGGAUAAGACAUAAUUUGUAUAUCUCUGUAAUAAACAUUCAAUUUUGAUAUUCAACUACAUAGAUAGAAGAAAAAUAAGUCAUUUACAUUACAAUUGUGGUGCAUAUCACUGAAAAUUAUCAUAAUAAUUCAUAUUUUUCCAAACAAAAUUAAAAGAAACCAUAAUUUAAACAACAUAAUAAGCAAAUAGAAUUUCUAAAGAAAAGGAAAAAGAGUAUAUGUAAGCUAGAAAAAGAGAAAUCAUGUAUUAGAGAAGAAAAGAGCAUUGUUGCACAAAAACAACUAAUACCAAAACUAAUAAAAAAAAUCUCAUAUUCAUUUUCCAAUUUUCUCAUAAGCUUACGCAAUUCUUCCUCUUCUACUCUUCAAAAUCAUUUGCCAAUUUUCUCAAUUUUCUCAUAAGGUGAUCUCUGGACUUGUGAUGAGAAAAUUACUUGAGUAACUUACGGCUGCUUAGGUUUGGGAUUUUGGGGAAAACAAGUUAGGUUUACACAUUACAAACUUCACUAGUCAAAUUGUCGAAUUACAUCCGAAUUAGAUUUGAUCCGAUUAUAAUCUCAUCGGAUUGGGUUGUUUCUAUUUAAUCAAAUUACAACAAUAGUCCAUAUUCAAUUUGAAUAUAUUUGGAUUGAAUCAAAUCCAAUCCUAUGCUGACCCUUAUGGGAAUAAGUAGCCGUCCUUAUUAUGACCGCUCUACUCACUGAUGGUUUGUCAUGAUGCCUAACUAGUCCACUUAUUUUUUAGCUCUCCUUUCAUUUCGUUUUAACUCCUCAAGUUACUCGUCUCUAACUCUUGCUGCUUUUUCCUCCUCGAUUUCAAUAUCCACCUUCACCUAGUCAUAAGCAGCCGAAUAAGAGUUUAUUAUUGGGUUCCUUAAGUUAUACCAUAAUUGCCCUAUCUUUACUCCCUCUUUUAAUCCCUUCAAGGCCUGAAGAUGAUUGAAAGCUCCAUGGUCAAGGAUUGUUUGGUGAUAUAUCUUGAAAAAUCUCUUAGAGUUUGAUUUUCUUCUUACUCGAGCCUCAUUGGCUCUAUCAUGUCAUCCUUUGGUGUUAUUGCUCCUAAAAAAUGUUCAGCAAAGUCUCCAUGCAAUUGAUCAGAAGUUCUGAUGCUUCCCUAUGGCAAUUUGCGAUACUAAUCAUGUGCAUGCUAUUCUAAUGUCAAUGGAAACACUCCACACCACUGUAGUGGUGUCAAACCAUGUACUCUAGUCAUCUCAUUAAAUUGUUCUAUAUGCAUAAAAGGUCACUCUUUCUGGAAUAUUUUAGGUUCAAAACUAAUCCCUUGAUAUUGUUGUGCUCAUGAUUUUUGCUGAGAGUAAGAUUCAUUAUCCAUAAUUAUUCUCCGGCUCAGUGCUCUUUCAAUCCUAUACUUCUUCAUAAUUCGUGCUAAUCUAUGCACCUUAUCUUCUAAUUUCCCAACGCGACUUGGGUUCUACACCCUUAUCUACUUGUAGUCAGCGUUCUGUUUAUUCCAUAGAUUUUCACCGAAGUAAGUUUGGUUGCUCUCCAAAAAAAAAAAAAAAGAAAUCACCUAAUACUUUCGGGGCAAGGCAAGCUUCCAAAUAACAUUGCAAAUGAUUUAGUGAAAAAGCUUUCAUCUAUUCCGGUAAUUUAGAAGCACUUUAAUUCAAUUCUCUCUUAAGAGUCCUAUCACUUUAGGAUGAUUUUUAAGUAAAAUCCUUGUAUAGAUUAUAUUUUUGUUAAUAUAACAAACACUAAAUAUUUAUGAUCUGAAAGAUAGUUGUUGAAUGGAGAUCGUUUCACACAAAAAAGUAUUUAAAAAGAAUGUGGUAUUGUAAUAUUAAAUAAUUUUUUGUAGUGAUAUAAGAGUAUCACACUAGUUUUUUUUUUUUUUUUUUUUUUGCAUUACAAAAAAUUGAAAAUAAGAUCUAAGUAAUUUCAAGAAUAAAUUAGCAAUAUUAGGAACAAGUUUUACGAAAAGCUUCUGGGACAUGUCAUACAAAUUUGUUAUAUAUGACAGUCUCUACUAGAUCUUUUUUCCACAUUACAAAAAUUAGAAAUGAGAUCUAAAUCGACCAAUUAUAAAUUUUAUAGUGAGUGGGUCCUAUAUGAAAACAAGGUUUUUUUUUUAUUAUAGUGUAGUCAAUUAUCAGCCAUCUACCCUAAGUUUAUUUUAUAUUAAAAAAUACUAGGAAGAUUUAAUUUGUUUAGUUUUUUACUUUAAUUUUAUAAUUUGUAUUAGUUGUCUACUAAAAGGGUCCGGCUACGGUGCAAUGGUGAUACGGUACCACCGUUGCAUUCAGUCGUUGGAUCCACUUGGAUGAAUGGAUCCAGUGAGAUCCAACGGCUGGAUGCAACGGUGGUACCGUACCACCGUUGCACCAUAGUUUUCUCCCUACUAAAAAGAUAUAAUUAUCCUUACUAAAUGACAAAAUAGAAACAAAUACAAAUAAAAACUGCGGUCAUUUUGUAAGGGUAAUUCUAUCUUUUUAGCAUCGAAUUGCAUAUUAAACUAUUUUAAGUACUUAAAAUAAUAUAAGUUCUUUAUCAAAUAAAUAAAAUUUUAAACUAUGUAUUUACCAAAUAUUUUAAAAUCACAGCUCUUCUACUACAUCUCCAAAUAAAUUCUUAAAAUCAUAAAUAACUAAAUUAAUGGGGUUUUAAAAGGACUCUCCAGACUUUGCAUGAUUUCUUUAUAUGUAGGUGCUGGGUGAUCAUGUUGGUUCCUAUAGGUACCAUCAGCCACACUUUUUGUUAUUGGUGAAAAAAUAAUUUUGGGUACAAUUUGUGAAUUUGUAUAACGUGCGGUAUUAAACAUUUGAAACAUGCAAUGACAGUAAUCUAAUCAAUAAUUAAAAAAAAAUUGUAUAAAAUACAUAUGUCGUAGGCAACUCGGAUCCUUUUCUUUAUAAUUCCAUAUCAUGUGAUUAUCAAAAAACUUCUUGGGAUUUUUAAAUUUUGUAAUUGCACUAUCCUUGAAUUAUCAAAAGACUCUUGAUAAUGUUCUUCUUCUUAAAGAUUCCCUUAAUCUGUAAAUGGUCCAAUAAUUAGUUCAUAAAACGAAUUUAUUACUUUAGACAAGUCUCAAAUAUACAUACCUCUUAUAACUCCGUAUUGCAUAAUUCCUUACUUAAAUGCAUUUGUUUCCUUUCUCUAAAUUUUAGAAUGGCUCUGUCUACUAAAUUUCCUCUUUAAAUUUGACUGCCAACUGGGAAUUUUGCCAAAAUUUCCACCCCAUCUUACUCUCUGAAAUAUGUCCUCCACGUUACUAUAGCAAAUUUAACAUCUAGGAUACUGAAAACAUUUUGUUUUAAUUUUUAAAUCUUUAGCUGUUGAAAAUAGGUCUUUAGCUGCUCAUCAGGAGAAAAUUUUCAUCUAAAACUUUUUUUGAUAAGGCAAGCUUCCAAAUAACAUCCAAAUGGUUUGGUGAAGGUUUUUCACCUUUUCUGAUAAUCCAAAAGCACCUUAUUUCUAGUUAUCUCUUAACAGUCUUAUUACCUCAGGUUCUCUCUUUAUUAAGUAAAACCUCAUAUAUAUUAAUUUGUUGUUAAUAUAAAUAAAAAUUAAGUAGUUGUUUGUUUUUUCAACUUAACGAAAAGUUUUCAUUCAUUAAAUUAUUAUCCCAAACUUUUUAGCUUUUUACUUAAUCUAAAAAGUAUGAAUAAUAUCAUUAAAAGAUAUUUUCCAAAAUAUCUCUAUCUAAUUAAUUAAUUUUCAUCAUUAUCCGAAUAAAAUUUAAUAAUUAGUAUUAUUACUCAUCUCUAUAACUUAUGAUAAUAUAGUGGUAGACUAUUACGAAUUUUACCAUCUUAUUUUCUUCAGAUUUGAAUUAUUUAUCUUCAUAAUUUUUUAUGACUAUUCUUAGUAUAAAAACAUCAUAAAUUAUAAUAAAAUGGAUUGACAUAUACUAAUUUAGAAUAUUAAAAGGUUGUGUUCAAUUGAAAAUAAUUUAUGUUAUGAUGAUAUAUUAUCUUUUAUAUGUUCUUUGAAAUGUUUAUUAUUUGAUGAACAUUUACAAUAUGUUAGGACACAAAUGUAGAAAUACUAAUUUUUAGAUUUUUUUAAGUUAAAAGAUAAACAACUUAAUAUUUAUUUUUAACGAUUCAAUAAAAAAACAAACAUAUAAUUAAGAUUUAGACAUUCAACUCUAUUCAAAAUUCAGACUAAUUCACACAUAUUUAGAUUUCAGACAAGAAACAUAUGCCACCUAAAUGUUUAUGACUUAAAAUUAUUUAAUAAUCAUGGCACAUUUAACCUAUCUAAACAUGAAAUCUUGUGUAGACUUAUGUUUAAGCAAGAGGAUAAUGUGAGAAAAUUGACACAUUAAUUUACAAUUUGUAGGCCAACUGAAUAUUUUUUGUUUGUUUUUUUAUUUUGAUAAUAAAACAAGCCUCGCAAGAGCUUAGGUUUUUAGCCAACUGAAUAAAUUUUCCCACUCAAAUUAGAAACAAUAAAAUCUAAUAAUUAUGAGCCCAUCAGACAAACAGUGAGACAUCAUAUUGUUAAUACCUACUCGUAAAAUUAACGGGAUAACACGGUUUAUGCGGACAGAUUAUCAAGGUAUUGUUAAUACCUUCUGUAUCGGUAUUUCUUUUUUUCUUCUUCUUCAACCCCAAAUAAUCAAAAGCUCUCCAAUGGCUUUCGUAUCCACAACUCGUCCAUUUCAUUUUACUUCAAAUUCAAUAUCAGCUCUUAGAUGUAAUUUCUCAUCUUCGUUCCCUCAUACCGGAAAACCCAAAUCUUCAAUUUCGGAAAAUAAACCCUCGUAUCCGACCGCAACAGCUAAACUGAAGGAGUCGCUACGACUGACGGUCAAAGACCGAGCCUCACUCGAAAAAUUCCUCAGAAAAAGGUUCAAAUCAUCCGGUGAAGGUGAUAUUACUACUAUUACUCCUAAUGAAGCCUUUUGUAUCUUUGAUUACAUGCUCAAUAUGCGCCCUUCUCCGCCUCCUGUCUCUUCCUUCAAUAUUUUGUUUGGUUGUCUUGCUAAGAAUAAACAUUAUGAUACUGUCCUUUCACUCUUCAAGAGACUCAAUUCAACUGGGUUGUUUCCAAAUCUUUAUACUUACAAUAUCUUGAUUAACUGCUUUUGCAAAAUGGGUCGAGUUUCUCCUGGUUUUGUUGUUCUUGGGAGAAUCCUCAGGUCUUGUUUUACUCCAGAUGCUGUGACCUUUACUUCUUUGAUUAAAGGUUUGUGUGCGGAGAGUAGAAUCAUGGAGGCUGCCGCAUUGUUUACGAAACUUAGAGUGUUUGGUUGUGAGCCUGAUGUUUUUACAUACAAUACUUUGAUUAAUGGAUUGUGUCGAACUGGCCAUACAUUUGUUGCUCUAAAUUUAUUUGAAGAGAUGGCUAAUGGAAAUGGGGAAUUUGGUGUUGUUUGUAAGCCAAACACUGUUACAUACAAUACUAUUAUAGAUGGUCUUUGUAAGGAAGGUUUUGUGGACAAGGCCAAGGAACUGUUUCUGCAGAUGAAGGAUAACAAUAUUAACCCCAAUGUGGUUACUUAUAACUCUUUGAUUCACUGUUUCUCUCAUGCUGAUGAUUGGAAUGAGGCCAAGUGUUUGCUAAUUGAGAUGAUGGACCAAGGGGUACAGCCUAAUGUUGUGACUUUCAAUGUCAUCAUGGAUGAGCUCUGCAAGAAUGGAAAGAUGGAUGAGGCUGCCGCAUUGUUUACGAAACUUGGUGUGUUUGGUUGUGAGCCUGAUGUUUUUACAUACACCACUUUGAUUAAUGGAUUGUGUCGAACUGGCCAUACAAUUGUUGCUCUAAAUUUAUUUGAAGAGAUGGCCAAUGGAAAUGGGAAAUUUGGUGUUGUUUGUAAGCCAGACGCUAUUACAUACAGUACUAUUAUAGAUGGUCUUUGUAAGGAAGGUUUUGUGGACAAGGCCAAUGAACUGUUUCUGCAGAUGAAGGGUAAGAAUAUUAACCCCGAUGCGGUUACUUAUAACUCUUUGAUUCACGGUUUUUGUUAUGCUAAUGAUUGGAAUAAGGCCAAGCAUUUGUUUAUUGAGAUGAUGGAUCAAGGGGUACAGCCUGAUGUUGUGACUUUCAAUGUGAUCAUGGAUGAGCUCUGCAAGAAUGGGAAGAUGGACGAAGCAAGUAGGCUGUUAGAAUUGAUGAUUUUGAGAGGAUUGAAUCCCAACACAUCUACUUAUAACACAUUAAUUGAUGGUUAUUGCUUAACUGGUAAAAUAGAUUGUGCUAGGGAAUUAUUUGUUUCUAUGGAGAGUAACGGGUGCAUGCAUAAUGUUGUGAGUUACAACACAUUAAUAAAUGGGUACUGCAAGACUAAGGAUGUAGAGGAAGCUUUAAAUCUUUAUAGGAAAAUGCUGUCUAAAGGAAUUAGGCCAACAGUUGUUACAUAUAACACCUUGUUUCAUGGCCUUUUUGAAAUACAGCAGGUUGACCAUGCUUUAAAACUGUUUGAUGAGAUGCAGCGCAAUGAUGUGGCUGCUGAUACCUCUACGUAUAAUACCUUUACAGAUGGGCUCUGCAAGAAUGGUUAUAUUGUAGAGGCAGUUGAAUUAUUUCGUACUUUGAGAAUUCUCAAGUGUGAACUUGAUAUUCAAGCCUACAACUGCCUCAUUGAUGGAUUAUGUAAAUCCGGCAGACUUGAAUUUGCGUGGGAACUGUUUCGUAGUUUGCCUCGUCGAGUCCUAAUGGCAAAUGUUGUAACAUAUAACAUCAUGAUCCAUGGGCUUUGUAACGAUGGCCAAAUGGAUAAGGCACAUGAUUUAUUUCUUGACAUGGAAGAAAAUGCUGUGGCACCCAAUGUCAUCACAUUUGGUACACUUAUGCAUGGUUUUAUCCGAGUCAAUGAGCCAUCAAAAGUUAUUGAACUUCUUCACAAGAUGAAGGAGAAAAAAGUAAUGCCAGAUGCAUCUAUAGUUUCAAUUGUUGUCGACUUACUUGUAAAGAAUGAAAUUAGUCUGAACUCACUUCCGUCAUUUCCUGUCCGAGAGCGACAGGGGGAAGUUGAUGAGUCAAAUGUCAAGUAGUAGCAGCAUGUGUUUUGAGCCUAAAAACCUGAUCUGCAGCAUCUCAUUCACAUUGCAAAAUGACGUCGCCUGGUGACAGCAUGUUCUCUCUGGUACUGUUCAUGGAUUCUUGAUUGUUCUCGUGAUCAGAAGAGUCUCAUUCAUAUUACAAAUCCUGAUCUGGACAAGCUAGCAUACGUGAUCACCAACUGCACAUGGUUGUUGAUGCCAGAUUAAGUAUGGUAUCAUGUCUUUCAACUUGUUAUUCACUAUAGUCUUUCACCCUCUGUCUUGUUCUCUCUUAAUGACCCAUUGCUUUAGAAGCUAAUGAAUUAGUUGAAGCUUGUCACUUUAUUGGCACUGACUAUCAUUUAUGCUUUGAAUUUACAGCAUAUUUUAUCCUUACUGUACUCUUCGCAUAGUUACCUUUGAGGGCUGCUAGUAUGUAAAACUAAAAGACCUUAUAUAAGCUUUUCAGUGUAUAUCUGUUCUGUGAAAUGAUUCAUUCUGCAAGGCCCUAGGCUUAUGACUCAUCUAUGAAAUGAUUUACCCUCACCUGCACACAGGCAUUUGUCCCUUUCGAGCAAUCUUCAAACAAUGUGAAAAAAAUGCUUGAAACACGACACAGACUUCACUGUUUACAUGAAAAGCGGCAGAAACUUGUGAAAUUACCGAUUAAAAAGUACCUACUGUGAGGAAGAUGCUAUAAAACUCACUCGGAAAAUGUAAAAUGGUUAACAGACAUCCACCAGAAGCACAAUUCAGAACAUGGGCUGCUUUUGGCUGCCCGGCUUUCAGAAGUCAAUAUUUAGAUGAACUUUGGGGAGAUUAGGAUCACCAGUCAGUCAGAUUUAGAUAGAAAGUGAGAGAUUGCUAUUGCCGAGUCAUUGCUUCUAUCCUAAAUGCUUUGAUCUACCUGAAAAGUAUAUAAAUAUCGGGGUUAAAACAGAGCAGUUGAAAUCGUAUUGAUGAACUCAACUGAGAUAAAUGAUAAAAGAAAACUAACCUACAUUCUGUACAAAACUCGCCCAUCUUCCUUUAAGAGCUGACUUCCCAAGAAGAGAUCACCACAAUAGUUCACAUCAACAGUCUCCACUUGAGAGUUUUUAUAACCACAAUAUUCAUUCCAUUCAAACCACAUCCUUGAGAUCAGUUCCUUCUUCAGGAGACUCGGCAGCAACCAAUCUAUAUGCAUAAGCUUUCUUUGUUUGGCCUGGCUGGAAAGCCCAGCCGAUUGCUUGGCGGAUUUCUGAUGGAGUACAGGGAACAUCCAGAAUAAUGAUCCAAAUUUUUGUGGACUUACAUGUAAAGAAUGAAAUUGGUUAAACUCGAUUCCACAAUUCAAGAGUAAAUGAGUUUAAUCUUGAUUUAGUAUCAUGUCUUUUCUGCUUUAAAACCAGAUCUGGGGAAUCCCAUUCUUCUUACGACAGGUGAAGGAGUGUUUGUGUAUUGCUGGCAUGUUCCCAGGUUCUAUUCACGGAUUCUGUUUGCAGACAUGGCUAACUCCUCGUUUCAGAUAAGUUUCAAAGUCUGGCAACUUUUUGUUUCAAUUCAUGGGUUUUCCUUCUAUGAUGCAUCUUUCUCAUUAGCUGUAGUUUCAAAUUUUUUAGGCUCUUCCUGUAUGACCUCUUUUCUUCUCCAAAUGGAUAAAAUUUGUUUUUCAUUUUUCUCCUGCGAGGGUACAGGUUUAUGUUGAAACUUUCUCUUAGUUAAAUUGAUUGUCAUUUGAUAUUGGAACUUCUAGUUGAACUAGUUUGCACUUCGAAUAUAUGAGAUUACCAACUCUAAGGAAUUGGUGCCAAAUUGAUUAUGUUAUCAGGUUUUUCAGUCUGUGUAAUUGUCCAAAUUUUUUUCAUUCCUAGUGACAUGGCAUUCACUUGAAUAUGAAAACCUACGUGUUCGCAAGACAAAGUCUGUUGAAACUGACAAACUUUUCUCUAUGAAUAUUGAAGACAAUAUAAUAAGAUAAAAUUAAUCAAAAACAUCUAUACUUGACAGGGCUGGAACGUCUGUUAUUAGUCCUCGCCUUCCAUUCUUGUUUCAUCUUCUUCUGCUAACAAAUCUUGAUCAUGAUAGUCUUCUCUUUUCUUUGCAACCCACAUAUAAAGUCUCGGCCAUAAACCUCGAGGCCUAUUCUCUUUUGCAAUGGUGAGUUCACUCUCAGGAAUCAGAUCGAAUUUGAAGAAACUGCAAGGGACUACAAAGCAAAUGGUGUGAAGCUCCUUUCACUUAUCACUGGCACAGCAUUACUCUGGCAAAUGGUUUAAAAUACCAUUCGCGUUGGAAGUUCAAUCAUUACUGUUUUUUUUCCCCCUCUUUUUACUUGCUCUUGCUAUUUUUGUUGUCUGAAAUUAUCUGAAGUUCCAUGCAUGCUCCAAUAGAACGAGUAAUGUAAUGUAGGUGCUGACCAACUCCAAAUAAGUAGUUAGUUGCCUAGUAGUUGCUUUCCAUGAAAUUUGUUUUUGGUAUGAAUAAUGUUGUCUUAAUUUUACAAGCUUCCGUGCAACCCCUCAUUUAAUAUUAGAUUUAUCCGUUGAUUGAUGCUGACUCUUGAAAGUAAUAUAAUAUUGUAUAAAUAUAAUGAAAUCUCACUUUAUUAAUAAAUAUAAUUUAAAAUAAAAAAUAAAAAAUAACUAAAGUUGAAAACCAAGGAGCAACUUCUAUCCUCUUAGUCUCUUACCAAGUUAUUAAAUAUAGAGCAGACAAAGGUAUAUGUAUAAUAUAUAUAAUUUUCUUCAUGAUUCAAAAUCAUAUCUCAAAUGUCAAAUAAAAUUCUCAAUUAAGGGUGUUCGGGGAUUAGAUUUUACGAAUUUUAUAUUAUUAUCGGAUAAGAUAUAAUAUGGUAUUAAUGUAAUUAUAUUUUAACUUAUUUAUUUAGUAGUAAGUACUAAUGUCAUAUUUAUAAGUUUUAUUUUUAAUUAAAUAAAUAUUUUUUAUUAUUUUUAGAUUCAUGAAUUUUUAUAGAUUUACAUAAGUAGAUUCAUAUUCAAUCCACCGAUUACAAAUUAUCAAAUUUUCAAUCUAAUUUAAUCUAUCAAUCUAUAAAUUAUUUUAAAUAUUAUAAAUUAUUUUUAGACUGAGUGAUGAAGGGUCAUUUAAACAAUCAUGGUCAUUUAAUCUAUCUAAUCAUGAUAUUUCGAGUAGACUUAUGUCACAUUUAAUCUAUCUAAUCAUGAUAUUUCGAGUAGCACCCGAUUGUGUCACAUUUAAUACGCUGAUGCUAGGUUGCAUCCGCAAUAAUGAGACAUCAAAAGUUGUUGAACUCCUUCACAGAAUGGAUGAGAGAAAUGUAAUACCAGAUGCAUCUACACUUUCAAUUGUUGUGGACUUGCUUGUAAAGAAUGAAAUUAGCUUAAACUCCAUUCCACAAUUCAAGAGUCAAAGGUAAGUGAGUUUAAUAAUGAUUUAGUCGCAUGUUUCUUCUGCCUGAAAACUCAAUGUGGAGGAUCCUAUUCUUAUUACAACAUGUAAAGGAGUGUUGUCUAAUGUUGGCAUGUUCCUAGGUUCUGUCCAUGGAUUCUGUUUGCAGACAUGGCUAACUUCUUGUUCAACAGAUAAGUUUUAAAGUCUUUCAACUUUAUGUUGUAAAAUAACUUUCUUAUUAUUCAAUUCAUGAGUUUUCCUUCUGUAACACAUACUUCUCAUUAGAUGGAAGUGCAAAUUUUUUAGGCUUUUCCCGUAUGGCCUCUUUUUCUGCUCUAAAUAAAAUGGCAUUUUAUUUCCCUCCUGUGAGGGUACAAGGUUUAUGUAUAAACUUUCUGUUAGUUAAAUUGGUUGUCUUUGAUAUAGGGAACUUCCAGUUGAGCUGAUUUGUAAUUCGAGUAUAUGAGAUUACCAACUGUAUUGGGAAUUAAUGCCAAAUUAAUUAUGUCAUCAGGUUUUUCAAUCAUUGUUCAUCAUUUAUUUCUGUUAACAAUUAAUAGCACAGCUUGUCUUCUCAGCUUCAUUGGUUCCUCUAAAAAAUAAUCUUGUAAAGACAAUUUUUUUUUUUUGGCAUGGUAAAUGCUAGAUUGUUUGUGGUAAAUACAAAAUUGAUACAAUCAACUUGUAUGAUAAGUUUUAAAAGUUUAUUCAUAUUUAUAUUACAUAAUUAAAAGUUCAUUCAUAUUUAUAUGAGAUAUCUAUUUUAGGACACAGUUUAAUAAUCAUGGAAACUAACCAUUUAAUAACAAUUAUGGUCGUUUAACCUAUCUAAACAUGAAAUUGUCAGCUGGCUUAUCUUUGAGUAGGAGGAUAAUGUAAGAAAAUUAAUAUUUUAAUGUACAAUUUGUAUGCCAAGCGAAAAAUUUCACAAUUUAAAUUAGAAAAAAUAAAAUUUAAUAGUUAAAUAUUAUUUGAGCCAAUUGACUAGUGGGACAUUAUUUGUUACUGUCCAAAAAGCAUAACAUUAUUUUGAUAAAUGGUUACUGCAAGAAUAAGGAAAUAGAGGAAGCGUUAAGCCUUUAUAGCGAAAUGCUCUCUAAAGGAAUAAAGCCAACAGUUGUUACAUAUAACACCUUGUUUCUUGGUCUUUUUGAAAUACACCAAGUUGAGCGUGCUUUAAAACUGUUUGAUGAGAUGCAGCGCAAUGGUGUGGUUGCUGAUACCUCUACGUAUAAUACCUUUACUGACGGGCUCUGCAAGAAUGGUUAUAUCGUAGAGGCAGUUGAACUAUUUCGUACUUUGAGAAUUCUAAAGUAUGAACUGUGGUGUCCAAUUUCAUCACAUUUGGUACGCUUAUCCAUGGUUUUAUCCGAAUCAAUGAGCCAUCAGAAGUUAUUCAACUUCUUCACAUGAUGAAGGAGAAAAAAGUAAUGCCAGAUGCGUCUACAGUUUCAAUCGUUGUCGACUUACUUGUAAAGAAUGAAAUUAGUCUGAACUCACUUCCGUCAUUUCCUGUCCAAGAGCGACAGGGGGAAGUUGAUGAGUCAAAUGUCAAGUUGUAGCAGCAUGUCCUGUCCAUUGCUUCAAUCCUAAAUGCUUUGAUCUACCUGAAAAGUAUACAAAUAUCGGAGUUAAAACAGAGCAGAUUAAAUCGUAUUGAUGAACUCAACUGAGAUAAAUGACAAAAGAAAACUAACUUUUCCUGUUCAAAGCUCGCACACCUUCCUUUAAGAGCUGACUUUCCAAGAAGAGAUCACCACAAUCGUUCACAUCAACAGUCCACUUGAAAUUUUUUAUAACCACAAUAGUCAUUCCAUUCAAACCACAUCCUUGAGAUCAGUUCCUUCUUCAAGCAAGUGGGAUGGUCUUCCUCUUGAGGAGACUCAGCAGCAACCAAUCAAAGCACAAUAAAGGUAACAUCCAGAAUAAUGAUCCAAAUUUUUGUGGACUUACAUGCAAAGAAUGAAAUUGGUUUAAACUCGAUUCCACAAUUCAAGAGUUAAUGAGUUUAUCUUGAUUCAGUAGCGUGUCUCUUCUGCUUUAAAACCAGAUCUGGGGAAUCCCAUUCUUAUUACAACAUGUGAAGGAGUGUUUGUGUAUUGUUGGCAUGUUCCCAGGUUCUGUUCACGGAUUCUGUUUGCAGACAUGGCUAACUCCUCGUUUCAUCAGAUAAGUUUCAAAGUCUGGCAACUUUUUGUUGUAAAAAUAACUAUUUCAUUAUUCAAUUCAUGAGUUUUCCUUCUAUGGUGCAUCUUUCUCAUUAGCUGUAGUUUCAAAAUUCGAGCGAAUUUGAAGAAACUGCAAAAGACUACAAAGCAAAUGGUGUAGAGCACCUUUCACUUAUCACGGGCACAGGAUUACUCUGACUUUCUGCAUUUUACUGUUGGCUAUGGUUUGAUGCAUUAUUUAUUGUUCUCAAAUACCAUUCUCGUUGGAAGUUCAAUCAUUACUGUUUCUUUUUUCCCCCCUUUUUACUUGAAGUUACCUGAAGUUCCAUGCAUGCUCCAAUCGAACAAGUAACGUAGGUGCUGACCAACUCAAAAUAAGUAGUCAGUUGCCUAGUAGUUGCUUUGCAUGAAAUUUGUUUUUGGUCUUAAUUUUACAAGCUUUCAUGCAACUCCUAAUUUGUUGGAAGUAUUAACUCAACCCGUCAUUUAAGGUUAGAUUUAACCAUUGACUUAUGUUGACUAUUAAAAGUACUAUAAUAUUCUAUAAAUAUAACGAAACCUACUUUAUUAACAAAUAUAAUUUAAAAUAUAAAAAAUCAAUAAUAAAAAUAACUAAAGUUGAAAUCCAAGGAGCAACUUCUAUCCUCUUACCAAGUUAUUAAAUAUUAGAGUAGAUAGAGGCAUAUACUUUUCUUGAUGAUUCAGAAUCAUAUCUUCAAAUAAAAUUCUCAAUGAUUGCAGGCCUCAAUACCAUUAGGAUGAACUAGACCAUCAUGAAUUUUUGCGCAUCUUGCAAGGUCCAAUUUCUCCAAGUUUAUGAUCAAGCCAAAAAAUGUCAUAAUUCCUUUUAUAGUAAUUUCAUAGUGUUUACUAAACUGUAAUAGAAAUGGAUUGAAACACAAAUAGGGAUGGCAAUGGGGAGGGGGGAGGGGACCAACAUCCCCGUACCCAUCCUUGAUAUUUUGUAUAUGUCCCCAUCUCCUUCCUAUCCCCAUCAGAAUUACUUGAGGGGAUUCCCGUCCCCUCCCCGAAUAAUAACAGGGAAUCUCCGAGGGUCCCCGAUCCCCAAAUAACUGAUAUAUUUGUUUAGUUUUCAAACUUAAUUUAAUCAUAUUAAUGUAAAAAUAUAUAAAAUAAAAUGAAAUGAUCAUGAAUGGGCCUUAUAUUUCAUUCCACUCCUUCAAACUUUUGGUAUAUAUAAUAUUCAAAUAAUGAUUUUCAAAACAAAAUUCAAAUAAUGUGAUUUUUAUACAAUAUUGACGUGAUUGUUGUCCAUGAGUAACGAUACCUACUGAUCACCGACUAUGAUGCAACAAAGCCGCAUGUGUGGCUGCUAGUUGACGUUGCGACGAGUUAGGCUACUCGGACACUGACAACGUAACGUGCUACUGGGCUAUGAUGAGAUGAAGACGAGUUGAGUGCUUACUACUGCAUGAAUAAUUUGGAAAUGAUGAGCAAGACUGUGAGAAAGUAAUUUAGAGUUUGAUUUGUGAGUUAUAAGCUUGUGGGAUUGUGUGCUUUUGGUUGUAAUUAAGUCUAAAUUAUAUUAAACAUUUUAUAUUAACUAAUAUUUAUUAUUUGUAUAAAUAUUUUGAUAUUUUUUAUUUACACCAAUAUUUUAUAUUUUACAAUUUAAAAUUUAUCGUUUAUUGACUAAUAAUUCUAGAAAAAUAAAAAUAAAAUAAAAUAUUAAAAUAGGGAAAUGGGGAGGGGACGGGGAUUCCACCUCAUCCCCAUCCCUUCCCUGAAUAAGUAAUUGGGUAAAAAAUUGUCCUCGUCCCUUUCCCGAAUAAGAAGUGUGGUAUAAAAUCGUCCAUGUACCCUCCCCAAAUGGAUAAAAUCCUCAAGGGCCCCAUUCCCAUGGGGAUUUCUGCCAUCCCUAAAUUAGAAUAAAUUAUUUACUUAAACUGUAGGAAUUAGAAUCAAAAUAAACUGGAUUGUCAUUGAUGUGUCUAUUUUGUCUUGGAAUUGAAAUCAAAAUGAGUUACAUUUUAACAACUUACUAAAAAGUGCUUAAUGAGCUAUUGUCAUAAUUAUUAUUUUAUAUUUUAAUUAUGGUAAUUAUUUAUUCAAAAAUUAUAAUAAUUAUUAUUGUUAAUAAUAUAUUCAUAUAUUAAUUAAUUGAAAAUUAUUUAAAUUAAUUAAUUAUUAAUCAAUUAAUAUAUUAAUUGAUUAAUUAUAAUAAUACAUUAAUUAAUUAUAACUGAGGACAAAAUAGAUACUUUUUAUUUUGUGAGGGGGUAAAAUGGUCAUUCCAAGGAAUGGGAGACUCAUUCCCGCCUCCCUUGGGAAUUAAUCUUCCAUUUGCCAUUCCCAAAUUGCGGUGGACUCAACGAUUUCAAUUCUGAUUCUUGACUCUAUUUUAUGAAGUAAAUGCUCUCAAUAAUUUCGAUUCCCCAAUCCGAAGAAGUAAACGCACAGUUACUGUUUCUUCUAAAGCUCAAACUUGUCAGGUUUGAGAUACCUGAUAGAUACUUCAGUCAUGCAUCCACUCCAUCAUAAGACAAACUGAAAGUUAGAAAAAAAAGGGACAAUUCAAGGAAAAUGCACACAAGUGAGGUUUCAAAAUUAAAGUAGACACUUCAGCUGCAAAUCAGCAUACACAUACAAUGGAGGUCAUACAAAUAUCAUUUCUAUAACCGCCCUACUGUAUUCUUGAAUGAAGAUGGUUUAAAGUCAAGUAAUAAGAUAUUUAAACUUAAGCAAAACAAUACAAUUAAAUUUGCUGGAACUUAUGAGUAACUUAAUCUCAUCUCUCCUCCUAAUUUAAUUGGACAGGCGUAAAUUUUCCAUGUUAAUAUGGAUGAAGUAAAUUUUCUUUUUAUAAUAUAUCUAUGCAUUAAAAAAAAUUAAUAAUAAUAACUUUUACAAGCAUUUAUGCUUGUAUUAAUACUCUACUUUUUACUACACGAUUGCUUCAGUAUAUGGUGGAUGUUAAGAUAACAAUAAUACUAGAAUUACAAACACUUGCAUACUAUUAACUAACUUAACACUAUAAUAUUGUUUACGGUGUAAGCCCUCGAGGUGAUGUUAAUAUGCCAAAGAUUUAAAAAUAUUAGUUCUAGCUUUUGAAGAAAAAUAUGCUUUCAGUCAGAAGGGAAAAAAACGAAAAAAAAAAAAAAAAGCUUUCUAACAAGAUAUCAAAAUGGUUAAUAAGAAGAGCAGUAGUAAUGGGGUAAAAGCUCGUUUAAUCCCUAUAUUUUGAGGUUAGUACUUGUUUAGUUCCUAUAUUUUUAAAAAUGCUUCAAAACAUCUUUGCCGUUAAAUAUUGACACCCCUGCCGUUACUUUGUAUUCCUUUUAGCUUACUUUUACAAUAUUACCCUUUUUGCAAUAUUGUUUCUUUUUUUGGACAUUAAUAAUAAAUAAAAUUACCAAUUUAACCCCAAAAAUAAAAUAAAGACAAAGAAAAUAUAUAUUAAUCUUUGUCAAAACUAUGUCAAAAAAAUAAAUAUUGUAAAAAAAAUUAAACUACUAAUUUUUUAGACAUUAAUAAAAAAAAAUAAUAUAUUAACUCCUCGUGGAGUAUUCAAAAAAUUAAUAUAGAUUUUUUUUUGUUUCUAUUUUACUUUUUUGGGUUAAAUUGAUAAUUUGAUUUUUCUUGUUAUUAAUGUUUAAUAAAGAAGAAAUAUUAUUAUACGAGGGUAAUAUUAUGAAAGUAAGUUAAAAAGAACAAAAAAUAACAAUAAGGGUGUCAAUACUUAACGAUAACGAUGUUUUAAGACAUUUUUAAAAAUAUAGAGACUAAAUAGAUAUUAAUCUCAAAAUAUAAGAAAUAAACGAGAUUUUACCCGUAAUAAUGUUACGAGGGGGUUCAAAUGGAGGGGGACAGGUAUUUCCAAAUUUGUAUCCAUUAAUUUUUUUAAAACUCAUAUCUGUCACUUACUUGUUAUUAUUUUAAAUAUCAAACUUGUCAACCCUUAAGAGGAAACAUGUAUUUAACGGACUUUGCGCGGCUAAUUCUCAUCAUUCGCUACUCUAAAUUUUAUUUUACAGAUUUGCCCAUCAUUUACAACAUUUAAUUAAAUACACUUAAAUUAUAUAGAUUCAACGGUUCAACCUUCAUAUAUCACAUGAAAAGAAUACUGAAUUUUUAACAUCUCUCAUCAAGAGAUUGUACUGUGUUUACUCAAUUAGAUACCAAGUUUAUAUUCCAACUAAUGUGUUAAUAGUAUUUGAAUUAAAAAUGAUAAAACUUAAUAAUUAAUUAUUGCUUAAGUCAAUUAAAUAGUAUCAUAUCAUUUGUUUGAAAAAAAAAUCUUUGUUGUUUCAAGAGUAUUAAUCCUUUUUCAUUUACUUAUUAUCAUUACUAUCUGCAACUAAUCAUAAUGAUUUGCAUCAAUAUGUGAUUGUUUUUUUUACUCCAAGAACAGCUUUUAAAUGCAAUUUCUCUUCUUCCCCACUCACCCUUGAAAACCCACUAUUUGUGUACUUCCAAAAACGAUUUAUUGCUGACCGCCAAAGACCGAUACUCACUGGACAAAUUCCUAAAAGAAAGAUUCAAAUUCCAAUGUCUUAUACCUAUUUGAUUUGCAGUCCUUGUUAUGCUAAUGACUAGAAUGAGGCAAAGUGUUUUUUAAUUGAGAUGAUGGAUCUAAGGGUGCAGCAUGAUGUUGUGAUUUUCAAUGUUGAUCAUAGAUGAGCUUUGUGAAAAUAGAAAGAUAGAAGAAGCAUUUAGGUUUUUAGAAUCGCAUCAAUGGAUGGGUUUUGCUUGACCUAGGGAACUAUUUGUUUCUGUGGAGAAUAAAGGGUGCAGAAAUGACGUUGCUAAAUACAACAAGUUGAUAAAUGGGUAAUGCAAGAAUAAGGAAGUAGAGGAAGCGUUAGGCCUUUAUAGCGAAACGCUUUCUAAAAGAAUUCUCCUAGAAUAUGUUGAGGGGAUGGGGCAGCUGCCCCCAUCGCACCCUAAGCCAACAGACUCAAAACUGUAAAUGAAAGAAUCAUGAUGAUCUGUUUUGGUUUGUGAGAUGUUAGAGGAGGAGGAUUGACUAGUAACGGGGAGAUGUUUGGGUUUAUAAGGUGGUAGGUCACUCCACUUAAAAGGCUAGUCUUUUGGGUUAGAUACUUAGAAAUCUUAUGCUAAGUCCCCCCAACAAGCGGUAUCAGAGCUAGACCCUAGUAGCCGGAAUGUAGUGGUGGAACAACUCAGGUGUGUCGGACGAAAGGACCUGAGUCCGGCGGUGGUUUCGUCCGAAGGGGGGAUUGUUGAGUUGUAUCCCACAUUGACUAGUAAAAGGGAGAUGUUUGGGUUUAUAAGGUGGUAGGUCACUCCACCUAAAAGGCUAGUCUUUUGGGUUGGAUACCUAGGAAUCUUAUGCUAAGUCCCCCCAACAAGUGGUAUCAGAGCUAGACCCUAAUAGCCGGAAUGUAGUGGUGGAACAACUCAGAUGUGUCGGACGAAAGGACCGGAGUCCGACAGUGAUUUCGUCCGAGGGGGGGAUUGUUGAGUUGUGCCCCACAUUGAUUAGUAAAGGGGAGAUUUUGGGUUUAUAAGGUGGUAGGUCACUUCACCUAAAAGACUAGUCUUUUGGAUUGGAUACCUAGAAAUCUUAUACUAAGUCCCCCCAACAUGGACUUUCUUCUAAAGAAUGAUAUCCGUUUAAACUCAAUUCCAGAAUUCAAAAGCCAAAAUUGAAUAUUGAUUUAGUAGCAUGUUUUUCUGCCUGCUGAAAAUCGAAUAUGGAGGGUCCGUUUCAUUAUACCAAAUGUGAAGGAGUGUCACGUUGUGAGGGCAAUGUAAUAUCCUCGCCAUCUGGUUCAGUUCACCAAAGAAACUUCCCCAUUAAUUUCUUGAAAAAGUUAAGUUCAAACUGUAAAUGAAAGAAUCAUGAUGAUCUAUUUUGGUUUGUGAGAUGUUAGAAAGAGGCCAUUGUUAAAUAGACAUGAAUGCUGGAGAAAACUUUAUGUUCUUUUAUUGAAUUAAGUUGAUCCUACUCGAUCUCUGCAUUUUGGAUUCCUACUUCAGAGUCGAAGAAGUGAAAUAUGGUGUGAAAAAAUUGUAUGCUUAAGUUAAUUUGAAUCCUUGUUAUUUAAUAAAAGCUCAGCUUCUUUCAAUCCGCACCUACGGUGGUCAUUUUUUUUUAUAUAUAUGGCGAGUAAUAAAUAGAUAAGAAGUAAUGUUUUUAGAACACACAAAAUAUUUUUAUUUCAAACACUAACAAAGUUGCAGACAAAAUAUUUAAAUAAUCUUGAUGUAUGUAUCUAAUAGCGUGUUUGUUAAGUGGAAAUAAAAAUGAGGGAAUGAGAUACAUUAACUUAGCCCAAGUGGUUAGAGCCACUCCCUCACAAAUGUGGGGGAAGUGGUUCGAGCCUCCGCAGACGCAUUGUAGGAAUUUAAUUUAAAUGUCCUUUCUUAGAGUUCCAGAACUUGAGUGAAGUCAGUCUUUCUCCCAGAUUGGGGCCCAAGUGGUUAGAGCCACUCCCUCACAAAUGUGAGGGAAGUGGUUCGAGCCUCCUCCGCAGACGCAUUGUAGGGAUUUAAAAAUUUAAAUGUCCUUUCUUAAAGUCCCAGAACUUGAGUGAAGACAGUAUUUUUCCCAGGCUGGGAGUUGACGUCUCUCGAAUAUUUGAGAGGUGAAGGCAGUCUUUCUCCCAGACUGGGAGUUGACGUCUCUCGAAUAUUUGAGAGGCUUAAAAAAUCUAAGCGGUGCCAUAUCAGCAUUGAUGUCAACAGGUCUCAGUAUAUAUAUGAUUGUACAUAUCAGUUAUACUCUCAUGUAAUAUGAGUUGUAAUUUGAGCAAUAGUCUCAUGUUAUAAAAAAAAAACUUAUUUACUUAUAAAGAGAGAAGGAGGAUCGAGAAUUAAAUUUGCUGGCCUCACAUCAAUUUAUGACUAACUCUUGGAUUUCUAAUUUCUAAAGGGGGUUUGGAAUCUAAAUCUCAUUUUCAAGACGGAUUAUACUACCCCCGCCCAAAUGUAAUAAUUUUCAUUUUGUCCUUCUUUUAAAUAUUUAAAAAAUAAAUAAAAAUCGCAUGAGUACUGUGCAAAGAUCGAUUGUUACUGAUACUCCUCACGGAUAUUUGUAUUACUGUCGGUCAUUGUUGUUGCAGUUGCUGCCUGUUGUCGCUGCUACUAUCGAUCAUCGUUAUUGCCUACUGCUAUUGAUUGCCGGUUAUAAUGAUGAUUAUUCUUGCCUCAGUUAUUGUUGAUGUUAUUAUUACUCGCACCGAAUUACAUAUUAUUAAAUUAUUUUAAAUAUUACAAAUUAAAUUAUUUUUAAAUGAGUGAUCAAACCUGAUCAUUUAAUAACCAUGGCCAUUUAACAUAUUUAAACAUAAAAUUUCGUGUCAAAUUAUGUUUGAGUAUAAGGAUAAUGUAAGAUAAUUGGUACUUUAAUUUACAUUUAUGUGCCAACUGAAUAAAGUUCGCUAUUUAAAUUAAAUUAGAAACGGUGAAAUUUAAUAAUUAACUAUUAUUUAGCCAUUUAAACGCAGAGACACAAUUUGUCACGGUUCCAAAAGCAUAGCAUCAUUGAAAAUACCGUAUCCCACUUCUCUUUUUCUAUUUUGGUAAUUCUUUUUUUCUUCUUCAACCCCAAAUAAUCAAAAGCUCUCCAAUGGCUUUCGUAUUCUCAACUCGUUCAUUUCAUUUUACUUCAAUUUCAAUAUCGGCUCUUAGAUGUAAUUUCUCCUCUUCGUUCCCUCAUACCAGAAAACCCAAAUCUUCAAUUUCGAAAAAUGAGCUUUCAGAUCCGACUACAACAGCUAAACUGAAGGAGUCGCUACGACUGACAGUCAAAGACCGAGCCUCACUCGAAAAAUUCCUCAAAGAAAGGUGCAAAUCAUCAGGUCAAGGUGAUAUUAAUCUUAUAACUCCUAAUGAAGCCUUGUGUAUCUUUGAUUACAUGCUCAAUAUGCGCCCUUCUCCGCCUCCUGUCACUUCCUUCAAUCUUUUGUUUGGUUGUCUUGCCAAGACUAAACAUUAUGAUACUGUCCUUUCACUCUUCAAGAGACUCAAUUCCACUGGGUUGUUUCCGGAUCUUUAUACUUACAACAUAUUGAUUAAUUGCUUUUGCAAAAUGGGUCGAGUUUCUCAUGGUUUUGUUGUUCUUGGGAGAAUCCUCAGGUCUUGUUUUACUCCAGAUGCUGUGACCUUUACUUCUUUGAUUAAAGGUUUGUGUGCGGAGAGUAGAAUCAUGGAGGCCGCCGCAUUGUUUACGAAACUUACAGUGUUUGGUUGUAAGCCUGAUGCUUUUACAUACACCACUUUGGUUAAUGGAUUGUGUCGAACCGGCCACUUUGAUUAAGCCUGAUGCUUGGGAACUGUUUCAAAGUUUGUCUCGUGUAGGCCUAUUGCCAAAUGUUGUAACAUAUAAUAUCAUGAUCCAUGGGCUUUGUAAUGAUGGGCAAAUGGACAAGGCACAUGAUUUGUUUCUUGAUAUGGAAGCAAAAGGUGUGGAACCCAAUUGUGUCAUAUUUAAUACGAUUAUGCUGGGUUUCAUCCGCAAUAAUGAGACAUCAAAAGUUAAUGAACUCCUUCAGCGAAUGGAUAAUAGAAAUGUAAUGCCAGACGCAUCUACACUUUCAAUUGCUGUGCACUUACUUGUAAAGAAUGAAAUUAGCUUAAACUCGAUUCCACAAUUCAAGAGUCAAAGGUAAGUGAGUUUAAUACUCAUUUAGCCGCAUGUUUCUUCUGCCUGAAAACCCAAUCUGGAGGAUCCUAUUCUUAUUACAUGUAAAGGAGUGUUGUCUAAUGUUGGCAUGUUCCUAGGUUCUGUCCAUGGAUUCUGUUUGCAGACAUGGCUAACUUCUUGUUCAACAGAAAGUUUUAAAGUCUUUCAACUUUAUGUUGUAAAAUAACUUUUUUAUUAUUCAAUUCAUGAGUUUUUCUUCUAUAACACAUCCUUCUCAUUAGCUGGAAGUGCAAAUUUUUUAGGCUUUUCCUGUAUGGCCUCUUUUUCUGCUCUAAAUAAAAUGGCAUUUUAUUUCCCUCCUGUGAGGGUACAACGUUUAUGUUUAAAUUUUCUGUUAGUUAAAUUGGCUGUCUUUGAUAUAGGGAACUUCCAGUUGUACUGAUUUGUAAUUCGAGUAUAUGAGAUUACCAACUGUAAUGGGAAUUGAUGCCAAAUUAAUUAUGUCAUCGGGUUUUUCAAUCAGUGUUCAUCAUUUAUUUCUGUUAACAAUUAAUAGCACAGCUUGUCUUCGCAGCUUCAUUGGUUCCUCUCAAAAAUAAUCUUGUAAAGACAAUUUUUGUUUUUUGGCAUGUUAAAUGCUAGAUUGUUUGUGUGUAUUGGUAUUUGUUAUACUAUGUAUUGGCAAGACAGUUUCUUGAAACUGACAAACUUUUCUCUAUGAAGAUUGAAGACAAUAUGAUAAGAUAAACUUUAACAAAAGCAUAGAUGCUUGCCAGCGCUGGACCUUUGAUUAAUAGUCCUCGCCUUUCGUUCUUGUUUCAUAUUCUUCUGCUAACAAAUCUUGAUCAUGAUUGUCUUCUCUUUUCUUUGCAACCCACAUAUAAAGUCUCGGCCAUAAGCCUCGAGGCCUAUUCUCUUUUGUAAAGGUGAGUUGAAGAAACAGCAAGGGACUCCAAAGCAAAUGGUGUAGAGCACCUUUCACUUAUCACGGGCACAGGAUUACUCUGACUUUCUGCAUUUUACUGUUGGCUAUGGUUUGAUGCAUUAUUUAUUGUUCUGAAAUACCAUUCUCGUUGGAAGUUCAAUCAUUACUGUUUCUUUUUUCCCCCCUUUUUACUUGAAGUUACCUGAACUUCCAUGCAUGCUCCAAUAGAACGAGUAAUGUAAUGUAGGUGUUGACCAACUCCAAAUAAGUAGUUAGUUGCCUAGUAGUUGGAAUAAAAUUCUCAAUGAUUGCGAGCCUCGAUAGCUUUAGGAUGAACCAGACCAUCAUGAAUUCUGGUGCAUCUUUUAAGGUCCAAUUUCUCCAAGUUUAUCAUCAAGCUAAAAAAUGCCCUAAUUCCUUUUCCAGUAUUUUCAUAAUGCGUUUACUAAAUUGGAACUGAAAUGAACUAGAAUAAAAACAGAAAAUGUAAAUUAGAAUAAAUUAUUUACUUGAAUUGUAGGAAUUAGAAUCGGAAUAAGCUGGAUUGUUAUUGAUGUGUCAACUUUGUCUUGGAAUCAAAAUAGAAAUGAGUUACAUUUUAACAACUUACUAAAAAGUACUUAACGAACUAUUGUCAUCAUUAUUAUUUUAUAUUUUAAUUAUGGUGAUUAUUUAUUCAAAAAUUAUUAUUAUUAAUUAUUUUUAAUAAUAUAUUAAUAUACUAAUUAAUUGAAAAAAAAAUUAAAUUAAUUAAUUGUUAAUAUAUUAAUUGAUUAAUUAUAAUAAUACAUUAAUUAAUUAUAACUAAAGACAAAACAUACAUUUUUUUAUUCUGUAACAGGGCAAAAUGGUCAUUCCAAAGAAUGUGAGUUAAAUUGUUUAAUUUAAUUUAUAUCUGUUGUAAUAUAUAGCUUAAUUAUAGUGUAAAAACAAUGACAAUGUAAUUUUUUUUUUAAUGCUAAUACUAAAACUUUAUCAUCAUGCAAUUUUUUAUAAUUACUAUUUUUUAAUUAUUUAUGGUAUAUUUGUUUAUUAAUUAAAUAAACUAUUAUUUUUUUAACUAUGACAUAAAUGUUUAGUAAAAACUAUUUAUGAAAUAGUACUACCGAAAACAUAUUCUUUAUUUUUAUUUUUUUCAAUUAUGUCUACCGAACACAUAUUACUAAUUUCAAUUUUAAAAUAUAGAAUAUAGAAAAUGAUACCAGACGCAUAUUUAAAAUCAAAAUACACCAAUUGUAAAAUUUCAUUUUCAUUUUCAUUUUCAUUUUUUUUUCAGAAAAUGCUAAUUCAGAAACAAUACCGACCAUAAACUUAUUUUUGGUAUGAAUAAUGUUGUGCUACUUUUAUAGAACUUACAUGCAACCUCAAAUUUAUUAGAAGUAUCAACUGAAACCCCUUUUACCAAGUUAUUACAACUAUAUUUACUUCUUGAAGUGGGAGUGAGAAAUGUGGAUUCCUCAUACUCCAGUGAUUACUUGUAUAUUUUAAGGGAUGUGAGAAUUCCACUCCAUGGGUUCCACCCAUUUUUUGAGUUUAUUAUUUUAUAAAAUUUCAUUUAUUAAAAAGAACAAUAUCAAUCUCGUUUAAAUAAAAUAUUAUUAUAUUUAUUUGAGAUUAAUGAUUAAUAAUAAAUAGUUUAUUCUAAGAAAAUAUUAAUUUUCUACUAUGUUAGUAAUAAUAAUGUUUCAUUUCUAUUGCUCUCAUCAAUAGUUUUUAAUUUAGAUAAUUAAAUUAAAACUAACAAAAAAUUAUUAUUUACAUAAUUAAUAAUAUUAAUAAUUAUUGUUAAUUUAAAAAUAUAAUGAAAUAAAUAUUUUAUUUUUCAAAUAUAUUUUUUUAUUAAUUUUUAAUUAAAAACUAUAAUUUUUUAAAUAAGGAUAAAACUGUAAUCUGAAACUACUUACUCUUGAUCCGAGACAAAGUAAACAUGUAAAUUGAAUUUUAAUUCCAAUUCCAUACUCCUAUUCUAGUGUAAGUAAACAAUCUACUCUCAUUCUACACUCCCAAUCUCAGGAUUCACACUUCUCAGGAUUCUCACUCUAUUCGAAAAUGUAAACGCUAACAAAAUGUAGACCAGACAUAGGUGUAUAUAUAUAUAUAUUCUUAAUCAAACAUCAAAUAAAAUUCUUAAUUAAGUAAACCAUAAGGUGAUUGCGCAUAAAAAAUAAUAAUAAUAUUAAUUUUCAUAAGAAUUUAUGCUCGUAGUAUUUCAUUACUUUUUAUUAACCGUUGCUUCAACUUAUGGUGGGUAUUAAGAGAACAAUAAUAAUAGAGUUAUAAACGGUUGCAUACUAUCAAUUAAAUUAACACUAUAAUUUGGUUUACCAUACAAAUCCUUAAUAUCAUAAAUAAUUAAAUUAUUGGGGUUUUAAAAUGCAGACUUGCCAUGGCUCCUAUAAGUAAUAUCAGCCGCACUCUUUGUUAUUGGUAAAAAAAAUUUCUAGGUACAAUUUGUGAAUUUGUACAACGUGCGGUAUUAAACAUUUGAAGCAUGAACUGACAAUGUUGUGUCAAUAAUAAAGAAAAGAAAACGAAUUGUAUAAUACACAGGUGUUCUAGUGUAACUUGGAUUCUUUUUCUUUAUAAGUGCACCUAUUAUGUGAUUUUUUUUUGAAAAAAGAAAAAGAAAAAAAGAACUCUUGAGAUUUUAAAAUUUUGUAAUUGCACUAUCUUUAGAUUGUCAGGAGAUUUUCUCUCCUUAAAGAUGCCCUUAAUCCAUAAACGGUCCAAAAAAUAAUUCAUAAAAUGAAUUGAUUAUUUUAGAUAAGUUUCAAGAAUGCACACCUUUUAUAACUCCAUAUUGCAUAACUCCUCAUUUCACUCAAUGGAUGCAUUUGUUCACUUUUUCUUUCUUGUAAAUUUUUGAAUGGCCGUAAUUCUAUAGAUUAUUAGUUAAGUGUUAUUAUUAUCAUUUUUUUGUUGAUGCAUAUGUGGGGUGGGGCCGAUUGGGGGGCAUGGAUCUCAAUACAGCAGAGGGCCAAAAUAUUUAUUCUUUAAGAGGAACCACAACCAACAACAAUGCCUUAAGUUCCAUUCCAUGUUACUUCUGUGCACUAGAUUGCAUAAACAACAUUAUCCAAGGUCAAAGUCUCUCAAAGACUUUGGUUACAAGACAAAGCAUGGGAUUGCAGCCAAAAAUUUCUUGUAGUGAAAGGCUCAUAAACUGAUGACAAUUGUCGGAUUGUUUUGGGCCUCAAUAGUUUUAAUAUUAUUCUCUUAAAAAUAUAUAUAUUGAUUAGAGAUGAGAGGAAGAAGAUGAUAUGAUUUAGCCAGCUGUACAAGAAAGAGUACGCAGUGGAGUCUAGAUUUUGAUUUCUCUUGUUAAAUUAUUUUCAAUUUACUACAAGGUAGAAUAAAUUGCAUUCUUAAAAAAUACUUUGAACAUCAUAUUUUUGUAUUACAAAUAUACCAAAAAUUAAAUUACUUUUUUUUUUAUCAGUAUAAACUAAAAUUUGCCUGAAUCCUCAUCUUUGUAAGUGGAAUUCUAUUAUGAAACUAAUAGUCCUUCCUAGUGCUAACUGUCACUUUGAACAUGUGUCAUCUCUAACAACAACUUCCAGACCUGCAGCUAGCUGCUUUUUAGCAUUAGAAGUAGCAUCCACAUUGGCUUUCAACUAGCCAUAAUUCGGAGGAGGGGACCAUUGUUUCUGUUUGUCAGUUUUCUUCCUUGAAGCAUACGCCAUAAUUAGGAGGAGGGCAAGCUUCCAAAUAGCAUUUCGAAUGGUAUUUUGAAAAUCUUCCACCCUUUUGGUUAAAAAAAAUAAAAACCUUAUUUCUAGUUCUUUCUUAACAAUCUUAUCACUUUAAGUUUUCCUCUUAAGUAGGAACAUCAUAUAUAUUAAUUUGUUCUUAAUACAAAUAAAACUAAAUAUUUAUGACUUAAAAGAUAGGUAUUGAAUGGCAGGCGUCUCACUCAAUAUAUAUAUAUAUAUAUAUAUAUUUAAAAGCAAUGGUGAUAUCAUCAUUUUUUGUACUGAUAUGAAAAUAUCACACUAGAUUUUUUUCUCGCAUUACAAAAAGUUUGAAUUCAAGAAUAAAUAAGCAAUAUCAAGAACAAUUUUUACAAAACGCCUCCAGGACAUGCCAUAUGAAUUUGUGAUACGAAAAAUAGUAUACUAGUCACUGGAUCUUCUUUUCCUCAUUAGGAAAAAUUAGAAAUGCAAUCUAAAUUGAUAUCAAUAACUAAUUUUAUAGUGAAUGGGUCUUGCACGAAAACAAGAAAUUUUUUUAUAAUAUAAGAAAUUAUUAGUCAUUUAUCCUAAAUUUAUUUUGUCUCAAAAAAUACUACAAAAACUUUAACUUGCUUUGUUUUUUUACCUUAAUUUAUAAUUUGUAUCAGUCACUCUCUAAAACGAUAGAAUCACUUCAUAAAAUGACAAAAUAAAAAUAAAUACAAAUGACAAAACCGGUUCAUUUUAUAAGGAUAAUUCAAUCCGUUUGGCUUCAAAUUACAAAUUAAAUUAUUUCAAAUAUUAUAAAUUAUUUUUAUACUGGGUGAUGGACCUAAUCAUUUUAAUACUUAUGACAAUUUAAUCUAUCUAAAUAUAAAAUUUUGAGUAGACUUAUGUUUGAGUAGGAGGAUAAUGUAAGAAAAUUUGGCACUUUUAUUCAACUGAAGAAAUUUUACAAUUUAAAUUAAAAACGAUAAAAUUUAAUAAUUAACUAUUAUUUGAACUAAUUGAAUCGUGCGCCAUCAUUUGUGUAAUGUAUCCUAUUGCAAAAUAAACGGCAGGAUGCGGUUUGCGUUAAUGUAUCCUAUUUUGGUAAUUCUCUUCUUCUUCUUCAACCCCAAAUAAUCAAAAGCUCUCCAAUGGCUUUCGUAUCCUCAACUCGUUCAUUUCAUUUUACUACAAUUUCAAUAUCAGCUCUUAGUUGUAAUUUCUCCUCUUCGUUCCCUCAUACCAGAAAACUCACAUCUUCAAUUUCGGAAAAUGAACCCUCAUAUCCGACUACAACAGCUAAACUGAAGGAGUCGCUACGACUGACAGUCAAAGACCGAGCCUCACUAGAAAAUUUCCUCAGAGAAAGGUUCAAAUCAUCAGGUGAAGGUGAUAUUACUACUAUUACUCCUAAUGAAGCCUUUUGUAUCUUUGAUUACAUGCUCAAUAUGCGCCCUUCUCCGCCUCCUGUCUGUUCCUUCAAUAUUUUGUUUGGUUGUCUCGCUAAGAAUAAACAUUAUGAUACUGUCCUUUCACUCUUCAAGAGACUCAAUUCAACUGGGUUGUUUCCAGAUCUUUAUACUUACAAUAUCUUGAUUAACUGCUUUUGCAAAAUGGGUCGAGUUUCUCAUGGUUUUGUUGUUCUUGGGAGAAUCCUCAGGUCUUGUUUUACUCCAAAUGCUGUGACCUUUACUUCUUUGAUUAAAGGUUUGUGUGCGGAGAGUAGAAUCAUGGAGGCUGCCGCAUUGUUUACGAAACUUAGAGUGUUUGGUUGUGAGCCUAAUGUUUUUACAUACAAUACUUUGAUUAAUGGAUUGUGUCGAACUGGCCAUACAAUUGUUGCUCUAAAUUUAUUUGAAGAGAUGGCUAGUGGAAAUGGGGAAUUUGGUGUUGUUUGUAAGCCAGAUGCUAUUACAUACAGUACUAUUAUAGAUGGUCUUUGUAAGGAAGGUUUUGUGGACAAGGCCAAGGAACUGUUUCUGCAGAUGAAGUAUGAGAAUAUUAACCCGGAUGUGGUUACCUAUACCUCUGUGAUUCGUGGUUUUUGUUAUGCUAAUGAUUGGAAUGAGGCCAAGUGUUUGCUAAUUGAGAUGAUGGACCAAGGGGUACAGCCCAAUGUUGUGACUUUCAAUGUGAUCAUGGAUGAGCUCUGCAAGAAUGGAAAGAUGGAUGAGGCAAGUCGGUUGUUGGACCUGAUGAUUCAGAUUGGUGUGCGUCCAAAUGCUUUUGUCUAUAACACAUUAAUGGACGGGUUUUGCUUGACAGGUAGAGUUAAUCGUGCGAAGGAACUAUUUGUUUCUAUGGAGAGUAUGGGUUGCACACAUACUGUUUUUAGUUACAGUAUUUUGAUAAAUGGUUACUGCAAGAAUAAGGAAAUAGAGGGAGCGUUAAGCCUUUAUGGAGAAAUGCUCUCUAAAGGAAUUAAGCCAGAUGUUGUUAUAUAUAACACCUUGUUUGUUGUCCUUUUUGAAAUACACCAGGUUGAGCGUGCUUUCAAGCUGUUUGAUGAGAUGCAACGUGAUGGCGUGGCAGCUGAUACCUGGACAUAUAGAACCUUUAUUGAUGGGCUCUGCAAGAAUAGUUAUAUCGUAGAGGCAGUUGAACUAUUUCGCACUUUGAGAAUUCUCAAGUGUGAACUUGAUAUUCGAGCCUACAACUGCCUCAUUGAUGGAUUAUGUAAAUCCGGCAGACUCGAAAUUGCAUGGGAACUAUUUUGUAGUUUGCCUCGUGGAGUCCUAAUAGCAGAUGUUGUAACCUAUAACAUCAUGAUCCAUGGGCUUUGUAACGAUGGGAAAAUGGACAAGGCGCAUGAUUUGUUUCUUGAUAUGGAAGCAAAAGGUGUAGCACCCGAUUGUGUCACAUUUAAUACGCUGAUGCUAGGUUGCAUCCGCAAUAAUGAGACAUCAAAAGUUGUUGAACUCCUUCACAGAAUGGAUGAGAGAAAUGUAAUACCAGAUGCAUCUACACUUUCAAUUGUUGUGGACUUGCUUGUAAAGAAUGAAAUUAGCUUAAACUCCAUUCCACAAUUCAAGAGUCAAAGGUAAGUGAGUUUAAUAAUGAUUUAGUCGCAUGUUUCUUCUGCCUGAAAACUCAAUGUGGAGGAUCCUAUUCUUAUUACAACAUGUAAAGGAGUGUUGUCUAAUGUUGGCAUGUUCCUAGGUUCUGUCCAUGGAUUCUGUUUGCAGACAUGGCUAACUUCUUGUUCAACAGAUAAGUUUUAAAGUCUUUCAACUUUAUGUUGUAAAAUAACUUUCUUAUUAUUCAAUUCAUGAGUUUUCCUUCUGUAACACAUACUUCUCAUUAGAUGGAAGUGCAAAUUUUUUAGGCUUUUCCCGUAUGGCCUCUUUUUCUGCUCUAAAUAAAAUGGCAUUUUAUUUCCCUCCUGUGAGGGUACAAGGUUUAUGUAUAAACUUUCUGUUAGUUAAAUUGGUUGUCUUUGAUAUAGGGAACUUCCAGUUGAGCUGAUUUGUAAUUCGAGUAUAUGAGAUUACCAACUGUAUUGGGAAUUAAUGCCAAAUUAAUUAUGUCAUCAGGUUUUUCAAUCAUUGUUCAUCAUUUAUUUCUGUUAACAAUUAAUAGCACAGCUUGUCUUCUCAGCUUCAUUGGUUCCUCUAAAAAAUAAUCUUGUAAAGACAAUUUUUUUUUUUUGGCAUGGUAAAUGCUAGAUUGUUUGUGGUAAAUACAAAAUUGAUACAAUCAACUUGUAUGAUAAGUUUUAAAAGUUUAUUCAUAUUUAUAUUACAUAAUUAAAAGUUCAUUCAUAUUUAUAUGAGAUAUCUAUUUUAGGACACAGUUUAAUAAUCAUGGAAACUAACCAUUUAAUAACAAUUAUGGUCGUUUAACCUAUCUAAACAUGAAAUUGUCAGCUGGCUUAUCUUUGAGUAGGAGGAUAAUGUAAGAAAAUUAAUAUUUUAAUGUACAAUUUGUAUGCCAAGCGAAAAAUUUCACAAUUUAAAUUAGAAAAAAUAAAAUUUAAUAGUUAAAUAUUAUUUGAGCCAAUUGACUAGUGGGACAUUAUUUGUUACUGUCCAAAAAGCAUAACAUUAUUUUGAUAAAUGGUUACUGCAAGAAUAAGGAAAUAGAGGAAGCGUUAAGCCUUUAUAGCGAAAUGCUCUCUAAAGGAAUAAAGCCAACAGUUGUUACAUAUAACACCUUGUUUCUUGGUCUUUUUGAAAUACACCAAGUUGAGCGUGCUUUAAAACUGUUUGAUGAGAUGCAGCGCAAUGGUGUGGUUGCUGAUACCUCUACGUAUAAUACCUUUACUGACGGGCUCUGCAAGAAUGGUUAUAUCGUAGAGGCAGUUGAACUAUUUCGUACUUUGAGAAUUCUAAAGUAUGAACUGUGGUGUCCAAUUUCAUCACAUUUGGUACGCUUAUCCAUGGUUUUAUCCGAAUCAAUGAGCCAUCAGAAGUUAUUCAACUUCUUCACAUGAUGAAGGAGAAAAAAGUAAUGCCAGAUGCGUCUACAGUUUCAAUCGUUGUCGACUUACUUGUAAAGAAUGAAAUUAGUCUGAACUCACUUCCGUCAUUUCCUGUCCAAGAGCGACAGGGGGAAGUUGAUGAGUCAAAUGUCAAGUUGUAGCAGCAUGUCCUGUCCAUUGCUUCAAUCCUAAAUGCUUUGAUCUACCUGAAAAGUAUACAAAUAUCGGAGUUAAAACAGAGCAGAUUAAAUCGUAUUGAUGAACUCAACUGAGAUAAAUGACAAAAGAAAACUAACUUUUCCUGUUCAAAGCUCGCACACCUUCCUUUAAGAGCUGACUUUCCAAGAAGAGAUCACCACAAUCGUUCACAUCAACAGUCCACUUGAAAUUUUUUAUAACCACAAUAGUCAUUCCAUUCAAACCACAUCCUUGAGAUCAGUUCCUUCUUCAAGCAAGUGGGAUGGUCUUCCUCUUGAGGAGACUCAGCAGCAACCAAUCAAAGCACAAUAAAGGUAACAUCCAGAAUAAUGAUCCAAAUUUUUGUGGACUUACAUGCAAAGAAUGAAAUUGGUUUAAACUCGAUUCCACAAUUCAAGAGUUAAUGAGUUUAUCUUGAUUCAGUAGCGUGUCUCUUCUGCUUUAAAACCAGAUCUGGGGAAUCCCAUUCUUAUUACAACAUGUGAAGGAGUGUUUGUGUAUUGUUGGCAUGUUCCCAGGUUCUGUUCACGGAUUCUGUUUGCAGACAUGGCUAACUCCUCGUUUCAUCAGAUAAGUUUCAAAGUCUGGCAACUUUUUGUUGUAAAAAUAACUAUUUCAUUAUUCAAUUCAUGAGUUUUCCUUCUAUGGUGCAUCUUUCUCAUUAGCUGUAGUUUCAAAAUUUUUAGGCUCUUCCUGCAUGACCUCUUUUUCUUCUCUAAAUAGAUAAAAUUUGUUUUUCAUUUUUCUCUUGCGAGGGUACAGGUUCAUGUUGAAACUUUCUGUUAGUUAAAUUGAUUGUCUUUGAUAUUCGAACUUCUAGCUGAACUAGUUUGCACUUCGAAUAUAUGAGAUUACCAACUGUAACGGGAAUUGGUGCCAAAUUGAUUAUGUUAUCAGGUUUCCCAGUCUGUGUUCAUCUUGUCUUCUCUGCUUCUUUGGCUCCUGUCAAAUAUAAACUUGUAAAGACAUUUUGUUUUGGCAUGGCACAUGCUAGAUUUUGUUUUUGGUUUGAAUGAUAUUAGACAUCUAAGUAAUUGUCCAAAUUUUUUCGUUCCUAGUGACAAGGCAUUCAAUUGAAAUGGUGACUCAUGAAUCAUGAUUGUGUAUGUUGGUAUUUGUUAUACUACGCGUUAGACAAACUUUGUUGAAACUGACAUACUUUUCUCUAUGGAGAUUGAAGACAACAUAAUAAGAUAAAAUUUAUCCAAAACAUAUAUACUUGAAAGGGCUGGAACGUCUGUUAUUAGUCCUCGCCUUCCAUUCUUGUUUCGUAUUCUUCUGCUAACAAAUCUUGAUCAUGAUAGUCUUCUCUUUCUAUACAACCCACAUAUAAAGUCUUGGCCAUAAGCCUCGAGGCCUAUUCUCUUUUGCAGUGGUGAGUUCACUCUCAGGAAUCGGAUCCUUCAAAUUCGAGCGAAUUUGAAGAAACUGCAAAAGCCUACAAAGCAAAUGGUGUAGAGAACCUUUUACUUAUCACGGGCACAGGAUUACUGACUUUCUGCAUUUUACAGUUGGCUAUGGUUUGAUGCAUUAUUUAUUGUUCUCAAAUUAUAUUCUCGUUGGAAGUUCAAUCAUUACUGUUUCUUUUUUCCCCCUCUUUUUACUUGAAGUUACCUGAAGUUCCAUGCAUGCUCCAAUCGAACAAGUAACGUAGGUGCUGACCAACUCAAAAUAAGUAGUCAGUUGCCUAGUGGUUGCUUUGCAUGAAAUUUGUUUUUGGUAUGAAUAAUGUUGUCUUAAUUUUACAAGCUUCCAUGCAACUCCUAAUUUGUUGGAAGCAUUAACUCAACCCGUCAUUUAAGGUUAGAUUUAACCAUUGACUUAUGUUGACUAUUAAAAGUACUAUAAUAUUUUUAUAUUUUAUAAAUAUAACGAAACCUCACUUUAUUAACAAAUAUAAUUUAAAAUAUAAAAAAUCAAUAAUAAAAAAUAACUAAAGUUGAAAUCCAAGGAGCAACUUCUAUCCUCUAACCAAGUUAUUAAAUAUUAGAAUAGAUAGAGGCAUAUACUUUUCUUCAUGAUUCAGAAUCAUAUCUCAAAGUCAAAUAAAAUUCUCAAUGAUUGCAGGCCUCAAUACCAUUAAGAUGAACUAGACCAUCAUGAAUUUUUGUGCAUCUUGCAAGGUCCAAUUUCUCCAAGUUUAUGAUCAAGCCAAAAAAUGUCAUAAUUCCUUUUAUAGUAAUUUCAUAGUGUUUACUAAACAAUAAUAGAAAUGGACUGAAAGACAAAUAGGGAAUGCAAAUUAGAAUAGGGAUGGCAAUGGGGAGGGGGGAGGGGACCAACAUCCCUGUACCCAUUCCUGAUGUUUUGUAUAUAUCCUUAUCCCCUUCCCGUCCCCAUCAGAAUUGCUUAAGGGGAUUCUCGUCCCCUCUCUAAAUAAUAACAAGGAAUCCCCAAGGGUCCCCGAUCCCCAAAUAACUGAUAUAUUUGUUUAGUUUUCAAACUUAAUUUAAUCAUAUUAACCUAAAAAUAUAUAAAAUAAAAUGAAAAUGAUCAUGAAUGGGCCUUAUAUUUCAUUCUACUCUUUCAAACUUUUGAUAUAUAUAAUAUUCAAAUAAUGAUUUUCAAAACAAAAUUCAAAUAAUGUGAUUUUUAUACAAUAUUGACGUGAUUGUUGUCCAUGAGUAAUGAUACCUGCUGAUGACCGACUAUGAUGCAACAAAGCCGCAUAUGUGGCUGCUAGUUGGCGUUGCGAUGAGUUAGGCUACUCGGCCACUGACAACACAACGUGCUACUGAGUUAUGAUGAGAUGAAGACGAGUUGAGUGCUUACUACUGCAUGAAUAUUUUGGAAAUGAUGAGCAAGACUGUGAGAAAGUGAUUUAGAGUUUGAUUUGUGAGUUAUGAGCUUGUGGUUGUAAUUAAGUCUAAAUUAUAUUAAACAUUUUAUAUUAACUAAUAUUUAUAUUAUUUGUAUAAAUAUUUUGAUAUUUGUUAUUUACACCAAUAUUUUAUAUUUUACAAUUUAAAAUUUAUUAUUUAUUGACUAAUAAUUCUAGAAAAAUAAAAAAAAAUAUUAAAAUAGAGAAAUGGGGAGGGGACGGGGAUUACACCUCAUCCCCAUCCCUUCCAUGAAUAAGUAAUUGGGUAAAAAAUCAUCAUCGUCCCUUCCCCGAAUAAGAAGUUUGGUAUAAAAUCGUACAUGUACCCUCACCAAAUGGGAAAAAUCCCCAAGAGCCCCCAUCCCCAUCGGGAUUUCUGCUAUUCCUAAAUUAGAAUAAAUUAUUUAUUUGAACUGUAGGAAUCAGAAUCAAAAUAAGUUGGAUUAUCAUUUAUGUGUCUAUUUUGUCUUGGAAUUAAAAUCAAAAUGAUUUACAUUUUAACAACUUACUAAAAAGUGCUUAAUGAGCUAUUGUCAUAAUUAUUAUUUUAUAUUUUAAUUAUGGUAAUUAUUUAUUCAAAAAUUAUAAUAAUUAUUAUUGUUAAUAAUAUAUUCAUAUAUUAAUUAAUUGAAAAUUAUUUAAAUUAAUUAAUUAUUAAUAGAUUAAUUAUAAUAAUACAUUAAUUAAUUAUAACUGAGGAUAAAAUAUAUAUUUUUUAUUUUGUGAGGGGAUAAAAUGGUCAUUUCAAGGAAUGCGAGAGUCAUUCCUGCCUCCCUUGAGAAUUAAUCUUCCAUUUGUCAUUCCCAAAUUGCUGUGGACUCAACGAUUUUCAAUUCCGAUUCUUGACUCUAUUUUGUGAAGUAAAUGCUCUCAAUAAUUUCGAUUCCUCAAUCCGAAGAAGUAAAUGCACAGGUACUGUUUCUUCUAAAGCUCAAACUUGUCAGGUUUGAGAGACCUGAUAGAUACUUCAGUCAUGCAUCUAAUCCAUCAUAAGACAAACUGAAAGUUAGAAAUAAAAGGGACAACUCAAGGAAAAUGCACACAAGUGAGGUUUCAAAAUUAAAAUAGACACUUCAGCUGCAAAUCAGCAUACAUAUACAAUGGAGGUCAUACAAAUAUCAUUUCUACAACCGCCCUACUGUAUUCUUGAAUGAAGAUUGGUUUAGAGUCAAGUAAUAAGAUAUUUAAACUCAAGACAAAAAAAUACAAUAAAAUUUGCUGGAACUUAUAAGUAACUUACUCUCAUCUCUCCUCCUAAUUUAAUUGGACAUGCGUAAAUUUUCCAUGUUACUAUGGAUGAAAUAAAUUUUCUUUUUAUAAUAUAUGUAUGCAUUAAAAAAAAUUAAUAAUAAUAACUUUUACAAGCAUUUAUGCUUGUAUUAAUACUCUACUUUUUACCACACGAUUGCUUCAGUAAAUGGUGGAUGUUAAGAGAACAAUAAUAAUAGAAUUACAAACAAUUGCAUACUAUUAACUAACUUAACACUAUAAUAUUGUUUAUGGUGUAAGCACUCGAGGUAAUGUUAAUAUGCCAAAGAUUUAAAAAUAUUAGUUGUAGCUUUUGAAGAAAAAUAUACUUUCAGUUAGAAGGAAAAAAAAAAAAAGAAGAAGCUUUCUAACAAGAUAUCAAAAUGGUUAAUAAAAAGAGCAGUAGUAAUGUUACGAGGGGGUUCAAAUGGAGGGGCACGGGAAUUUCCAAAUUUGUAUCCAUUAAAUUUACCAAAAAAAAAAGAGAUUGGAUUGUUUUUUACAUAUUCUUAAUGUCACUUACUUGUUAUUUUUUUAAAUAUCAAACUUGUCAACUCUUAGGGGAAACAGGUAUUGGGGAAACAUGUAUUUAAGGGACUUUGUGCGGCUAAUUCUCAUCAUUCGCUACUCUAAACUUUAUUUUACAGAUUUGCGCAUCAUUUAUAACAUUUAAUUAAAUACACUUAAAUUAUAUAGAUUCAACGGUUCAACCUUCAUAUAUCACAUGAAGAGAAUACUGAAUUUUUAACAUCUCUCAUCAAGAGAUUGUACUGUGUUUACUCAAUUAGAUACUAAGUUUAUAUUCCAACUAAUGUCUUAAUAGUAUUUGAAUUAAAAAUGAUAAAACUUAAUAAUUAAUUAUUGCUUAAGUCAAUUAAAUAGUAUCAUAUCAUUUGUUUUAAAAAAAAAAAUCUUUGUUGUUUCAAGAUUAUUAAUCCUUUUUCAUUUAUUUAUUAUCAUUACUAUCUGCAACUAAUCAUAAUGAUUUGCAUCAACAUGUGAUUGUUUUUUUGACUCCAAGAACAGCUUGUCAAUAACAUGAAGUUUAUUUCUGACCGCCAAAGACCGAUACUCACUGGACAAAUUCCUAAAAGAAAGAUUCAAAUUCCAAUGUCUUAUACUUAUUUGAUUUGCAGUUCUUGUUAUGCUAAUGACUAGAAUGAGGCAAAGUGUUUUUUAAUUGAGAUGAUGGAUCUAAGGGUGCAGCAUGAUGUUGUGAUUUUCAAUGUUGACCAUAUAUGAGCUUUGUGAAAAUAGAAAGAUAGAAGAAGCAUGUAGGUUUUUAGAAUCGCAUCAAUGGAUGGGUUUUGCUUGACCUAGGGAACUAUUUGUUUCUGUGGAGAAUAAAGGGUGCAGAAAUGAUGUUGCUAAAUACAACAAGUUGAUAAAUGGGUAAUGCAAAAAGAAAGAAGUAGAGGAAGCGUUAGGCCUUUAUAGCGAAAAGCUUUCUAAAAGAAUUCUCCUAGAAUAUGUUGGGGGGAUGGAGCAGCUGCCCCCAUCGUACCCUAAGCCAACAGACUCAAAAUUGGAUGGGAACUUUUUUCAUUGAUUAUUUCACGAACGCCCGAUUCCAAAUAUGUAACAUACAACAUCAUGAUUCAUGGGCUUUGUAACAAUGGGCAAAUGGAUACGGAAGCAAGGCGUACGACGCCCAGUUGUGUCAUGUUUACUAAGCUUAUGCGAAAGAAUGACACAUCAAAAGCUAUUGAACUUCCUCACUCAAUGGAUAAGAGAAAUGUAAUGCGGGAUGCAUCUACACUUGCAACUGUUGUGGACUUUCUUUUAAAGAAUGAUAUCCGUUUAAACUCGAUUCCAGAAUUCAAAAGCCAAAAUUGAAUAUUGAUUUAGUAGCAUGUUUUUCUGCCUGCUGAAAAUCGGAUAUGGAGGAUCCGUUUCAUUAUACCAAAUGUGAACGAGUGUCACGUUGUGAGGGCAAUGUAAAAUCCUCGCCAUCUGGUUCGGUUCACCAAAGAAACUUCCCCAUUAAUUUCUUGAAAAAGUUAAGUUAAAACUGUAAAUGAAAGAAUCAUGAUGAUCUGUUUUGGUUUGUGAGAUGUUAGAAAGAGGCCAUUGUUAAAUAGACAUGAAUGCUGGAGAAAACUGUUAUGUUCUUUUAUUGAAUUAAGUUGAUCCUACUCGAUCUCUGCAUUUUAGAUUCCUACUUCAGAGUCGAAGAAGUGAAAGAUGGUGUGAAAAAAUUGUAUGCUUAAGUUAAUUUGAAUCCUUGUUAUUUAAUAAAAGCUAAGCUUCUUUCAAUCCGCACCUACGGUGGUCAUUUUUUUAUAUAUAUGGCGGCUAAUAAAUGGAUAAGAAAUAAUGUUUUUAAAAGACAUUUUUUUUUUCAAACACUAAAAAAGUUGCAGAAAAAAUAUUUAAAUAAUCUUGAUGUAUGUAUCUAAUAGCGUGUUUGUUAAGUGGAAAUAAAAAUGAGGGAACGAGAUACAUAAACUUAUUUACUUAUAAAGAGAGUAGGAGGAUUGAGAAUUAAAUUUGCUGGCCUCACAUCAAUUUAUGACUAACUCUUCGAUUUCUAAUUUCUAAGGGGGAUUUAGAAUCUAAAUCUCAUUUUCAAGACGGACUAUACUACCCCGCCCAAAUGUAAUAAUUUUCAUUUUGUCCUUCUUUUAAAUAUUUAAAAAAUAAAUAAAAAUCGCAUGAGUACUGUGCAAAGAUGGAUUGUUCUUGUUAUUGUUGAUGUUACUAUUACUAGCACCGCAUUACAUAUUAUUAAAUUAUUUUAAAUAUUACAAAUUAAAUUAUUUUUAAAUGAGUGAUAAAACCUGAUCAUUUAAUAACCAUGGCCAUUUAACAUAUUUAAACAUAAAAUUUCGUGUUAAAUUAUGUUUGAGUAUAAGGAUAAUGUAAGAUAAUUGGUACUUUAAUUUACAUUUAUGUGCCAACUGAAUAAAGUUCGCUAUUUAAAUUAAAUUAGAAACGGUGAAAUUCAAAAAUUAACUAUUAUUUAGCCAUUCAAACGCAGAGACAAUUUGUCACGGUUCCAAAAGCAUAGCAUCAUUGAAAGUACCGUAUCCCACUUGUAUUAAUAUUCGGAAGAAUGGAAGGAAAAGGGCAUAUGUUUCUCUUCUUCUAUUUUGGUAAUUCUUUUCUUCUUCUUCAACCCCAAAUAAUCAAAAGCUCUCCAAUGGCUUUCGUAUCCUCAACUCGUUCCUUUCAUUUUACUUCAAUUUCAAUAUCGGCUCUUAGAUGUAAUUUCUCCUCUUCGUUCCCUCAUACCGGAAAACCCAAAUCUUCAAUUUUGGAAAAUGAGCCUUCAGAUCCGACUACAACAGCUAAACUGAAGGAGUCGCUACGACUGACGGUCAAAGACCGAGCCUCACUCGAAAAAUUCCUCAAAGAAAGGUGCAAAUCAUCCGGUGAAGGUGAUAUUACUUCUAUUACUCCUAAUGAAGCCUUGUGUGUCUUUGAUUACAUGCUCAAUAUGCGCCCUUCUAGGCCUCCCGUCACUUCCUUCAAUAUUUUGUUUGGUUGUCUUGCUAAGACUAAACAUUAUGAUACUGUCCUUUCACUAUUCAAGAGACUCAAUUCCACUGGGUUGUUUCCGGAUCGUUAUACUUACAAUAUCUUGAUUAACUGCUUUUGCAAAAUGGGUCGAGUUUCUCAUGGUUUUGUUGUUCUUGGGAGAAUCCUCAGGUUUUGCUUUACUCCAGAUGCUGUGACCUUUACUUCUUUGAUUAAAGGUUUGUGUGCGGAGAGUAGAAUCAUGGAGGCCGCCGCAUUGUUUACGAAACUUAGAGUGUUUGGUUGUGAGCCUGAUGUCAUUACGUACAAUACUUUGAUUAAUGGAUUGUGUCGAACCGGCCAUACAAUUGUUGCUCUAAAUUUAUUUGAAGAGACGGCCAAUGGAAAUAGGAAAUUUGGUGUUAUUUGUAAGCCAGACGCUAUUACAUACAAUACUAUUAUAGAUGGUCUUUGUAAGGAAGGUUUUGUGGACAAGGCCAAGGAACUGUUUCUGCAGAUGAAGGAUAAGAAUAUUAACCCAGAUGUGGUUACUUAUAACUCUUUGAUUCACGGUUUUUGUUACGCUAAUGAUUGGAACGAGGCGAAUUGUUUGCUUAUUGAGAUGAUGGAUCAAGGGGUACAGCCUGAUGUUGUGACUUUCAAUGUGAUCAUGGAUGAGCUCUGCAAGAAUGGGAAGAUGGAUGAAGCAAGUAGGUUGUUGGACCUGAUGAUUCAGCGUGGUGUGCGUCCAAAUACUUUUGUCUAUAGCACAUUAAUGGACGGGUUUUGCUUGACUGGUAGAGUUAAUCAUGCGAAGGAACUAUUUGUUUCUAUGGAGAGUAUGGGUUGCAAACAUACUGUUUUUAGUUACAGUAUUUUGAUAAAUGGUUACUGCAAGAAUAAGGAAAUAGAGGGAGCGUUAACCCUUUAUAGCGAAAUGCUCUCUAAAGGAAUUAAGCCAGAUGUUGUUAUAUAUAACACCUUGUUUACUGGCCUUUUUGAAAUACACCAGGUUGAGCGUGCUUUCAAGCUGUUAGAUGAGAUGCAACGUGAUGGCGUGGCAGCUGAUACCUGGACAUAUAGAACCUUUAUUGAUGGGCUCUGCAAGAAUGGUUAUAUUGUAGAGGCAGUUGAACUAUUUCGUACUUUGAGAAUUCUCAAGUGUGAACUUGAUAUUCGAGCCUACAACUGCCUCAUUGAUGGAUUAUGUAAAUCCGGCAGACUCGAAAUUGCACGGGAACUAUUUCGUAGUUUGCCUUGUGGAGUCCUAAUAGCAGAUGUUGUAACAUAUAACAUCAUGAUCCAUGCGCUUUGUACUGAUGGGAAAAUGGACAAGGCACAUGAUUUGUUUCUUGAUAUGGAAGCAAAAGGUGUAGCACCCAAUUGUGUCACAUUUAACACGCUUAUGCUAGGUUGCAUCCGCAAUAAUGAGACAUCAAAAGUUGUUGAACUCCUUCACAGAAUGGAUGAGAGAAAUGUAAUACCAGAUGGAUCUACACUUUCAAUUGUUGUGGACUUACUUGUAAAGAAUGAAAUUAGCUUAAACUCGAUUCCACAAUUCAAGAGUCAAAGUUAAAGUGAGUUUAUAUUGAUUUAGUCUCAUGUUUCUUCUGCCUGAAAACCCGAUCUGGAGGAUCCCAUUCUUAUUACAACAUGUAAAGGAGUGUUGUCUAAUGUUGGCAUGUUCCUAGGUUCUGUCCAUGGAUUCUGUUUGCAGACAUGGCUAACUUCUUGUCCAACAGAUAAGUUUUAAAGUCUUUCAACUUUAUGUUGUAAAAUAACAUUUUUAUUAUUCAAUUCAUGAGUUUUCCUUCUGUAACACAUCCUUCUCAUUAGCUGGAAGUGCAAAUUUUUUAGGCUUUUCCUUAUGGCCUCUUUUUCUUCUCUAAAUAAAAUGGCAUUUUGUUUCCCUCCUGUGAGGUACAACGUUUAUGUUCAAACUUUCUGUUAGUUAAGUUGGUUGUCUUUGAUAUAGGGAACUUCCAGUUGAACUGAUUUGUAAUUCGAGUAUAUGAGAUUACCAACUGUAUUGGGAAUUGAUGCCAAAUUAAUUAUGUCAUCAGGUUUUUCAAUCAGCGUUCAUCAUUUAUUUCUAUUAACAGUUAAUAGCACAGCUUGUCUUCUCAGCUUCAUUGAUUCCUCUAAAAAAUAAUCUUGUAAAGACAAUUUUUUUUUUUUUUUUUGGCGUGGUAAAUGCUAGAUAGUUUGUGGUCUGAAUGAUACUAAUAAUUGCCCAAAUUGCCAUGUAACAAGGAGUGUUGCAUAGUGAUGUCAUGCUCACAGGUACCACUCAUCAACAUGGCCAACGCUUUCGAUGCAGUCAUUAUUAUGGAAAUUCAAGAGUUCUCCUCCUAAGAGGUCUCUCUCUCGUUCUCUUAAUUUCCUUAUUCUGUUUUGGAAGUAAUGUAAUGGGAAAAUAGCAUUUAAUUUCCUUGUGUGUGACAUUUUCUUCUAUAAAUGCUAUAAAAUAUCUUUUUUUUUCAUCAUUGAUAUGUAUUACACAAUCAGAAGACUACUCGUAUUUAUAUGAAACAUCUACUUUAUGGCACAGUUCAGAUUUUUAUCCUUAUAAAUAUUGGAGGGAUAUCUUUAUGUUUCUUCUGUGAUAACGUUUCUGCGUGCUGCAACCUUUUUAUUAGAUUGAUAGAAUGUGAAUACAAGGAAAUUCUGUUUGAUAAUCUCGGCAAACCAGGAUUAAUAUGAAAUGGAGCGUCAUCAACAAAUACUUAGCAUAUUGCUGACUAUGAUUUGUUCUCCUCCCCUCAUUCUUUUUGUGAGUAGAAUUGGAUUGUGAAACUUGUUAUGUCAGCACAAGUGUUCUUACAAGUUGACGUAAAAUACACUGACUUGAAAUAAUGGCAUGGUAAUUGGUAUAGAUAAGCUAGCAUGAGUAUAUUUUGUCACCAAUUUCGCCAACCGCGUCUGGGUGUGGAAAUUAUAUUGCAUUUCUAAUGUCAUUUGAAAGAAAAACUUGCAAAAUUUGUAAUUUGUUAAAUCUGAACCGUGGUUCACAUCUACUCUUCCCGAACUUGAGUCAUAUGAUUCAAUUUUUUAGUGGGCAUGGCGAGAUAGAUUUCUACCAAGCCCAACCCAUUUAUCUACCCUUUUGUAAUUUUCUAUCAUGCAUAUAUUUAUAUUUUUGUAUAGUUAAUAUCUAAUUAUUUAUGUAUUUUUAUCGAAUAACUACUAAUUAUAUUUUUCUAAAAAAUCGGCAUGAAAAGUUCAACUUAAUAUUGAAUUAAAUUUUGAUAAGUAUAUGUCAAAUGUUUGGAAUUCUUUUUCUAGUCUUCAUGAUUGAUUAAUUGGAAAAUAAAUGUGUAUGUAUUAAAAUGGUAUUGGAUAAACAUGCCCCUAUCACCCAAGUUUUCCUUUGGAUAAUUUCCUAACUUGCAAGUUGAUAUCGAUGUUUAAAAAGAACCAAAAAAAAAAAAAAAAAAAUACAUUGAAAUCUUUAUAAAUUACUUCUUGACCUAAUAGUUGACACUUUCUCACCUUAUUCUUGAGGUUGAAGGUUUGAAUUUUCUUAUGUGGAUUUUAGGUGAACUACAGAAAAACAGCUUAUAUGAGACAUUUUCAAAAUAAGUAUGAAUGUGGUACUUAUUCAUCAGAUGGACAUAUUAAUGACGUGAUAAAUUCGUGUUAUGUAAAUUUUCCAGACUGUAUAUUUAUAUUAUAAUAUUAAAUAAAUAAAUAAGAAGAAAGAAAGGAAAAUGCAGCUUCCAAAUUUUUUCAUAGAUUGGCUAUAUGCACAAACAGCAAAUCAAAACAAAAAGAAAGGAUGUGACAUGACCUUACUUCCUGUUAUCCCAGUUAUGGAAUUCAAGUCAAUCUUUGAAGUAAUGCACUUUUAUUACUCUAUGACAGAGACAGGUCCAAGUCUUUCUUCCAAAUUCAUAAUCUUCAACAUUUCUCCAACCAAUCAAGCAAGGCUAGAGAUAGGUAACAUACAUUUUGAUGUACAUUUGGCUUUUGUAUCAUCUACUUCACUAGUGAUCCAUUAAAUGGAUCCACCAUUAACGUAAAUGCUAGUUUAACUAUUGACAGUGGAGCAAGUAUGUAUGUGGUCCCUACGCACAAGCAUACACGCCCAUUAAAGCAUUUACUCUCCUCAUCAUUGGAUAUGAAUUUUGUGAACUAUAUAUCUUUUUGGGGGUUUCAUUUAUCUUUCCGGUCUCUUAUGAUCAUUCACGGCUCCUGCUGCUGCUUCUUAUUGGCUCUUUGACAUCCUCUGUCUUGUUCUUGCUGUGUGUGUCAGCCACUAGCAACUGCUUCAAGCAAUGUGAGUUUGUUGCGUGAGCUUCCGUUUUGGUUAUUUUCAAUUAUUAUUUUUGUUGAUGGGUUUGUGAUUUUGUGCUGUAUUAUUACAGGAUUACACUGUUUAUAUGGAAGAGAGAAGAUAUGAUGAGCCUUAGCUGGUUCAGGAUUCGGACCAUCAGAUUCUUUCGGAUAUUCUUGGAAGGUUUAUAUUUCAAUCUCUUUAGCCGAAUUUACCUAUUAUAUUUUUAUCAUAUAAACGCUAUGCAAAAUGUUUAUGUUAAUGUAUGGCGAAAAUUGAAAAAUGGAAAAUAAAAAUAUUUGUGCUGCUUUCACUAUUUAUCUAUGUUAAUCUGUUUGAUAAAAUGAAGUGGAUGUCAUUAUUUCCAUGCAUCAGUAAUUACAAUCCAUAUUAUGCUCUUGCUAGUCUGUGCUCCAUUUGAACAUCGCAACGAACUUAUUUACUUACAUAUAUUUUGUGCUUUCUGGUUGGAAAUUGGAAGUUUUAACCAAUUUCUGAUCAGAAACAGCCCUUUUGAGUGCUAUGGCAGAAACCGCAGACGCGGCCUAACCUUCAUUUUUAAUUUGUAUCAAUUGGUAGUUUUUUAUAACUCUCUCUUUUCCCCUCUAUCAAUAAUGAAUGGUAUUCGCUAGAGAAACCGUAAGGGGACUAAUCAUUGUGAAAAGCACUAGGUGAUAACUAGCAGUUUCAAUUUGACAGCAAAGAAGCUGCUAAGGAAUCAAUUCUCUGUACAGCCACAAGCAUGGUUUUUCUGGAUUUGCCGCAGUCUUAACAGUCUCAAGCCAAGUUAACUGCAGGUGUUAUAAUGUUGGUGAAUGAAAUCUGUUUUAGCUGUCCAAAUUUGUUUUAUUAACCAAUAUUUUCUGUUGAUACGUUUUGUAUGAUGCAUUUGUGCAGAUCACCCUGCCGUGGUCUGUAUUGUACCAAAUAGGACACUCAGUUUGCACACAACCAAAAUGUUGUGAAUGAAAUUCCUUCAAAAGGCCAUUCAGGCGCUGGAAGUUAUUUUCAGAUUCAUGGAAAUAACUAUAAUACUGGUGGCAUUUAGUUUCCAAGUGAUCUUGGUAGUUCAAUAAGUUCUAGUUCUACACUUGUUUCCAAAGGUUUUGGUUACAUGAUGGUCUGCCCGUUGAAUUACAAACUUGUGAUGAUUUGUACAAGAGGAAAAAAUGUAUUGGUUGGAAUUUUUGUUUCAUAUGAUAUAACUCUGUGAAACAGCUUUACAUUUUGUGUUCAAGUUGAACAACAUACAAUUUGAACGAAGAUUAUUCAAUCAAAUUGAAGAUUUCUGUUUGAAUAUUUUGAAUGACAAAAUUAAAUUUACUUUCAUGCAGAUGCAGUAGCAUUUAAUCAAGUUCCUUGUGCUGUUGAAACAAAAAUAUAACAUCCUUGCUUGCAUUUCAACAUGAUAUGAUGCUACUCUUUUACUGUUAACCAACACACAUACAUCAUGUAGGCCUAAUGGCAAAUGUUGUAAUAUAUAACAUCAUGAUCCAUGGGCUUUGUAAUGAUGGGCAAAUGGACAAGGCAUCAUGAUCCCCCCCCCCCUCCUUUUUUGCUAUGGAUUGUAUUUCUUUUUUUUUCUACUUUUACUUGCGUUGACAAUUUGAGCUUGCUGUCUUGUGGUCUUAGAACCUGCUAAAGUAAGCGUGUAAGCGACAGUGAAGAAGGGGAAGGGUUUACUCGUCAUUUUCUUUUUGAAAGCAAUGCGUUUUAUGCGGUGAUAUUUUUUUUAUCUACGUUGUGAAAAAAUUUGACUGAUUUUGAAGAUCCUUAAAGAUCGUCCAUCUUGGUUCUGGCAUUGUUGCAGCCUUGAAGUUUGCAAAAUGAUUCCUGCUGGAUAAAUUGAACAGCUGCCUCUUUGAUGGAUUAUGUAAAUCUGGCAGACUUGAGUUUGCAUGUGAAUUGUUUCGUAGUUUGCCUCGUCGAGUCCUCGUGGCAGAUGCUGUAACAUAUAACAUCAUGAUCCAUGGGCAUUGUGACGACGGCCGAAUGGAUAAGGCACAUGAUUUAUUUCUUGAAAUGGAAGAAAAUGCUGUGGCACCCAAUGUGAUCACAUUUGGUACGUUUAUCCAUGGUUUUAGCCAAAUCAAUGAGCCAUCAAAAGUUAUUGACCUUCUUCACAAGAUGAGGGAGAAAAAAGUAAUGCCAGAUGCAUCUAUAGUUUCAAUCGUUGUGGACUUACUUGUAAAGAAUGAAAUUAGUCUGAACUCACUUCCGUCAUUUCCUGUCCAAGAGCGACAGGGGGAAGUUGAUGAGUGAAAUGUCAAGUUGUAGCAGCAUGUGCUUUCAGCCCAAAAUCCUGAUCCGCAGCAUCUCAUUCAUGUUACAAAAUGACAUGUUGGCUGGUGACAGCAUGUUCUCUCCGGUGCUGUUAAUGGAUUCUGAUUGUUCUUGUGAUCUGGAGAGUUUCAUUCAUAUUACAGAUCCUUAUCAGGACGAGCUAGCAUAUGUGAUCACCAACUGUACAUGGUUGUUGAUGCCAAAUUAAAUUAUGGUAUCAUGUUUUUCAACUUGUUAUUUAAUAUAGUGCUUCCAUUGAACGGCCACAAGAAACUGUAGAAUCACCGUGUCUUGUUUAGAAGCUAAUGAAUUAGUUGCACCUUGUCACUUUAUUGAGACUUGAUUGUCAUUUGUGCUUUGAAUUUACAGCAUAUUUUAUCCUUGCUGUACUCUUUGCAUAAUCACUUUUGAGGGCUGCUAGUAUGUAUAAUUGAAAAACCUUAUAUAAAUUGUAAGCAUUUUUAUUUAACUUGUUGUAAACGUCCAGUAUAUGUCUCUCCUGUGAAAUGAUUCAUUCUCCAUGCUGCUAGGGCCUAGGCUUAUGACUCUCUGAAAUGAUUUACCCUCACCUGCGCACAGACAUUUAUCACAUUCGAGAAAUCUUCAAACAAUGUGAAAAAAAUGCCUCAAACACGACAUAAACUUAGUUGUUUACAUGAAAAGUGGCAGAAACUUGGUGAAAUUACCGAUUAAACUUCCAAAUAACAUUUCAAAUGGUAUUGUGAAAAAUUUCACUCUUUUGGUAAUAAAAAAGAACCUUAUUUCUAGUUCUCUAUUAACAAUCUUACCACUAAGUUCUCUCUUAAGUAAACACAUAUAUAUGUUAAUUUAUUGUUAAUAUAAACAAAACUAAAUAUUUAUAACUUAAAAGAUAAGUGUUGAAUAGAGGCGUUCUCACAGGGAAAAAAAAAAAGUAUUUAAAAAUAGUGGUGAUAUCAUAAUUUUUUAUAUUGAUACGAGAAUAUCACACUAAAUUUUUAUACCAUGUAUUGGCAAGACAAAGUUUCUUGAAACUGACAAACUUUUCUCUAUGAAGAUUGAAGACAAUAUGAUAAGAUAAAAUUUAUCAAAAGCAUAUAUGCUUGCCAGGGCUGGACCUUUGAUUUUUAGUCCUCGCCUUUCGUUCUUGUUUCAUAUUCUUCUGCUAACAAAUCUUGAUCAGGAUGAGUCUCCUUUUUUCUUUAAAAAAAACCCACACGUAAAGUCUUGGCCAUAAGCCUCAAGACCUAUUGGCUGUUGCAGUGGUGAGUUCACUCUCAGGAAUCAAAUCUUUCAAAUUCAAGCGAAUUUGAAGAAGCUCGAAUUUGAAGAAAUUUCAAAUGCCUCGUGCAGGCCUAAUGCCAAAUGUUGUAACAUAUAACAUCACGAUUCAUGGGCUUUGUAACGAUGGGCAAAUGGAUGAGGUACAUGAUAUAUUCACGCUUCUGUCUAUAACACAUUAAUGGAUGGGUUUUGCUCGACGGGUAGAGUUAACCAUGCGGAGGAACUAUUUGGUUCUGCCAUUGUUGCAGCCUUGAAGUUUGCUAAACGUUUCCUGCUGGAUAGAUUGAAAAAGUUUGUCUGGAUGGCCUGGUUUUGAAUUGAUUUUAAUAGAAAACGAGCUUCAAGCAUGUGCUCCAACUACUCUGGCAUGAGGUAAUACUAUAAUUUAUUUAUUUUUAAUGAGUGAGGCUAUAAAUCCUGAAUUCCAACUUGACAUGGCAUUAAUCUGGUGAGUGGCAGAAUAUUAAUUAAAACAAAAUCAUUUUCAACUUAACUUUCACAUCAAACAGAGGGGCUAAUAUGCUUUCCGGAUUAUGAUCCGCUGGCAAUCGGAAAGCCAAAAAAUUAAUUAUUCCAUUAUUAAUUCCAAUAGUAUCGCUGUAUCAGCUAAAAAGCACAAGAUUAAAUUGAUUUACGCACUUGCACCAUUUAUUUAAGCAUACUGUUGGUUUAGCGUUUGCUUAAAUUUGAAAGUAGAGUGUUUCCAUGCCACAGUGCCAUGACAUUGGUGAUUGGCCAACAGUUUUUUUUUUUUUUUUUUUUGUGUAAUCUUUUUUGGUUGCAGUAAUAAAAUGUUAAUCCUUUCUUCUCAUGAAUGUUUUCUUGAACUGAAAUGUUAAUCAUUUCUUCAUGUUGAGGCAUUAAACUACUACAGACCUAGGGUGGCAAUAUAUGGAAGUAAAUGGUCGUUUAGUAGGACCCUUUAAUUAGGGUAUUAGCUGCUCAAUUUGGAGAUCUCAUGGACCAACAAUUUAUCUGGAAUGUCACAUUCACAUAUUUGAUUGAAAAAGGAAUUAAGGAAUUUCAGGUGGCCCGGAAACGCAACCAACUAUACCCGACAAUGGCAGAAGACAUUAUAGAUUAUCGAUUAUUGAGUUAAAUAUGAAUGGUGGGAUUUCAGGUGGCCUAAAAAGUUAAACAUGAAUGUUCUACAUAAGGUUAUCUGUAACUUGAAGUUCAACAAAAAGUUUUAAAACUAGAUAUUACAAUGGUGGGAUUUUGCCUUUUAUCUCUUGUUUCUCUUCCCUUAAUCGUUUCUUGGCAUGUUUUAUCAGCUCUUCCUUUGGGUCAUUUUGUAGGACGGGUUACACCAGCUAAGCACAUGGAAAGGUUAUGUAGACUGGACUCUGGAGGAAUAAACCUGCCCUGAGAGGCCGUCAUGGUGGCAUGCUUUGCUGCUUGUUUUGUCUUGGGUCGGUCUAUUUUUCCUAUUACUAAGGCACAUUUGCACCGUUAUGUCUUGCGAACGAUUAAACAUUUACACUUUAUAGUAAAAAAAAUUACAUAUUAAGAGAAAUAUUAUAUUUGCAUGCUGAUAUGAAUUAGCACUAGAAACAUGAGGCUUGCUAAUUAGAAUUGUUAUAUUGUCAAACUCAGCUGUGGAGGUACUGGAGAAUCCAGUAUAUCUGGCCAAUGCAAGCAACCUUGUGCUGUAUCUUUCAAAGUUUAUGCGUUUUUCACCAUCCAGCUCUGCAAACAUAGUUACCAAUUUCAUGGGUUCCUCUUUGCUCUACUUGGUGGCUUUUUUACGGUUGCUUUCUUCAACACCGACAGCAGCUAUGUCAUAAGUGAGCAAUAGAAUUCAUGGUAAGUUUUUUGUUAGGAUCAAACUUUUUAACUUGUUAAAUUUUUGUAAUUUCUUACUAAUAAGGCAGAGUUGCCUAUUUUUAUCCGAUUAUCAUGCCUCAUACAAUUUUCUUGGGAUUUGCUUCGAUGCCUCUGUGACUCACCAUGAAACUCAAAAACUUUCUAAAACUAGCUCCAAAUACACAUUUCUUUGGAUUAAACUUCAUUUGGUACUCCCUCAGCAAACCAAAUGUUUCUUUCAAAUGCUGCACGUGGUCACUCGAGUUGUGAGACUUUGUGAUAAUGCCAUCCUUAUAUGCCUCCAUUAUGUUCCCAAUCAGCAGCUUGAAGAUCUUAUUCACGAAUCUCUAGUAUGUUGCUCAAACAUUUUUCAAGCCAAAGGACACGACAUUAUAACAAUACAGCCCUUGGUUAGUAACAAAAGAAGUAUGCUCCUCAUCCUGCUCGAACAUCGGUACAUGGUUGUAAUCCAAAAAGGCAUCUACAAAGCUGAGAAGUCCAUGUCUAGUUGUGGAAUCGACCAACUGAGCUAUUUUAGGCAAUGGAAAAAUAUCUUUGAGGCAUACCUUAUUGAGGUUCAUGAAAUCCAUGCACAUUCUCCACCUCCUGUUCACUUUCUUCACCUACAUCACGUUCGAAAGCCGCUACGAGUUGUUUACCUCCUUGAUGAAACCUGCAUGUAAAAUUUUAUCCACUUCACUACUAAUGCCGUCAUACCUAUCCUAGUUAAAGCAUCUUCUGUUUUGUUUCAUCGGUCUCGCAUCUCUGCUCACUGCUAACUUGUGACAAGCCGCCUUGGCAUCGACCCCUGGCAUAUCUUUGUCCUGCAAGCCAAACACAUUAAAAUGUGGUUGCAACAACUCCACCAGCUUUGCUUCCAAAUCUUCCCCAUGGGUGGCUUUAAGUAUAGGCGAACAAGGCCGUCGCCUAAGCUCUCAUAUUUUAAGAAGACCUCAUUUUUUAAGUAUUUCCUUAAUAAUUCUCUAAUUAAUAAAAUAUUUUAAUAUAUAUUUUAAGAAAUUAAAAAGUUUAUUAGAUAUCUCUCUAUUCUUAAUUAUUCUAUAAUUAAGAAUUAUUUUUUAUAAAAAAAUCUAUAUUUGGGAACCUUAAUUUUAAAGAAAUAAUUAAUACUAUUCUUUAACCAUUAGUUCAUUCCUUUUCAAUUAUUCAAUGUUAGCAUAUUUGACUUUUAAUAUUUCUUUUAAUUUCUAUUAAAAACCUCAUAAUCUCAAGAAUUAGUAAAUGAAAAAAAUUUAUUGUUCGCUUCUCUACAAAUAAAAUUUUUAUAUUCGUUGGUUCAUUUAAAAUAAUUAGUUUCUUAAAAUAUAAAGUCCAUUUUUAUUUUUGAACAUCAAUUCAUCAUUUUAAAAUUUUUAUAUUCUAUCUUUCUAAAUAUUCUAUUUGAAAAUAAAAUUGUUUUUAUUUAUUUGUUUGUUUAUUUUUUAACGGUUUUAAUGGAAUAAAAAAAUUAUCUUCUUGACUAUUUUUUAGGUUUUAUUUUUUAAAUUUUUGAUUUUUUUAUUAUUGUUGAAAUUCAAGAAUUAAAGAUGGAAUAAAUUUUGAUCCUUUGUAUAUAUCUUUGAGUAUUAAAAUUACAAAACAAUAGAGGUCUCAUAAACAAAUUUCGCCUAAGGCCUCUCAAACUCUAAAGCUGGUCCUGAUCUUCCCCCUAGGGGUAGCCAUAAAUUUUGGGUUCGAUUUAGUUUAACCUUUAAAAUCCGAACAUGUUUAAACUUAGAACCUAUUCGUUUUUAAUUGUUUUGUCAAACUUUUAGGAGAUUAAAGGGGUGUGAAAGGACAUAAGAAGUCUUGUUAUGGCUUGGCCCUUUAUAAUAGAUAUUGGUGCACAUGCUCUUUUCUUCUAUAUUUUUAGAGAAAGAAAAUUAGUAUAUGAUCUGUUUGAAGUCGCCUGGAAUUUCAAAAAUCCUAUGCUUCAAUAUAUUAUUAAUCAAAUCCCCUUAUAUCUUGAUAAAAUCUUUUUUACUCUUUCAUUCGCAAGGAGCUGGAUGAUGGCUGGAAAUAAGGAAAUUCCUUUUUUUUUGUUUCACCCCAAUUGUUCUUGUAUUUGUAUAUUGCCAUAUAUCAUAAAAUACAAAUUUAUGUAUGUCAAAAUGAAAUCGAUCUUAAAAAAAGAAAAAAAAGAUCUCGCGUUACUGCCGCUUACACACCCCCAUGCCACAGCUGCUAUUAAUUCCGUUUGGCGCACCAGCAUUACAGCUUCUAGCUGUUCUUUCUUCCUUGAGUUGAUUUGGUUCCUCGUUCUAGGCUUCAAGUUAAUGUCGUCUUCAGCCAUUCUAGAGUCGUUUACUUUUGAUCUAGCUGUUGCUGUCUCUACCUCCUUCUUCAUUAAUUGCCAUCAGCCGCAUAAAGGAAGGAUGUGAGUUUAUGUUUACGAUUCCUAAUGGUGAUGAAUAAGACAUGGUGUAAGAGAUGUUGUUAACUGAAUUUAGUAUGCUUUCUAGGAUCAUAUGCAAUACAUAUGUAUUUCUUGUAUAAUUGUUGUUUGUAUAUUGUAUUUCAAUCGGGCAUGGCUAUCUUUGUCUUACUCUUGUACAUUUCUAUUACUUUAGAUAACUAUUAAGGUGUAGAUGGCUUUCACGGAUAAAUAAUAAGCAAUUUUAGGAGCUUUUCGUGUAAAAAUAUAGAACCUAUAUUGUUGAAAUGUCGAGUAUACUUAGUAGUUGAUAUUUGUUUAUAUUUUUACAUUAAUCUGGGAUGGGAUUUGAACUUUAUAACCGAAAUUGAAUCUAAACCAAAAUUAAGAUAAGAAUAUUCAAACUAAAUCGAUCCAAAAUGCAAACCUAAACCAAAUUGAGCUAAAUUAAAUUUGAUUUAGUUUGGUUUGGGUUUACUCUCUAAACCUGAUUGGAUUGACUUCUCCAACCCAAUUAAGUUUUAGCCCAAAUUGAAACCUAAACAACCUGAAUCAAAACCCGAUUUGCCCACCCUUAUGAUACGAACCCAUCCAAAAACUAACGCAACCCUAAUCAAUUUAAUCUCUAAGAUUAAAUAGAAGCACUACCCAAUGUUCAAUGAAAGCAUGAACCUUAGUAUGUGAGGAUGCUACAAUCAAUUAUGGAUGAUUUGAUUAUAAGUUAAGAGUUUGAAUGACACAGAAAUUUGAUAAAUUCAAAUAGUUUGUUUAAGAAUAAAAAAGAAUUAACUCUCUCACUAAUUGCAUCAAAAUUUAUUUGUCUUUGUUUAUUAGAUGCGAGUACAUUAUAUAGGAUUGGUUACAAAAAUUUUUAGAAAUAAAUCCUAAACCGAAAUCAAAUCAGAAUCCUAAUCUAAUGCAAAUAAGAAAAGAAUUUUAGUCAAAUCAUAAUCCUAAUCAAAGCAAGUAGGAAAGAAUCUAAAUCGAGUCAAAAUUAUAAUCUAAGUAAAUAGGAAAGAAUCUAAAUAAAAUCAUAAUCCUAAUCGGUUUAAAUAAAUUACAUCAAUUAAAAUAAAAACUCAACAAUUAAAAGAGAAAUAACUUCUUGUUUCUCCACCAGCAUCAUCCAGAAACGGGAAAGUAUUCAAAAAGAAAAGUAGCAUAUUUUUCAAAUGGAAAAGUAUAUGAAAAAGAAAAAUAAGAUAUUUUCUCGCCGUAAUGUGCAAGCCAACUUCCUAUUUUAUGGAAGUGAUUAUUUGGAAACUUUAAGAGCCGUAAUCAUGUAUUUAUCACGUGCAAUUCCUUCAAUAGGCCUCUAUAAAUUUGAUCGAGCCUCAAUUACUUGAAUAAACCCAUUAAACGCUUCUUUAAAUUUGUUUGUUCGAGCUCUAGUGACAGGUCCAACGAUAACUUGAAUAGGAUUUGAAUAUAUCUCAUCCCACGUGCUUGUGAUAGUUUUGUCCUCAAUCUAAUCAUUUUACUUCCCUAAUCUCGACCCAAUCUUUAAAAUUUUUUCAUGCUAGCUUGACUUUACUAUGACUGCCUUGAGAUUUUCAACUGGUUUUUAUCUCUCUUUCUUGAAAUCUCUUCAAGUGUCAAGUUAUCUACGUGGCUUCUUUAGUCGCGGACACAUAAUCGCACCUAACAAUUCUCUAGUCACCCUUUACAACUUUUGCCACACUAUUUACUCAUUCUUUGAGUGCCAUGUAAUGGUUAGACAUCAUGGACUUGCUAAUCCUCAUAAAGGGUCUUCCAAAAAUUAUUUGAUAUGGGCUGUCUUCCUCGACUAUUAUAAAAAAAACUGGCAUGAUGGUCUUUUCAAAUGGUCCAGAGCCGAUCGUUACUAGCAGCUCUAGGCAUUAAUUUUCCUCUUCUAUAUCCUUUCAAAGAACUGUUGGUGUGCUUGUUGGGUAAAAAUUCAAAUACUAUGGGUGUCAAUGUGUAAGUAUACACAACAAGUAAUAUAAUGAUAAAUAUACAAGAUCAUCUCCACAGGGGUUGAUGUUACGAAAAUUACUACAGCAAGCUUAACAAUUUUGGUUGAAGUGAAAGUAGAUUGAUCAAUUAAACAAAUAAACUACCUAAUAAAAUGCAAUAAGUAAAUAUGCAGAAAAGCAAACUCUCAGGUCAAACACAAAAAUAAAAUCAAUAGGAAUGAAGUAGUUGAGUGACUAAACUCUUUUAAUGGAAUUGACUAUUUCUUGCAAAUUUCGAUUCAGUUGCUGCAGCAUCUGCUACAGUACUAGGCAUAAUCCUCAUGCAUCAUCAGCUGUCGCAUGUUGGAUGUCUUAUAUCUAUAUGCAACCUAACAAUGACCAAUUGUUAUGCCAACAUAAUAUAUAUCAUUACACAUUUAGGUUCUAUUUACCCUAUAAGGUGAAUCCCUAUAUCUAGUUCAUCACUAAUUUUAGAUUAAGUAUGACCUUUUUUGGAAUCAAGUUGAACUCAAUCUAGGAACCCAAUCUAAAACUAAAUAUUAUUCUAAUAUGUUCCACUAAGAUAAGCCAUUUUGUGGCUCUUUCCUAGCUUGUACCAUUAAAUGGGUAGUCAGCUAAAAUAAUGACUUUAAAUAAAUACUAUCACAACAAAAUGUUAUAGCAAACAUGCAGCCAGGGACGUAGCCAGGAUUUUGAUCGAGUUGGGGCACAUUUAAAAUAAAAAAUGACUUGAAUGCGCGAUUGCUCGUGUGGUAAGUGUGGGCCCCACAAACUCCAAAUGGGAGCUUGCCACAUGUACAAUCGUGCUCCUUAUAGAGUGUUUCUGACUGCAUCUAAUUAAAAUGCUAUUAAAAUAUAAUACACUUCUAAAAAUUUAGAUGGAAAUAUAUAACAUUAUGUUGAGUGUUAGAAAAUGGAUAUUUAUAAAGGAGAAAAUCGUCAUUUUACAUUUCAAGUCUUACUAACAACCCUUACUUUUAUGUAUUUAAGCUUCUUGUAAUUUAAUUAUGUGUGUUUGAUUUUAAUUAAGUAUUUUAUGUAUUUUAGGGGCAUCAUAGUCAAUUCACAAUAAAUGAGAGAUCAAACGAUAAAACGGACAUCACUUUUGAACUCAGGACGGUCGAAAACCUUAAGAGAAGCAUAAAAGGAAAAAUGGCACUGUUCACAUGUACGGUACUAUUCAUAUGUACGGUACUGUCUACGUUACUGUUCACGACACUGUUCAUAUAGACGGAUCGAUGACGUGGCAUUGACCGAUGAUGUGGCAUUCACUGAUGAGGUGUCAUGAUCCUGUUGGACUAAAAUUCUUAUGUACUGUUGAUGGUGACGUGGCAGCAUAUUAGUGGACUAAAAAACGUGUGUACGGUACAUGCAACACAUGGGAAUAUUUUCAACCAAACCGCAUUACUGUUCAAACCGUGUCACUGUUCAAACCGCGUGGUCAAACCGUGUUACUGUUCAAACUGCGUACUGUUCACUGAUGACGUGGCACAAUCCUGAGCAUCCAAACUGUUUUCAAUCCGAUGGCCAUGAUUUACUCAAUGUAUCUAUAAAAAUGGGACUUCUCCCCCCGAACGCAUGCGAUUGCUCAUGAGGAAUAACAUACCUGCUGAUAUCUUUUGGUUAAUCGAGGUGAAAGUACGAUUGGCAGGUGAGUUACCUCCAAAAUUUAUUGCAUACAUGCCUGGUUGUGGUAAAGAAAAUUAUGCAAGAAAACGAUGAGCUCGAAGAAUUUCUGUUGCUUGUCAUAAGUAUGCCAGAAUGAGUUGCGAUAAAAAUCCAUAUUCUUUAGGAAUGGCGUCUGAUAACAGGGAAUAUAAGAUUCAAUUCAUUAGGGAUGACUUGAAUAAGGAGUCAUUGGAUGAUAUCCUUUUAUCUCUUGAAACGCAUCCCAUUAGAUAUGUGCAAGGAACGAUUAUUCAGUUAUGACCAUUAUUCCAGAAAGAGCAUGCACGAUAUAGUCUCGGGAAUCUGACUAUAAACGACCAUGUUUGCCAGUUUAUAAAAAAAUUGGAUGGGAAGCCUAUCCUAGACCCAUAAAGGGCGUUCAAGCCGUUUCUGGACGUAAAACCAGAGGAAGAUGUGAGCCACAGUCGCAACUACCUGUAAAUAUCCUUUUACUUUACUGUUAUUUUAUUUUACUGUUGUUUUAUUGUUUGUAUUAUUGUCUUUAAUAAUUUUAUUGUUGUUUGCUUUUUCCUUUUUACUGUUUCCUUUUUUACUCGCGAACCAUGUGCUUUACGCGUUAUUUGACACUGACAUACUACCUCAUACACAGCUGUGACCCACUGUCCCCAAGAUUCUUAAAUAUGAAUUUUUGUCAAGCACUCACAAAUUAUUUUUGAGAAGUAUCCCAAUGACAGCUACUCCACAUAGACAAUUUAAGAACAUUUGUGUGCUUUCUGGAUUUAACUAUGGCAAACCUAAAGAGUUCGUUGAGGCAGCCAUAGAUCUUGGUCGAAGCAUAGCAGAGAGAAAAUUACACUUGGUGUAUAGAGGAGGUAACUGAGGGUUAUUAAAAUUGGUCUCAAAAGCUGCUUUUGUCAGAGGAAGCCAAGUGCUAGGCAUCAUCCCAAGCGUCCUAAAACCUUUGGGCAGUUUGUCUGACUCAUCGACUGGAGAAGAGUUAGUCGACUCAGGUAUGCAAGCAAGAAUAACUGAAAUGCUUAAUCAUGCUGAUGUUUUUAUUUUCCUUCCAGGAGAUCUUACAACACUAGAGGCACUUAUCACACUAGCAUCUUGGGCCCAUCUGCACAUUCACCAGAAACCCAUCGGUUUGCUAAAUGUCAAUAACUUUUAUGAUGGCUUUAUCGCAUUUCUUAACCAUGCAAUAAAAAAAUAUUUCAUUCCUUCAAAUGCGAAAAAACUUUUUAUUUGUGCUCACACUGCUACUUGAUCUGUUACAAGCUCAUAGACCGGAGCCAAACCCCUGGACCUUUGUGUUGGAGCGUCCAAAUAAUGAUGGUAACAGUAGCAGCAGUAAGAAGUACAAAUUAGAUUUAACUCUCCGCUUGUAAAUAUUUUCUUUUGUGUUGCACCACUCAGGUGAUGCCUUCUACACUCUACUUCUUUCCUUUAAAACAUUGAGGACAAUGUUUCAUUCUGGUUGGGGAGAGGGAAUAGUCGACAAUUGUGGAAUCUUGGUUAAGUUUUUACUGAUUUUUUGUUGUAGAAACUAACUGUUGCUAACUUUUUAUGUUGAAGAUGGCUGAAUAUGGAGUGUAGUGACUCUAGAAACGCAUCUUCAUUGUUUGAAAAAAAUUAAAAAAAAAAAUCAGACAUUUUCUUUUUCUUUAUUAAGUUUUGAUGUUCAUUUUUCUUCUUCUUUUUAAUUUCUCCUCUAUAAAUAUACAUUUUCAAAUUGUUGAGUCGAAGAUGGCUGAAUAUGGAGUGUAGUGCCUCUAGAAACGCAUCUUCUUAGUAAAAAAAAAAAUUUCUUUUUCUAUCAUAUUAAGUGUAACUUUUCUAAUUAGUUUUUAUACAUCCUUUUCACAUUUCUGCAUGCAUAUUUUCCUUUCAUGUUUAGGAUAGGUUGGGGGGUAUAACGUUGUUUAAAAAAAAACAAAAACAAAAAAAAAAAUUUGUGUGAUUUGUUUUAAUAUUGGAUGACAUGAUUAAUUUCAUAUUUUAGUAUUUGUAUUAUCUUUGGUCUUAAGUGAUGUUACACUAUGUUUGCUACUCUACAUGUUGAUGUCGGAGAUAAAUAUGAGUUGCUUGAAGGAAUGAACAUGUCAUAAUAAGUACCAAGUGAGUUUUUGAGCCUAUCAUUUUUCUUGGAGAGUAACCCUUUCCCACAUUUUUUAUACAGCUUAACAGUUUAUUAUUUUAUACACGAUCUCUAGAUUUCUUUUGAGUUAACCCUUAAAACAAAAUUUGUAAAAAAAAGAAGAAAAAAAUGUGUGUUGCUACAUUUGGAGGUCCAUCUAACUAGUAGAUAUGGAAGAUUAUUUAGAGCCCUAAAAGACGGUGGAAAGGUCAUCUUUGAUCCGUUUGAGUCUUUCUACCCAUCCCUUUUAUGAAAUAUCUAUUGUUAACCCUUUUGAGCCUUUUAAAAAAAAAUUAAAAAAAAAAAACCUUUUCUUUGUCAACUUAUCAUCUUGACCCACUCUGAUUUGGAGUAUUAUCCAAUAUCUUACAAGUUCCAUCACCUAUUUAUGUUUGAGAAAAAUGUAAAUAAAUAUUUUGUACAGUGAAGUUAUGCCCAACAAAAGCAAAAACAAAAAAACAAAAAAUUGUUAUUUAAAAAAAAAAAGAAAAAAAUAACAAUAAAAGGUGAAAUCCACCUUACAACUUCAAAAAAAAAAGUUCUCUAUAGUUUUCUCAAACAUACACUUUGUUUUCCUUAUUUCCCUUCUUUGUUAGUCAUGUCCCUAGCCUACGUUACGUCCUAAUAAAAAUCCUUCUUGAUUUUAGGGAACUAUAGUCUGAAGUAAAUUGGGUUGACUACCAUUUUUGUUUGACUUGAGAUCGUAUUAUUUCUAAACUGAGGGCAUAUUUCUUUCAUCUUGGUGAGAGCAUGUGAUAUCACUUCUUUAUUAUUUUCUCUCAAUUAUCAUUCAUUGGAAUAACUAUUUUUAUUGGGUUUAAUUUCUUUGUAAGAGUGUCACUACUUCCAGUGAGAUUUUGGGGUUUGACAUGUCAUUCUUGAAAGUAACUGUGACAAUCUACUAAGCUGAUUCAUGUGGAUGGUUGAUGUGGGCGUGAUGUUCCUUUAGACUGGAGAUAAUGCUUAUACUUUUAUUUGAUUACUAUCAUUAGUCUGAUUAAAUAAACACGAGUGUUUAAAAAAAAAUCAUUUUGAAUUUGAAUUUUAUUUUCGCUUUAUUUGCUAGGGACUAGCAAUAAGUUGGUUGGGGGGUGUGUUGAGUAUUAGAAAAUGUAUAUUUAUAAAGGAGAAAAUAGUCAUUUUACAUUUCAAGUCUUACUAACAACCCUUACUUUUAUGUAUUUAAGAUUCUUGUAAUUUAAUUAUGUGUGUUUGAUUUUAAUUAAGUAUUUUAUGUAUUUUAGGGGCAUCAUAGUCAUUUCACAAUAAACAAGAGAUCAAACGGCAAAACGGACAUCACUUUUGAACUCAGGACGGUCGAAAACCUUAGGAGGAGCAUAAAAGGAAAAAUGGCACUGUUCACAUGUACGAUACUAUUCACAUGUACGGUACUGUCUACGUUAUUGUUCACGACACUGUUUAUAUAGACGGAUCGAUGACGUGGCAUUGACCGAUGAUGUGGCAUUCACUAAUGAGGUGUCAUGAUCAUGUUGGACUAAAAUUCUUAUGUACUGUUGAUGGUGACGUGGCAGCAUAUUAGUGGACCAAAAAACGUGUAUAUGGUACAUGCAACACAUGGGAUUAUUUUCAAUCAAACCGCGUUACUGUUCAAACCGUGUUACUGUUCAAACCGCGUGGUCAAACCGCGUACUAUUCACGCAUAUUGUUGACUGAUGACAUGGCGCAAUCUUGAGCGUUCAAACUGUUUUCAAUCCGAUGGCCAUUAUUUACUCAAUGUAUCUAUAAAAAUAGGACCUCUCCCCCCUAAUUUGGAUCUCUGAAUCCAUUUUUGGACUCUAUUUUAUGUAAUUCCUUCUCCAUCUUGUAUUUUCUACGUAUUUUAAUAAAUUCUCAUUUUGCCCCUAGUUCAAUUAUGAGUGGCUAAUUUUCUUUCAAGUUUGGGUUGAAGGUGAAGUCUCAACAUGUGUCAUGGGCUUUAUUUGGUAAAUUUAUUUUCUCUUCCCCUCUUGUUUUUGUGGAUGUUUUGACUUUUCGUUGACAAAUAAUAAUAAUCUUGUCUAGUACCGCCCUGGUUUCACCGGCUCCCUAGUAUAAGAUUAUUAUUAUUUGGCACGAUAAGCCCUUAGCACCAUAUUGAUUAGAGCGUGGUUCAUGAGGUGUGGAUUCCCCCCUCAUGAUUUAAUUGGCAUUAAUAAGGAUUAUUUAGCCCAUGAUGCAUAUUGAUACGGAUCCAGAUACUCAAGUACGUCAUUUCAAUAGAUUUUCACUUCAAUUUAUUCUUGCCAUUUCAAUUCCAAUUUUAGGAUCAUUUAAGUCACUUUCACCACAAAAUCCAACCACUUCAUACAAAAUUAAUUCUACAUAUAACUAAAAUCCACCUCCUCGUGGGAUCGACACUCGUCACCAUUAGUCUAUUCUACAAUAGAUUCGUGCGCUUGCGAGUUCAAUAAAAUUUGCACAACACAUUACAACUAUAAUAUUCAUUGCUAAUAAAUUUACUUAGUAUAAUUGGUCUCAGUGAAAACUUCUCAAUGCGAUUUUAUGAGUUGCAAAUAAUGCAUUAUCAAUAUAAGCACAAAUAUAUUUUUCAAUAUACAAGACUAGGUUAUAGCUUAAUUUGCUCUUAAAAUCUUUUAAUAAUAACAAAAAAUAUUUAUAUAUUGUAACACACAAAACAAAAUGAAUGCUAGAUAAAAUUCUAGAUUUUAAAACUAGACAAAAGAUUAAUCAAAAAAUUAAAAAUUAGAAUUGGGUAGACUUACAACUUAUGGUUCAAUGUCGAAAUACCAACUAUUUGAUUUUGCUUGAAUAAAAAACAAAACGAUUAAAGACUGGUCCAUUAACCAUUUUACUAACAUUUUGUUGUGAUUGUUUUUCAUUUUAAUAUUUGUUCUUGUGUCUUUAAUCCAGUUUCAUGAAAUGUUAAUAACUAAUUAAAUUAUUUAUAAUUAGAAAUUUAAACUAUGGACAAUAUGAAAUAUUUUAAAAUUACUAGAGUCAGUUUCAAAUUUUACAAUUCAGCUGGGGUAUUUUUCAUAAAUAACAAAUAAAAUACAUUUUUUUAGUAUAAUUAUAAAAAAAAUUUAAAAGCCAGCAGGGGCAUGUGCCCCACUCGUCCCAUGCUGGCUCUGUCUCUGCAUGUAGCAACAUAUAAAUUCAGUUAAUGAGCCAUUAAAGUUGUUUAUCACUCAACCACAAGGAAUAUUAGUUCAUGAUUUUCAAAACGAAACUAAACAACAAAGUUUCAGCCGGCAAAUACAUUCUCAUGUCAAAGAAUAAAAAUAAAUCAAAAUAAGAAUAAGAAAGACUGAAUUCCAAUUGAUUCCGGCAAACUUCUCCACUGAUGCAGUCUUGAUUCUUGCUCUUGAAAUCUAUUUUUCCUUGUUUCUUUUCUAUUUAUGAUCUUGGUUGACGGCCGCCUUUUUUCUUUUGUACAUGUGCCUCUGUUAUAGUCCAAAAUUAGGGUAAACGGAAGUUCAGAGCGCGCAUCUUCCCAAUUAGGAAAUUGCAGAUUGCAAUCCGUUAAGUAUCUUGCGCGAAAUCUUCUCUGUCAUUGUUCCCGAAUUGCUACAUCACGGUUUUCUACAGCAAUAGCUACAGUAUAUGCACUGUUCCAAAUUUACUCCAAUUCUUCUAUAGUCGUAUUCUUUUGUCCUUUUUGCAAACCCAUUGCUACAACAUCCUUCCCAUGAAAAUUUAACUUCAGGUUACCUACAAUUAUGCAUAUGUUUUAAGGACACAAUUAUUAGAAAUCAAGCAAAUUUUAUUAAACUUAAACUAAAAUGAAUGUUAAUGUAAACUAUCAUUAAAUGCACUAAAACACAUCAAUUACCCUCUAAGUAAUCUUGAUUUUAAGUCUAAAAGUAUCAUGAUAAUCUUAUUUCAUAGAGUUUUCAAUACUCUAACUUCAAGUUGCACGAAUCUAUAAGGAUUCUUAUGAAUUCUUUGCUCGUUACAUUAGCUUUUAACACCAAAACAUCUUCAUGCAAGUAUAGUAUCCCUUCCUCAUCGUAUUAUGUCCAAAUGAUUGGAACUUGCUUGGUUCUUGCUCAUUUUGUCAAUGAAGCAUUGAAGAGAAUAUCAUGACUUGUUAUUGCAUACCUUUUGUAGUACUUCUAGGCUUUGUUAGAGUUAUUUACUAGAGUUGGCCCUCUUACAAUAACUCUAGCUACUGGCUCUUCAAAAAUCAUAUCACCAGUAUUCUUUUUUGCUGUAUGCACUGUUGAUCUGUCAUUGGAUAAGAACUGUCAAUAUACUUAUUCAAAUAAUAAUUUCUUACUAGAACUUCUACUUGUUUUUUUAAGUCGUGACACUGUGGUUUGGUGUGGCCAUGGGUGUUAUUCAUCAGCAUUAUCCUAUCUCUUAGGAAAUUUUGGCAAGUAAGGACUAAUGAAGGUAGGUUUUGGUUUUGGUUUAGUUGACCUUGUAUUUUGAGUUGGGUUAACUUGGAUCAUUAUAGUGAGGAUGGCUAUCAACUAGUUAUAUCAUUUCAAGUAGCUCUAUUUAGAGAGGGGUGGGGUUAAUUUCUUUUUACAUAGUAUGGGAGAUAAGAGUGGCCAAAAUCAAAUUUAGAUUGGAUUCGGAUCAAUUUGAUCAUAUAUUAAAUUUUUCGGAUUGACUAAAAAAACUCAUCUGAAUGUACUCGAACUUGAAUCUAAUAUGAAUAUAUUUGGAUAGGAUGAAUAAUUUGGCUUAAGUUAGAUUUGGAUCGGUUUGGUAAAUCUCAAAUUUAAUUUUAAUUUACAGGUCACUAUACUCAAUGGAUAAGACAUAAUUUGUAUAUCUCUGUAAUAAACAUUCAAUUUUGAUAUUCAACUACAUAGAUAGAAGAAAAAUAAGUCAUUUACAUUACAAUUGUGGUGCAUAUCACUGAAAAGUAUCAUAAUAAUUCAUAUUUUUCCAACCAAAAUGAAAAGAAACCAUAAUUUAAACAACAUAAUAAGCAAAUAGAAUUUCUAAAGAAAAGGAAAAAGAGUAGAUGUAAGCUAGAAAAAGAGAAAUCAUGUAUUAGAGAAGAAAAGAGCAUUUUUGCACAAAAACAACUAAUACCAAAACUAAUAAAAAAAUCUCAUAUUCAUUUUCCAAUUUUCUCAUAAGCUUACGCAAUUCUUCCUCUUCUACUCUUCAAAAUCAUUUGCCAAUUUUCUCAAUUUUCUCAUAAGGUGAUCUUUGGUCUUUUGAUGAGAAAAUUACUUGAGUAACUUACAACUGGUUAGGUUUGGGAUUUUGGGGAAAACAAGUUAGGUUUACACAUUACAAACUUCACUAGUCAAAUUGUCGAAUUACAUCCGAAUUAGAUUUGAUCCGAUUAUAAUCUCAUCGGAUUGGGUUGUUUCUAUUUAAUCAAAUUACAACAAUAAUCCAUAUUCAAUUUGAAUAUGUUUGGAUUGAAUCAAAUCCAAUCAAUCUAAAUCCAAUUCGAUGCUAACCCUUAUGGGAAUAAGUAGCCAUCCUUAUUAUGACCGCUCUACUCACUGAUGGUUUGUCAUGAAGCCUAACUAGUCCACUUAUUUUUUAGCUCUCCUUUCAUUUCGUUUUAACUCCACAAGUUACUCGUCUCUAACUCUUGCUGCUUUUUCCUCCUCGAUUUCAAUAUCCACCUUCACCUAGUCAUAAGCAGUUGAAUAAGAGUUUAUUAUUGGGUUCCUUAAGUUAUACCACAAUUGGCCUAUCUUUACUCCCUCUUUUAAUCCCUUCAAGGCCUGAAGAUGAUUGAAAGCUCCAUAGUCAAGGAUUGCUUGGUGAUAUCUCUUGAAAAAUCUCUUAGAGUUUGAUUUUCUUCCUACUCGAGCCUCAUUGGCUCUAUCAUGUCAUCCUCUGGUGUUAUUGCUCCUAAAAAAUGUUCAGCAAAGUCUCCAUGCAAUUGAUUAGAAGUUCUGAUGCUUCCCUAUGGCAAUUUGCGAUACCAAUCAUGUGCAUGCUAUUCUAAUGUCAAUGGAAACACUCGACACCACUGUAGUGGUGUCAAACCAUGUACUCUAGUCAUCUCAUUAAAUCGUUCUAUAUGCAUAAAGAGUCACUCUUUCUGGAAUAUUUGAGGUUUAAAACUAAUCCCUUGAUAUUGUUGUGCUCAUGAUUUUUGCUGAGAGUAAGAUUCAUUAUCCAUAAUUAUUCUCCAGCUCAGUGCUCUUUCAAUCCUAUACUUCUUCAAUAAUUCGUGCUAACCUAUGCAUCUUAUCUUCUAAUUUCCCAACGCGACUUGGGUUCUACACCCUUAUCUACUUGCAGUCAGCGUUCUGUUUAUUCCAUAGAUUUUCACCGAAGUACGUUUUGGUUGCUCUCCAAAAAAAUAAAAAAGAAAGAAAUCACCUAAUACUUUUGGGGCAAGGCAAGCUUCCAAAUAACAUUGCAAAUGAUUUGGUGAAAAAGCUUUCAUCUAUUCCGGUAAUUUAGAAGCACUUUAAUUCGAUUCUCUCUUAAGAGUCCUAUCACUUUAGGAUGAUUUUUAAGUAAAAUCCUUGUAUAUAUUAUAUUUUUGUUAAUAUAACAAACACUAAAUAUUUAUGAUCUGAAAGAUAGUUGUUGAAUGGAGAUCGUUUCACACAAAAAAAGUAUUUAAAAAGAAUGUGGUAUUGUAAUAUUAAAUAAUUUUUUGUAGUGAUAUAAGAGUAUCACACUAGUUUUUUUUUUGCAUUCCAAAAAAUUGAAAAUAAGAUCUAAGUAAUUUCAAGAAUAAAUUAGCAAUAUUAGGAACAAGUUUUACAAAAAGCUUCUGGGACAUGUUAUACAAAUUUGUUAUAUAAGAAAGUCUCUACUAGAUCUUCUUUCCACAUUACAAAAAUUAGAAAUGAGAUCUAAAUCGACCAAUUAUAAAUUUUAUAGUGAGUGGGUCCUAUAUGAAAACAAGGUUUUUUUUUAUUAUAGUGUAGUCAAUUAUCAGCCAUCUACCCUAAGUUUAUUUUAUAUUAAAAAAAUACUAGGAAGAAUUAAUUUGUUUAGUUUUUUACUUUAAUUUUAUAAUUUGUAUUAGUUGUCUAUUAAAAAGAUAGAAUUAUCCUUACUAAAUGACAAAAUAGAAACAAAUACAAAUAACAACUAUGGUCAUUUUGUAAGGGUAAUUCUAUCUUUUUGGCAUCGAAUUGCAUAUUAAACUAUUUUAAGUACUUAAAAUAAUAUAAGUUCUUUAUCAAAUAAAUAAAAUUUUAAACUAUGUAUUUACCAAACAUUUUAAAAUCACAGCUCCUCUACUACAUCUCCAAAUAAAUUCUUAAAAUCAUAAAUAACUAAAUUAAUGGGGUUUUAAAAGGACUCUCCGGAUUUUGCAUGAUUUCUUUAUAUAUAGGUGCUGGGUGAUCAUGUUGGUUCCUAUAGGUACCAUCAGCCACACUUUUUGUUAGUGGUGAAAAAACAAUUUUGGGUACAAUUUGUGAUUUGUAUAACGUGCGGUAUUAAACAUUUGAAACAUACACCGACAGUAAUCUAAUCAAUAAUUAAAAAAAAUUGUAUAAAAUACAUAUGUCGUAGGCAACUCAGAUCCUUUUCUUUAUAAUUCCAUAUCAUGUGAUUAUCAAAAAACUUCUUGAGAUUUUUAAAUUUUGUAAUUGCACUAUCCUUGAAUUAUCAAAAGACUCUUGAUAAUGUUCUUCUUCUUAAAGAUGCCCUUAAUCCGUAAAUGGUCCAAUAAUUAGUUCAUAAAACGAAUUUAUUACUUUAGACAAGUCUCAAAUAUGCAUACCUCUUAUAACUCCGUAUUGCAUAAUUCCUUACUUAAAUGCAUUUGUUUCCUUUCUCUAAAUUUUAGAAUGGCCUUGUCUACUAAAUUUCCUCUUUAAAUUUGACUGCCAACUAGGAAUUUCGCCAAAAUUUCCACCCCAUCUUACUCUCUGAAAUAUGUCUUCCACGUUACUAUAGCAAAUUUUACAUCUAGGAUACUGAAACAUUUUUUUUUUUUCAAUUUUCAAAUAUUUAGCUGUUGACAAUAGGUCUUUAGCUGCUCACCAAGAGAAAAUUUUCAUCUAAAACUUUUUUUGAUAAGGCAAGCCUCCAAAUAACAUCCAAAUGGUUUGGACAUUCAGUUCUACUCAAAAUUCAGAUUAAUUCACACAUAUUUAGAUUUUAGACAAGAAACAUAUGCCACCUAAAUAUUUAUGACUUAAAAUUAUUUAAUAAUCAUGGCACAUUUAACCUAUCUAAACAUGAAAUCUUGUGGAGACUUAUGUUUAAGCAGGAGGAUAACGUGAGAAAAUUGACACAUUAAUUUACAAUUUGUACGCCAACUGAAUAAUUUUUGUUUGUUUUUUGUUUUUGAUAAUAAAACAAGCCUCGCAAGAGCUUAGGUUUUUAGCCAACUGAAUAAAUUUCCCCACUCAAAUUAGAAACAAUAAAAUCUAAUAAUUAUGUUAUGAGCCCAUCAGACAAAUAGUGAGACAUCAUAUUGUUAAUACCUACUCGUAAAAUUAACGGGAUAACGCGGUUUAUACGGACAGAUUAUCAAGGUAUUGUUAAUACCUUCUGUACCGGUAAUUCUUUUUUUCUUCUUUUUCAACCCCAAAUAAUCAAAAGCUCUCCAAUGGCUUUUGUAUCCACAACUCGUCCAUUUCAUUUUACUUCAAUUUCAGUAUCAGCUCUUAGAUGUAAUUUCUCAUCUUCGUUCCCUCAUACCAGAAAACCCACAUCUUCAAUUUCGGAAAAUGAACCCUCAGAUCCGACUACAACAGCUAAACUGAAGGAGUCGCUACGACUGACAGUCAAAGACGGAGCCUCAAUCGAAAAAUUUCUUAAAGAAAGGUGAAAAUCAUCAGGUCAAGGUGAUAUUAAUCUUAUUACUCCUAAUGAAGCCUUGUGUAUCUUUGAUUACAUGCUCCGUAUGCACCCUUCUCCGCCUCCGGUUUCUUCCUUCAAUAUUUUGUUUGGUUGUCUUGCUAAGAAUAAACAUUAUGAUACUGUCCUUUCACUCUUCAAGAGACUCAAUUCAACUGGGUUGUUUCCAGAUCUUUAUACUCACAGUAUUUUGAUUAACUGGUAGAGUUUCUCAUGGUUUUGUUGUUCUUGGGAGAAUCAUCAGGUCUUGUUUUACUCCAGAUGCUGUGACCUUUACUUCUUUGAUUAAAGGUUUGUGUGCGGAUAGUAGAAUCAUGGAGGCCGCCGCAUUGUUUACAAAACUUAGAGUGUUUGGUUGUGAGCCUGAUGUUUUUACAUACAAUACGUUGAUUAAUGGAUUGUGUCGAACUGGCCAUACAAUUGUUGCUCUAAAUUUAUUUGAAGAGAUGGCUAAUGGAAAUGGGGAAUUUGGUGUCGUUUGUAAGCCAGACACUGUUACAUACAACACUAUCAUCGAUGGUGUUUGUAAGGAAGGUUUCGUGGACAAGGCCAUGGAACUGUUUCUGCAGAUGAAGGAUGAGAAUAUUAACCCCAAUGUGGUUACUUAUAACUCUUUGAUUCACUAUUUCUCUCAUGCUGAUGAUUGGAAUGAGGCUAAACGUUUGUUUAUUAAGAUGAUGGACCAAGGUGUGCACCCUAAUGUUGUGACUUUCAGUGUGAUCGUGGAUGAGCUCUGCAAGAAUGGGAAGAUGGAAGAAGCAAGUAGGUUGUUGGACCUGAUGAUUCAGAUUGGUGUGCAUCCAAACACUUUUGUCUAUAACACAUUAAUGGAUGGGUUUUGCUUGACGGGUAGAGUUAAUCGUGCAAAGGAACUAUUUGUUUCUAUGGAGAGUAACGGGUGCAUGCAUGAUGUUGUUAGUUACACCACAUUAAUAAAUGGGUACUGCAAGACUAAGGAUGUAGAGGAAGCUUUAAAUCUUUAUAGGAAAAUGCUGUCUAAAGGAAUUAGGCCAACAGUUGUUACAUAUAGCACCUUGUUUCUUGGCCUUUUUGAAGUACACCAGGUUGAGCAUGCUUUAAAACUGUUUGAUGAGAUGCAGCAUAAUGAUGUAGCAGCCGAUACAUAUAUAUACAAUACCUUUAUUGACGGGCUCUGCAAGAAUGGUUUUGUUCUAGAGGCACUGGAAUUAUUCUGUGCUAUAGGAAAUAGCAAGUAUGAACUUGAUAUCAUAUCCUACAGCUGCCUCAUUGAUGGAUUGUGUAAAAUAGGCAAACUGGAAACUGCUUGGGAACUGUUUCAAAGUUUGUCUCGUGUAGGCCUAUUGCCAAAUGUUGUAACAUAUAACAUCAUGAUCCAUGGGCUUUGUAAUGAUGGGCAAAUGGACAAGGCACAUGAUUUGUUUCUUGAUAUGGAAGCAAAAGGUGUGGAACCCGAUUGUGUCAUAUUUAAUACGAUUAUGCUGGGUUUCAUCCGCAAUAAUGAGACAUCAAAAGUUAUUGAACUCCUUCAGCGAAUGGAUAAUAGAAAUGUAAUGCCAGACGCAUCUAUACUUUCAAUUGUUGUGGACUUGCUUGUAAAGAAUGAAAUUAGCUUAAACUCGAUUCCACAAUUCAAGAGUCAAUGAGUUUAAUGCUGAUUACUUGCAUGUUUUUUUCUGCCUAAAAUCUGGAUCUGGAGAAUCCCAUUCUUAUUACAACAUGUAAAGGAGUGUUGUCUAAUGUUGGCAUGUUCCUAGGUUCUGUCCAUGGAUUCUGUUUGCAGACAUGGCUAACUUCUUGUUCAACAGAUAAGUUUUAAAGUCUUUGAACUUAAUGUUGUAAAAUAACUUUUUUAUUAUUCAAUUCAUGAGUUUUUCUUCUAUAGCACAUCCUUCUCAUUAGCUGGAAGUGCAAAUUUUUUAGGCUUUUCCUGUAUGGCCUCUUUUUCUGUUCUAAAUAAAAUGGCAUUUUAUUUCCCUCCUGUGAGGGUACAACGUUUAUGUUUAAACUUUCUGUUAGUUAAAUUGGUUGUCUUUGAUAUAGGGAACUUCCAGUUGAACUGAUUUGUAAUUCGAGUAUAUGAGAUUACCAACUGUAAUGGGAAUUGAUGCCAAAUUAAUUAUGUCAUCAGGUUUUCCAAUCAGUGUUCAUCAUUUAUUUCUGUUAACAAUUAAUAGCACAGCUUGUCUUCGCAGCUUCAUUGGUUCCUCUCAAAAAAGUAAUGCCAGAUGCAUCUAUAGUUUCAAUCGUUGUGGACUUGUAAAGAAUGAAAUUAGUCUGAACUCACUUCCGUCAUUUCCUGUUCAAGAGCAGCAGGGGGAAGUUGAUGAGUCAAAUGUCAAGUUGUUGGAGCAUGUGCUUUCAGCCUAAAACCCUGAUCUGCAGCAUCUCAAUCAUGUUACAAAAGGACAUGUCGCCUGGUGACACCAUGUUCUCUACAGCGCUGUUAAUGGAUCCUGAUUGUUCUUGUGAUCUGGAGAGUCUCAUUCAUAAUACAGAUCUUGAUCAGGACGAGCUAGCAUAUGUGAUCACCAACUCUACAUGGUUGUUGAUGCCAAAUUAAAUAUGGUAUCAUGUUUUUCAACUUGUUAUUUUCUAUAGUCCUUCCUUUGAAUGGCCACAAGAAACUGUAAAAUCACCCUUUGUCUUGUUCCCUCUUAAUGAUCGAUCACUUUGGGAGCUAAUGAAUUAGUUGCACCUUGUCACUUUAUUGGUGCUUGAUUGUCAUUUGUACUUUGAAUUCACAGCAUAUUUUACCCUUGAUGUACUCUUUCCAUAAUCACCUUUGAGGGCUGCUAGUAUGUAUAAUUGAAAAACCUUAUAUAAAUUCUAAGCAUUUUUAUUUAACUUGUUGUAAACCUCCAGUGUAUGUCUCUUCUGUGAAAUGAUUCAUACUCUAUGCUGCUAGGACCUAGGCUUAUGACUCUUCUGUGAAAUGAUUUACCCUCACCUGCACACAGACAUUUAUCCCAAUCAAGAAAUCUUCAAACAAUGUGAAAAAAAUUGCUUGAAACACGACGCAGACUUAACCGAUUAAAAUGUCCCUACUGUGAGGAAGGAUGCUAUACAACUGACUCGGAAAAUGUAAAAUGGAUAACGUACGCCCAAGAUGAUCAACUAGAAACACAAUUCAAAACUCGGGCUGCUUUUGGCUGCCCGGCCUUCAGAAGUCAAUAUUUAUAUGAACUUUUGAGGAGAAAUUAUAUGAACUUUUGAGGAGAAAUUAUACUAAGGGUUCAGAAGUCAAUAUUUAUAUGAACUUCAGAAGUCAAUAUUUGGCUGCCCGGCCUUCAGAAGUCAAUAUUUAAAAACUUGGUGAAAUUACCGAUUAAAAUGUCCCUACUGUGAGGAAGGAUGCUAUACAACUGACUCGGAAAAUGUAAAAUGGAUAACGUACGCCCAAGAUGAUCAACCAGAAAGUGAGAGAUUAGGAUCACCAGUCAGUCAGAUUUGGAUAGAAAGUGAGAGAUUGCUAUGCCGUGCCAUUGCUUCAAUCCUAAAUGCUUUCAUCUCCCUGAAAAGUAUACAAAUGUAGGGGUUAAAACAGAAUAGAUGAAACCGUAUUGAGGAACUCAACUGAGACAGAUGAUAAAUGAAAACUAACCAACCUUCACGCAAAACUCGUACAUCUCCCUUUAAGAGCUGACUUUCUGAGAAGAGAUCACCACAAUCGUUCACAUCAAAAGUCUCCACUUGAAAAUUUUAUAACCAUAGUACUCAUUCCAUUCAAACCAGAUCCUUGAGAUCAGUUCCUUCUUCAGGCAAGUGGCAUGAUCUUCCUCUUUAGGAGACUCAGCAGCAACCAGUCUAUAUGCACAAACUUUCUUUGUUUGGCCUGGCCGGAAAGCCCUGCUGAUUGCCUGGCGGCUCACUGAUGGAUUAAAGAGAACAUCCAGAAUAAUGAUUCAAAUUUUUGUGGAAUUACUUGUAAAGAAUGAAAUUGGUUUAAACUCGAUUCCACAAUUCAAGAGACAAAACUAAGCAGACGGGUUGAAUCUUUGAUUGAGUAGCAUGUCUCUUCUGCUUUAAAAGCAGAUCUGGAGAAUCCCAUUCUUAUUACAACGUGUGAAGGAGUGUUGUGUAUUGUUGGCAUGUUCCCAGGUUCUGUUCAUGGAUUCUGUUUGCAGACAUGGCCGACUCUUUGUUUCAUCGGAUAAGUUUCAAAUAAUUCUGGCAAAUUUUUGUUGUAAAAUUACUUUUUUAUCAUUUAAUCCAUAUGCCUCUUUCUCAUUACCUGCAAGUGCAAAAUUUUUAGGCUCGUCCUAUUAGACCUCUUUUUCUUCUCUAAAUAGAUAAAACGGCAUUUCAUUUUUCUCUUGCGAGGGUGCAGGUUUAUGCUGAAACUUUCGGUUAGUUAAAUUGAUUGUCUUUGAUAUUGGAACUUGUAGUUGAACUAGUUUGCAUUUAGAAUAUAUGAGAUUACCAACUGUAACGGGAAUUGGUGCCGAAUUGAUUAUGUUAUCAGGUUUUUCAGUCUGUGCUCAUCUUUUAUUUCUGUUAAUAAUUAAUAGCACAGCUUGUCUUCUCUGCUUCUUUGGUUCCUGUCUAUUGUCAAAUAUAAACUUGUAGAGACAUUUUGUUUUGGCAUGGCACAUGCUAGAUUUUGUUUUUGGUUUGAAUGAUACUACACAUCUAAGUGAUUGUCCAGAUUUUUUUUCAUUCCUAGUGACAUGGCACUCAAUUGAAUGGUGACUCGUGAAUCAUGAUUGUGUGUGUUGGUCUUUGUUAUACUACGUGUUGGCAAGACAAAGUCUUUUGAAACUGCCAAACUUUUCUAUAUGAAUAUUGAAGACAAUAUGAUAAGAUAAAAUUAAUCAAAAACAUAUAUACUUGACAGGGCUGGAACGUCUGUUAUUAGUCCUCGCCUUCCAUUCUUGUUUCAUAUUCUUCUGCUAACAAAUCUUGAUCAUGAUAGUCUUCUCUGUUAUUAAUCCUUUUUUUUUUUUUUUUGGCUUUUGGAUUUUGUUUCCUUUAUAUAUAUAUAUAUAUAUAUAUAUAUAUAUAUAUUGUAUACAGUUAUUAGCAUCGACAACUUGAGCUUGCAGUCUUGUGAGUUUAGAGCCUACCAAAGUAAGCAUACACAUGACAAUGAAGAAUUGAAGAUUGUGAACGGUUUACUUGUGCGGCUAUGUUAGAAAAAUUUGACUGAUCGUGAAGAUAUUUAGAGAUCGUCCAUCUUGGUACUGCUAUUGUUGGAGCCUUGAAGUGUCAACUUCUCAUCGUUGCCUACAGUUGCCUCAUUGAUGAAUUGUAGGCAAACUGAAAAUUGCUUGGGAACUGUUUCAAAGUUUGCCCCGUACAGGCCUAAUGCAAAAUGUUGUAACAUAUAACAUCAUGAUUCAUGGGCUUUGUGAUGAUGGGGCAAAUGGAUAAGACACAUGAUUUAUUUCUUGAUAGACCAUUCUCAGGGCACAAAGGGUGUGGUGCCCAAUUGUGCCAUAUUUACUAUGCUUAUGCGAAAGAAUGAGACAUCAAAAUUUUCAUCACUCAAUGGAUAAAAGAAAUGUAAUGCCAGCUGCAUCUAUAGUUUCAAUUGGUGUGCGCUUACUGGUUAAGAAUGAAAUUAGUUUAAACUUGAUGCCAGAAUUCAAGAGACGGUUAAUUAGAUGAGUUGAAUGUUGAUUUAGUAGCCUUGAAGUUUUGCAAAUGUUUCCUGAUGGAUAAAUUGAACUUGUAUGCACACAUGUAAACUAAAAGAAAAAUUAUUUUAAUAGAAAACGUGCUUUAAGCAUGUCCUUCGGCAUGAGGUAAUACUAUAAAGUUUUUUUUUAAGUAAGGUUAUAAAUUCUAGCAAUUGAGUCUCAAUUUGAUAUUAUAUUCAUCUGGUAUAGGGUAGAAUAUUAAUUUUUUCAAUUAUAAAAUUUACUAUCUAAUAGAUGAACAACACUUAACAGUUGAGAAUGAAAUGGAGACUCAAUUGUUGGGAGUCCAAUCACUUUUUUCUCUUUUAACUUGCUAUUUUUGUUGUCCGAAAUUAUCUGAAGUUCCAUGCUUGCUCCAAUAGAACAAAUAAGAUAGGUUAUGAUCAACUUUUUUUUUUUCCAAAUAAAGGAACCACCUGCAUCGAUACUCCAUAAGCAAGUUUUUUCUUUUGACUGCCCCUUAUAUUUGUCACACUCCUUGUACUAGUGCCCAAUGAAACCACAACAGAAGCAAAAAUAUGGCAAUCUCUCAUAUACUACUGUAAUUGGAACAUCGUCUUCACCUUCAAGUUCUAAAUAACCAAUUUUCUUUAGUGGUUGUGUGAUAUCAAUUGAGAUACUUACUCUGGCAUACUAACCAAUGCACUCUCCUUCCACGUCCACAUCAACUUCUUCAACUAUACCAAUUGCCUCUCCCAAUGCUUUGAUUAUUUGCUGGUCUAUACACCCAACUGGGACAUUAUGAAGUUGUACCCAAAGGCAGCAUGAGUAAAUGAUUGUUUUGUUAUUUCCCCAAUUCCACUUGCCUCUUUUAGAACUAUUAGAGCUCGUUCAAAAUGCCACUGCCCACUUGAUAAAAUUCUCAUCUUAUCAACUUCAAAGGCAAAUUUAACUUAAAAAUCUUACUCCCCAGAUUUUCAAUUUCACCUAUUCUACUAUUCUGCAUACUUGUUGUAAUGCUCACUUGAGACCCUCUCUAGUAACUCCUCUUAGAUGUAAGACUUUGCCCAGAAAACAGCCCUCAACUAGCUCUCUCUCAUUCCCUUUCAUGACAUUACCAACAACUUCUUUACUCUAUUUUCCUUCUUCUAAUAUAAUAACUUUACACUUGCAAAUUAGUUCUUCUGUUUUCAUUAGGCACUAAAAUAUAAAUCCAUUGUGAUAACUCUUGAGUAUCUACCACUUCCUCUGUAAUUAAGACUCAACAACUCAAAUGAAAAACUUAAAAGUAAAAGAGACACCCAACUCGUGAGCAACUUUCGCAAUCUUAUGGGCUACUACCAUUUCAUUCUAGAUUCUCGCUCAUAGGGGGAGAACCUGUGAAGAAAGACUUCUACAGGUAGGAGACCGCUUACACAGUAGAUUAUUUAUAUUUCUUUGGACUAACUUUUUACUUUAUCAAAGACAAAAACAACAUAAACAAAGACAGAAGAUUAACAAAAGCAUCAAUUGCCAAAGAGUAGAGAGUAUUAUUAUAUUUUAGGAACAUAGGUUAUGACCAACUUAAAAGAAGCAGUUAGGGCUUGUUCAGUACUGUUUUAAAAGCCUUAUUUUCAUUUUUGUUUUGGGAGUACAAAUAUAAUACAUAUUUAGUGGGUUGAAUCCAAAAAUUAAAUCAUAAAAAAGAAUUGAUAUUCACUUUUACAGUUAUAAAAUUAAGAACCUAUUGAACAUGUUCUCAAACAAAUUACAAAUUAAAUUAAAACAUAAACCCCAAAAUAAAAUCUAAAAAGUUAUCUUCCUCUCCUAAAAUCUUAUCUCCUCCCUCUCGUUAUCUCUUCACAACUCUUCCUUCUUCAUGGUAGAUACUUCUCCUCUAACCACAACCCACCUGAACUGUGCACCGAUCUCUCUCUCCCCAUCCCCUUUAUCUAGGUCUACUUCACAGUUCUCUUCCUCUCAGUGGCUGUUACUUGUUCAUCAACCGCAAUCCAUCGUCGUAAGGUACUACGUCGGAAUAUUUUACCAAAAACAUGUCAAGACAAAGUGAUGUCUAUCAUGGUUUAUUACUGCAAGUGCAUUAUUUUCUUUGUACUAAAGUGAAUCUUUGAUGUAUUUAUUAAAUUUGGUGGAGCAAUCUUAGUUAAUUUUGAUGAUUUAUAUAUGCAUUUAAUUUCAUUUUUAAUAAUUCAUGUGCAGGAAAUAUGGAUUCUUGGCUUUGCUUGGACUGAUGGUUUGGGCAAUUUCAUUUGGAAUCAAUCAACUUCGAGGAUAAACACUUGUAGUUCAUCCUUUGUUCUCUAAUUUUGUUCAUGGGACUUGCUUUUCUUCCAUCCAACUUUUUUGUUCUCUAUUUCUAUGGUAGCAGUUUUAUGUUUUGUGUUGGUGGGAAACUUCAUGCUGCAAUUUUGUCAAAUUCUGUUGACAUACCCUAAUCAGUAAUGACUUUGCUGCAUGGCGAAAGCAUAAGCUCAUAGUUGACAUUGUUGUCAUUAGAGCUUGUUUCCAUAAAAAAAAAGUGUAAUUUGAAAGUACAUUGUACACUAUUGAAUUUGAAUUAUCUCCAACAAGUGUUGAUGCAUGAUGUCCAUCAUGUAAUUUUUUUAUAAUUAUUUUGUUUAACUUAUAUGUGUUGUAAUAUAUAGCUUAAUUAUAGUGUAAAAACAAUGGCAAUGUAAUUUUUUUAUUAAUGCUAAUACUAAAACUUUAUCAUCAUGCAAUGUUUUAUAAUUAUUUUGAUUAAAUUAUUUAUGGUAUAUUUUUGUAUUAAUUAAAUAAACAAUUAGUUUUUAUUAAAAAAAUUAUGACUUACAUGUUUAGUAAAAAUUGUUCAUGAAAAUAGUAUUACCGAACACAUUUUCUCUGUGUUUAUCUUUUUCAAUUGUGUUUACGGAACACAUGUUACUGUUUUCAAUUUAGAAAAUACAAGAUAUAGAAAAUGAUAUUAGAUGUCUAUUUAAUUCAAAAUGCAGCAACUGCAAAACACUAUUUUUACUCUCAUUUUUCUUUUUAGAAAAUACUAAUUUAGAAACAAUACCAAACAAGAACUUAGUUUUAGUACGAAUAAUGUUGUGUUAGUUUUAUAGGUUUACAUGCACCCUUAGAUUUAUUAGAAGUAUCAGCCCAACCCCCUAGUUACUGUUGACUAAUAUCGAACCCGCUGCCCGAUGUUGACUCUUGAAAGUAACUAUAACAUCUAUAUUGUAAUCUCACUUUAUUAACUAAUAAAUUUUAAAAAUAUAAACAGAUCAAUAAUAACAAAAUAAUUAAAGUUGAAAUCCAAGAAAUUACACAAAAAACCACACCUAAACCAAACCUGAAAACCAAAAUGCAUAAAAUUUCAUUAAUUUAGGUUGUGACAAUGAGUCGUCUACAUUAUAUGAUGAAGGAACAACUUCUAUCAUUUUACCAAGUUAUUAAUACUAUGUUUACGUACUAGAGUGGGCCUGAGAAGUAUAGAUUCCUCACACACUAGAGUUUACUUGCAUAUUCUAAGAGGUGUGGGAAUCUCACUCCGUUGAUCCCACCCAAUUUUGAAGUAGGGAGUGUGAUUUCCACUCCCACAAGGGAAGGUCCACUCCCACAACUUUAUUUUUUACCUUUCUUUUAUUAAAUUUAAUACAAUCAUAUUUAGUAAAAUAAAACAAAUAACAUCAUAUUUAUUUAAUAAAUAUUAUUAUAUUAUUUUAUAAAAUUCUAUUUAUUAAAAAGAAUAAUAUUAAUCUUAUUUAGAUAAAGUUAUUAUUAUAUUUAUUUAAAAAUAAUAGCAUUAUAUUUAUUUAAUAUUAAUAAUUAAUAUUAAUAAAUAGUUUAUUCUAAGAAAAUAUUUAUUUUGCACUAUAUUAUUAAUAAGAGAUAUUAUCAUUUUUCCACCAAAAUUAUUCUGAUACAUCAUGUUAGUAGCACGGUUUGGUAAAAACAUCAUUUUACCACCAAACGUUUAAAUUGUUAGUAUUUUUCCACAAUUCCGUUAAAACUCAGUUAAUAUUUAAUGGAAAAUGCAUAAAAAGUCAAUUUUACCCCUGGAGCAUAAAAGAUAAUUUUACCCUUUAAAAAGGAAGAACGACAAAAGAUGAUUUAAUUACAAAAUUACCCCCAAAAGACGACAAGACAAUUUUACCCUUUAAAAAGGGAGAACAACAAAAGACGAUUUAAUUACAAAAUUACCCCCAAAAGACGACACUGCUGCGAGAGUGAGAGAGAUAUGGGUCAGUGACAGUAAGCGAGAGAGGACGAAGAUGGAACAAGAAACGAGAGAGAGGGGGGUUGAUUUCGAUUUUUAGGGCUUCCAUAUCCAAAUUGCUUGUUUUUUUACAAUUGCAAAACACAACGUUUUGCCUUCGCAUGAGAUGUCCAAAAUGCCCUUAUGAUGUCAACAUAAUUUUUAUUUAGUUAACGGAAUGGUGGGAAAAUACUAACAGUAUAAAUGUUUGGUGGUAAAAUGAUGUUUUUAUAAAAUCGUAGUACUGAAAUGAUGUAUCAGAAUAACUUUGGUGGGAAAAUGAUAAUAUCCCUAUUAAUAAUAAUGUUUUAUUUGUGUUGCUCUUAUCAAUAAUUUUUAAUUUAAAUAAUUAAAAUUAAAACUAAUAAAAAUUUAUGAUUUACAUAAUUAAUAAUAUUAAUAAUUAUUGUUAAUUUACAAAUAUAGUGAAAUAAUAUAUUUUAUUUCAAAUAUAUUUUUUUAUUAAUUUUGUAAUUAAAAGGUACAAUUCUUUAAAUAAGUGUAAAACCGUAAUUUGAAACCAUUUACUCCCUUCUCAUUCUAGUGAGAGGAAACAACUUGCUCCCACUCCACACUCUUAAUCACAAGAUUCUCACUUCUCAAUAUUCCCACUAUAAUUUAAAAUGUAAACACCGUUUAAAACAUCAAAUAAAAUUCUCAAUUAAGUAAACCAUAAUGUGAUUGCAUAUAAAAAAAAAUUAAUAAUAUUAAUUUUCAUAAGAAUUUAUGCUCGUAGUAUUACUUUACUUUUUAUUAACCGUUGCUUCAACUUAUGGUAGAUUGUAACAUAUGCACUUUAAUUUUCUUAAUUAAGUGUAUUAUUUAAUUUUUCUCAUUCGAUGUUAAUUUUAAAUUUGUUUUGACAUAAAAUUGAGACAAUUCGAAUACGAUUCAAUGGCCGUGUAGCUGGAUUUUAUUUCAACAUGGGUCAGGCAUUAGCUUAGUUAGUAGUAAUCUUUAAAAAAAAAAGCUAGUUUAUAUAAAUGGAAAAGGGGGAGCUGAUUUCCAAAAGAGGAAAGAAAGAGGGGCACGCGAGAGAAAAUGAGAGAGAGAGAGAGAGAAGUUGACCCGUUUAGCCCGACCCGACCCGACCCACAAGACCGACCCGGCUCCAACUCCCGUUUCUGGCCACCAUUCCAAUCAAGCUUGGUACCAAUCUGAAGCUUGAGCGACGCUGGCCAUAUCCCCGCUGUCAUCGUCACCGAAAAACAGCCACAACGCCGGUGAUCAUCGUCAAUCUCGCUGGAAUUAGGUUGCACCACCGGCUGGGUUCGACUCCUCACAUCACCAGCUUUCAUUUCCGACUAACCCCGCCACCUGAAACCUCUGUUUUGGCCCUGAAUGACCACCGGAAAGCUCACGGCUUUGGGAGCACGAUCCGCCGCCAUCUCCGCGUGUGGGAGGUCACCGUCGACGCCAUUGGGCUCACCGAGGUUAGAACUAUCAUACUUGAGCUUUCCGUCGCCGUUGACUGAAGUCCGGUCACCGUUGAGCAGUGGGGGCAAUUUGGUAAUUUCACAAGACUUUAAGGUGGAUUUUUAAUUUGGUAAUUUUAGGUUAGGGCAGUGAGGUAAUUUAAGACUUUGAGGGUAAUUCGGUAAUUUAAGUUAUUAAGAGCAUUUUGGUAAUUUCGCACUUUGAGGGUAAUUUCUUAAAUUCAAAACUUGUGAUUAAUUUUGUUAUCCGAAUUGAGGACAAUUUGGUAGUUUAAGAUAUUGAAGAUGAUUCGAUAAAUUAUGAUUCCGAUGGUACUUCGGUAAAUUUCGGUGUCAGGGGCAUUUUGGUAAUUUUUGGACAUAAGGGUAAUUUUGAAAUUUUAUGUAUCCGGGAGUUUGGUUUUGAGCUUUAUUUCAUACUGUUAGUCGUAUUUCAUGAUACAGAUAAUAAUUAUGUCGUUUAUUUAAUUAGGAGGACUCGCGAGCAAAAAUCAACCAGCGGACGUUAGUGAUACCGAGUCUGGACAUCGUCACUGUGAGUGGAAUAUACAAAACUUAUUUUCAUGGUAUAUUCUGAUUUUACCAUACAGUACAACAUGUUUUGAUAAUAAGUAUUUGAUGCUUUGAUUUAAUGAUUUUCUAGAAAUUUGAUUUUCAUUCUACGUGCUGAUAUUUAUUAUUAUUGAAAAUGAGUUUGAUUAAUGAUUUUAUUAUCAUUUUUUUUGAGUAAAUGCAUGAUAUUAGAAUUGAGUGGAUUUGAGAUAUGUUGAAUAAAAAGGAAAUGGGAUUUUAUAUGUGAUUAUAUGUUUGCGUGCAUGUGCAUAAAAGAUUGUUUGGAAAAUCAUUGGAAGUACCUUUCCCCUUUUAGAUACAGAGAUACAUAUAAUAUGAGAUGAAUACAGUGAUACAGAUGAUAUGAGAUGAGAGGUUUUUGGGGCCCGUCUGAACACACACAAAGACUUUGGGCCGUGUGUUUGGGCGCUUUUGCCUUUUGGGGGCUUAUGCAUACAGUAUGAUGAUUACAUAAAUACAGAUGUUGAGAUACAUGAGAUAUGAGAUGACAUUUUCCUAUAUAUCCAUUGUAACUCCAGGGCAUGAUGGUUCCCUGAUUGUCCGUCCGUUGAGGUCCGAAUAUGAUGAGAUUAUUCCGCUGGAUACUUGUUUGAUGAUAGUUUUUUGUAUCUAGUAUUUGAUAUUAUAAGUAUUAUGAUUUCAUUGAUUUUAUGCAGAUUUAUGUAAUAUUGUUAUUUCAGUGCAUGAAUUAAAUUAAAUAAGUUUAUGUAAGUUCUUAUGAUAUUUUGAUGAAAUUAACUUGGAAAAGAUUAAAUCAUUUUAAAUAAAUUUAUUUUUCCAAAAACUACUAUCCACUCACUGAGCUCACUGAGUUUUAUAUUCACCCCGUUUUUAUUAUAUUUUUCCUCCUAUAGGAAAUUUGCAGGUACAUCAGUCGACCCAGCAACGAUAGUUAGAUUGAAAUUAUGGCCACGUGAUGGUGUUAGAAAUCAUAGAUGUUUUGUUGGGACAUGUUGAAUUGUAUAAUUUAUUACUUAUUUGUGAUUAAGGAUAAAUCAUUAUAUUCUUGACAUUAUAUGAUUGAAGGAUACUGAUAUUUAAAUUGAGGAAGUUGGUUGUGGAUGUUGAUUAAAUAUUGUAUUAUUUUUUGGAGUAUUAAUUGUAUAAAUUGUAGGUUUGGGGAUGUCAUAAUUAUAUAGAAAACUGUCGAAUUUUUUGUAAAAUUCUUAGAUAUCAGAAUUAUUAUUAGUUUGAUUAGGCGAGAUUAGAUAGACUCGUCCUGGGGAUUCGGGGCGGGUCGUUUCAUAGAUAUUAAGAGAACAAUAAUAAUAUAGCUAUAAAUGGUUGCAUACUAUCAAUCAACUUAACACUAUAAUUACCAACAAAUCCUUAAUACUAUAAAUAAUUAAAUUAUUGGGGUUUUAAAAUAACUCUCCAAACUUUGCAUGAUUUCUUUAUAUGUAGGUGCCAUGGUUCCUAUAAGUAAUAUCAGCCACACUUUUUGUUAUUGUUAAAACAAAUUUAUAAGUACAAUUUGUGAAUUUGUACAAAAUGUGGUAUUAUACAUUUGAAGCAUGAACCGAGAAGACAAUGUUGUGUCACUAAUAAAGAAAAAAAAAUUGUAUAAAAUACAGAUGUUGUAGUGUAACUUGUAUUCUUUUUAUUUAUAAUUGUACCUAUCAUGUGAUUAUAAAAAAAACUGAGAUUUUAAAAUUUUGUAAUUGCACUAUUUUUGGAUUAUCAGAAGGCUUCCUCUCCUUAGUGAUGCCCUUAAUCCAUAAAUGGUCCAAAAAAUAAUUCAUGAAAUGAAUUUAUUAUUUUAGAUAAGUUUCAAGUACGCAUACCUUUACUAGCUCCAUAUUGCAUAACUCCUCAUUUCAAUCAAUGGAUACAUUUGUUUACUUUUUCUUUCUUGUAAAUUUUUGAAUGGCCACAAUUCUAUAGAUAAUUAAUUAAGUGUUAUUGUUAUCAUUAUUUUGUAGAUUUAUAUGUGAGGUGGGGACGUUGGGGGGCAUGUAUCUCAAUAUAGCAGAGGGCCAUAAUAUUUAUUCUUUAAGAGGAACCACAACCAACAUCAAUGCUUUAAGUUCCAUUCCAUGUUCCUUCUAUGCACCAGAUUGCAUAAACAACAUUGAUUAUCCAAGGUCAAAGUCUCUCAAAGACUCUAGUUACAAUACAAAGCAUGGGUUAGCGGCCAAAAUUUUCUUGCAAUGAAAGGCUCGUAAACUGAUGAUAGCUGUUGGAUGGUUUUGGGCCCCAAUGGUUUUAAUAUUAUUCUCUUAAAAACAUAUAUGUUGAUUAGAGACGAGAGGAAAAAUAUAAUCUGAUUCAGCAAGCUGCAGAGGAAAGAGCACGCAGUGGAGUUCAGAUUUUGAAUUCUCUUGUUAAAUUGUUUUUAAUUUACUACAAGGUAGAAUACGUUGCAGUGUUAAAAAAACACUUUGAACAUCCUAUUUUUGUAUUACAAAUAUACCAAGAUUUAAAUUAUUAUUUUUCUUUAUUAGUAUAAACUAAAUUUUGCCUGAAUUCUCAUCCUUGUAAGUGGAAUUUUAUUGUGAAACUAAUAGUCAUUCCUAGUUGAACUAUCACUUUGAACAUAUGUGUCCUCUCUAAUAACAGCUUCCAAACCUGCAGCUACCUGCUUCUCAGCAUUAGAAGUAGCCAUAAUUAGGAGGAGGGCAAACUUCCAAAUAACAUUCCAAAUGGUAUUGUGAAAAAAUUUCACCCUUUUGGUAAUAAAAAAUAACCUUAUUUCUAACUUUCUAUUAACAAUCUUACCACAAAGUUCUCUCUCAAGUAGAAACAUUAUAUAUAUAUAUUAAUUUUUUGUUAAAAUAAACAAAACCAGUGGCGGAUCUACAGCUGGGCUAGGUCUAGAAAAAAUCAUUUAAACCCCUUGUCUUUUGAUUCAUUUUACAUAAGGAUAGACUUUUUAUUUUAUUUUUAUAUAAGUCCCCAAUUCAGUUACAAUUAUGUUUUUGUCAAAUUUCAUAGAAUAAUAGAGUUUUUACUUUAUUUUCAAAUAUUUCCUUAACUCAAUUAUAUUUUUUUCCCAACUGAAAUUAAUGACUUAUUUUAUAAAAUAAUUAAAUUAUAUAUUUAUUGAAUAGAUUGAAAACAUUAGGGGUUUAAAAUGUUAUUUUUAAUUUGUUUUUAAAAAAUUUAAUUUAACAAAGUAUGUGAAUGUAAUAUAACAUCGUCACUAUUAUUAAAAAUACUAAAAACAUAUAUAAUAAAAAUUAUUCAUAAAUUCAUAAAUUUUUUAUGUAAAUGUUAACAUUUUAUUUAUUAUUUACAUUAACUUAGAGGAUAAGUUAGAAAGUAAAAUUUGAGUAUUUUAAUCUGAUUUUUUAAAGAGAGUCAGAGUGUCUGGCAAAGAAAUAACGGCACGCAAGUACCUUUUUGCUAGGUUAGAGUUUAGUUUAUUAUUGAAACUCUUGACGACUAAUAUUUUUAUAAUUUAAAAAGAUGAAUAGAUUUUAAUUGUUUAAUUUAUUUAAGCUUGGUAACUAAGGUGGCAUUUGUUUUUUAACUUAAUGACUUAAAGUGACUUAACUUAAUUAAUUAAGUUAAUUAGAAGUGUUUGUUUUUAUAACUUAGACUUUUUAGAUAAUUUUGACUUAAUAAAAUAAGUCAAUUUUUUUGGCUUUUUACUUAAUGGAGAAAUUUGAAUUAAGUCAAUUACUUACUAAUGUCAAAAAUAUCCAUGUUUUAUAAUUUAUUUUUCAUAUCUAUCCCAAAACUCACCCAUAGAACAUUUACCCCACAUAAAAAUAUCCUUAUUUUUUAUUUCUUAUAUUAUAUACGAUAAAAUUUGAAAUUUAUGGUAUUUUAUAUAUUGAAAUUCUAAAAUAAUUAUGUAUUCACUUGAAUAUAGUUUUACUUAUAAAUGUUAAAAUAUUGUGGUAUUUAAUAUAUUAUUUAUUUGACAUUCAAAUUUAAUAAGGAUACGAAUGUAAAAGUACAUAUUUUUAGCUUUUUCAGUUGAAAAAAACAAACAACUCAAUACUUAUUUUCCGAGAUUCAAACGAAAAAACAAACAUAUUAUUCAGAUUCAGACAUACAGAUCUAUUCAGAAUUCAGACUAAUUCAGGUCUAUUCAGAUUUCAGACAAAAAAACAAACGCCACCUAAGUAUUUUUCAAACAUAAAGUUGUACUUGCACUUUUUAAAUGAUUAUAAUUACAUUUAUUGACUUAUUCUAAUUUAAAAUUCUUAAUAGAUUUAUUAAUUCUUAUAUAAUUAGAUGUUAUUAUAGGUUGCAAUGUUAGAUUUAAUAAUUAAAAAUAGUAUUUUUAUAUUUGAAUUAUCUUUUGUUUUUUAGUAUUUUUGUACAAUUAUUUUUGUUUAGAGUAUAUAUUCGUAGAGUUUUUCGUGUCCCCAUUAUUUGAUGUACUUCUUUUUACUUAUGAAUAUUUAUGUUCACUUCAAAAUAUAAAAUUUUAAAUUUAGCCCGGGGUAAUAUAAAUUCUUAGGUCCGCCCCUAAGCAAAACUAAAUAUUUAUGACUUAAAAGAUAGGUGUUGAACAGAGGCAGUCUCACAGAAAAAAAAAAAAAAAGUAUUUGAAAGCAGUGGUGAUAUCAUAAUUUUUUGUAUUGAUAUGAGAGUAUCAUACUAGAUUUUUUUCCGCAAUACAAAAAGUUUGUAUUCAAGAAUAAAUAAGCAAUUUCGGGAACAAAUUUUACAAAAAGCCUCGAGGCCAUGUCGUAUGAAUUUGUGAUACCAAAAAUAGUAUACUAGUCAAUAUAUCUUCUUUCCACAUUACAAAAAAUUAGAAAUGCAAUCUAAAUCGAUAUCAAUUAAUAAUUUUAUAGUACACGAAAUCAAGGUAUUUUUUCAUAAUUUAAGAAAUUAUUAGUCAUUUACCCUAAAUUUACUUUGUCUCCAAAAAUACUACGAAAACUUUAACUUGUUUAGUUUUUUACCUUAAUUUAUAAUUUAUAUCAAUCGCUCACUAAAAAGAUAAAAUUAGCUCAUAAAAUGACAAAAUAAAAACAAACACAAAUGACAAUACCAGUAAUUUUAUAAGGAUAAUAAAGUCCUUUUGGCACCAAAUUACGUAUUAAAAUAAUUUAAAUAUUAUAAAUUAUUUUCAGAUUGAGUGAGGAACCCUGGUCAUUUUAACAAUUAUGGUCAUUUAAUCUAUCUAAACAUGAUAUUUCAAGUAGACUUAUGUUUGCGUGGGAGGAUAAUGUAAAAAAAGUGGCACUUUUAUUCAACUGAAUAAAUUUCACAAUUUAAAUUAGAAAAGGAUAAAAUUUAAUAAUUAACUAUUUUUUUAACUAAUUCAAUCGGGAGCCAUUAUUUGUAGGCUGUAGCGGUCCCAAAAGCAUGACAUUAUUGUGAGUAAUGUAUCCUACUUGCAAAAUAAACGGCAGAAUGCGGUUUGGGGACGGAUUAUCGAGGUAUUUGUUAAUAUUCGGAAAUGAGAAGAAAAGGUCAAAUAAAAUUUUAACUUAUUAUUAUUAUUAUUAAAGAUUGUAACUCAGAUGAUUAGACAAAUAAAGGAACUUAAGGCCACUUGGCGGCUUCACUAGGAGCUGUUUGAGUUUAAUUCUAUUGGUAAAAUUCUAUUUUGGUAAUUCUAUUCUUCUUCUUUUCAACCCCAAAUAAUCAAAAGCUCUCCAAUGGCUUUCGUAUCCACAACUCGUCCAUUUCAUUUUACUUCAAUUUCAGUAUCAGCUCUUAGAUGUAAUUUCUCAUCUUCGUUCCCUCAUACCAGAAAACCCACAUCUUCAAUUUCGGAAAAUGAACCCUCAUAUCCGACUACAACAGCUAAACUGAAGGAGUCGCUACGACUGACAGUCAAAGACGGAGCCUCACUCGAAAAAUUUCUUAAAGAAAGGUGCAAAUCAUCAGGUCAAGGUGAUAUUAAUCUUAUUACUCCUAAUGAAGCCUUGUGUAUCUUUGAUUACAUGCUCCGUAUGCACCCUUCUCCGCCUCCUGUCUCUUCCUUCAAUAUUUUGUUUGGUUGUCUUGCUAAGAAUAAACAUUAUGAUACUGUCCUUUCACUCUUCAAGAGACUCAAUUCAAUUGGGUUGUUUCCAGAUCUUUAUACUUAUAGUAUCUUGAUUAACUGCUUUUGCAAAAUGGGUCGAGUUUCUCCUGGUUUUGUUGUUCUUGGGAGAAUCCUCAGGUCUUGUUUUACUCCAAAUGCUGUGACCUUUACUUCUUUGAUUAAAGGUUUGUGUGCGGAGGGUAGAAUCAUGGAGGCCGCUGCAUUGUUUAUGAAACUUAGAGUGUUUGGUUGUGAGCCUAAUGUUUUUACAUACAAUACUUUGAUUAAUGGAUUGUGUCGAACUGGCCAUACAAUUGUUGCUCUAAAUUUAUUUGAAGAGAUGGCUAAUGGAAAUGGGGAAUUUGGUGUUGUUUGUAAGCCAAACACUGUUACAUACACUACUAUUAUCGAUGGUCUUUGUAAGGAAGGUUUUGUGGACAAGGCCAAGGAACUGUUUCUGAAGAUGAAGGAUGAGAAUAUUAACCCCAAUGUGGUUACUUAUAACUCUUUGAUUCACGGUUUUUGUUACGCUAAUGAUUGGAAUGAGGCGAAGUGUUUGUUUAUUGAGAUGAUGGACCAAGGGGUACAGCCGAAUGUUGUGUCUUUUAAUGUGAUCAUGAAUGAGCUUUGUAAAAAUGGGAAGAUGGACGAAGCAAGUAGGCUGUUAGAAUUGAUGAUUCAGAUUGGUGUGCGUCCAAAUGCUUUUGUCUAUAACACAUUAAUGGACGGGUUUUGUUUGACAGGUAGAGUUAAUCGUGCGAAGGAACUAUUUGUUUCUAUGGAGAGUAUGGGUUGCAAACAUAAUGUUUUUAGUUACAGUAUUUUGAUAAAUGGUUACUGCAAGAAUAAGGAAAUAGAGGGAGCGUUAAGCCUUUAUAGCGAAAUGCUCUCUAAAGGUAUUAAGCCAGAUGUUGUUAUAUAUAACACCUUGUUUAUUGGCCUUUUUGAAAUACACCAGGUUGAGCGUGCUUUCAAGCUGUUUGAUGAGAUGCAACGUCAUGGCGUGGCAGCUGAUACCUGGGCGUAUAGAACCUUUAUUGAUGGGCUCUGCAAGAAUGGUUAUAUUGUAGAGGCAGUUGAACUAUUUCGUACUUUGAGAAUUCUCAAGUAUGAACUUGAUAUUCGAGCCUACAACUGCCUCAUUGAUGGAUUAUGUAAAUCCGGCAGACUCAAAAUUGCAUGGGAACUAUUUCGUAGUUUGCCUCGUGGAGUCCUAAUAGCAGAUGUUGUAACAUAUAACAUCAUGAUCCACGCGCUUUGUGCUGAUGGAAAAAUGGACAAGGCACGUGAUUUGUUUCUGGAUAUGGAAGCAAAAGGUGUAGCACCCAAUUGUGUCACAUUUAACACGCUGAUGCUAAGUUGCAUCCGCAAUAAUGAGACAUCAAAAGUUGUUGAACUCCUUCACAGAAUGGAUGAGAGAAAUGUAAUACCAGAUGCAUCUACACUUUCAAUUGUUGUGGACUUACUUGUAAAGAAUGAAAUUAGCUUAAACUCGAUUCCACAAUUCAAGAGUCAAAGGUAAGUGAGUUUAAUAUUGAUUUAGUCGCAUGUUUCUUCUGCCUGAAAACCCGAUCUGGAGGAUCCCAUUCUUAUUAACACAUGUAAAGGAGUGUUGUCUAAUGUUGGCAUGUUCCUAGGUUCUGUCCAUGGAUUCUGUUUGCGGACAUGGCUAACUUCUUGUCCAACAGAUAAGUUUUAAAGUCUUUCAACUUUAUGUUGUAAAAUAACAUUUUUAUUAUUCAAUUCAUGAGUUUUCCUUCUGUAUCACAUACUUCUCAUUAGCUGGAAGCGCAAAUUUUUUAGGCUUUUCCUGUAUGGCCUCUUUUUCUGCUCUAAAUAAAAUGGCAUUUUAUUUCUCUCUUGUGAGGGUACAAGGUUUAUGUUUAAACUUUCUGUUAGUUAAUUUGGUUGUCUUUGAUAUAGGGAACUUCCAGUUGAACUGAUUUGUAAUUCGAGUAUAUGAGAUUACCAACUGUAUUGGGAAUUGAUGCCAAAUUAAUUAUGUCAUCAGGUUUUUCAAUCAGUGUUCAUCAUUUAUUUCUGUUAACAAUUAAUAGCACAGCUUGACUUCUCAGCUUCAUUGGUUCCUCUCAAAAAUAAUCUUGUAAAGACAAUCUUUCUUGGGCAUGGAAAAUGCUAGAUUGUUACAUGGCAUUCAAUUGAAUGAGGACUCAUGAUUGUGUGUAUUGGUAUUUGUUAUACUAUGUAUUGGCAAGACAAAGUUUCUUGAAACUGACAAACUUUUCUCUAUGAAGAUUGAAGAAAAUAUGAUAAGAUAAAAUUUAUCAAAAGCAUAUAUGCUUGCCAGGGAUGGACCUUUGAUUAUUAGUCCUCGCCUUUCGUGCUUGUCUGUUCUGUGAAAUAAUUCAUUCUCCAUGCUGCUAGGGCCUAGGCUUAUGACUCUUCUUUGAAAUAAUUCAUUCCCCACAAUGUGAAAAAAAUGCUUGAAACACGACACAGACUUAACUGUUUACAGGAAAAGCGGCAGAAACUUGUGAAAUUACCGAUUAAAAAGUACCUACCAUGAGGAAGAUGCUAUACAACUCACUCGGAAAAUGUAAAAUGGUUAACAGACAUCCAAGAUGAUCAACCAGAAACACAAUUCAGAACAUGGGCUGCUUUUGGUUACCCGGCUUUCAGAUUAGGAGAUUAGGAUCCUAAAUGCUUUGAUCUACCUGAAAAGUAUACAAAUAUCAGAGUUAAAACAGAGCAGAUGAAAACGUAUUGAUGAACUCAACUGAGAUAAAUGACAAGAAAACUAACUUUUCCUGUACAAAACUCGCACACCUUCCUUUAAGAGCUGACUUUCCAAGAAGAGAUCACCACAAUCGUUCACAUCAACAGUCUCCACUUGAAAAUUUUUAUAACCACAAUAGUCAUUCCAUUCAAACCACAUCCUUGAGAUCAGUUCCUUCUUCAAGCAAGUAGGAUGGUCUUCCUCUUGAGGAGGCUCAGCAGCAACCAAUCUAUAUGCAUAAACUUUCUUUGUUUGGCCUGGCCGGAAAGGCCUGCCGAUUGCUUGGCGGGUUUCUGAUGGAGUAAAGGUAACAUCCAGAAUAAUGAUCCAAAUUUUUGUGGACUUACAUGCAAAGAAUGAAAUUGGUUUAAACUCGAUUCCACAAUUCAAGAGUUAAUGAGUUUAUCUUGAUUCUGUAGCAUGUCUCUUCUGCUUUAAAACCAGAUCUGGGGAAUCCCAUUCUCAUUACAACAUGUGAAGGAGUGUUUGUGUAUUGUUGGCAUGUUCCCAGGUUCUGUUCACGGAUUCUGUUUGCAGACAUGGCUAACUCCUCGUUUCAUCAGAUAAGUUUCAAAGUCUGGCAACUUUUUGUUGUAAAAAUAACUAUUUCAUUAUUCAAUUCAUGAGUUUUCCUUCUAUGGUGCAUUUUUCUCAUUAGCUGUAGUUUCAAAAUUCGAGCGAAUUUGAAGAAACUGCAAAAGACUACAAAGCAAAUGGUGUAGAGCACCUUUCACUUAUCACGGGCACAGGAUUACUCUGACUUUCUGCAUUUUACUGUUGGCUAUGGUUUGAUGCAUUAUUUAUUGUUCUGAAAUACCAUUCUCGUUGGAAGUUCAAUCAUUACUGUUUCUUUUUUCCCCCCUUUUUACUUGAAGUUACCUGAAGCUCCAAUCGAACGAGUAAUGUAAUGUAGGUGUUGACCAACUCCAAAUAAGUAGUUAGUUGCCUAGUAGUUGCUUUGCAUGAAAUAUGUUUUUGGUAUGAAUAAUGUUGUCUUAAUUUUACAAGCUUCCAUGGAACUCCUAAUUUGUUGGAAGUAUUAACUCAACCCGUCAUUUAAGGUUAGAUUUAACCAUUGACUUAUGUUGACUAUUAAAAGUAUUAUAAUAUUCUAUAAAUAUAACGAAACCCCCCUUUAUUAACAAAUAUAAUUUAAAAUAUAAAAAAUUAAUAAUAAAAAAUAACAAAGUUGAAAUCCAAGGAGCAACUUCUAUCCCCUAACCAAGUUAUUAAAUAUUAGAGUAGAUAGAGGCAUAUACUUUUCUUCAUGAUUCAGAAUCAUAUCUCAAAUAAAAUUCUCAAUGAUUGCAGGCCUCAAUACCAUUAAGAUGAACUAGACUAUCAUGAAAUUUUGUGCAUCUUGCAAGGUCCAAUUUCUCCAAGUUUAUCAUCAAGCCAAAAAAUGUCAUAAUUCCUUUUAUAGUAAUUUCAUAGUGUUUACUAAACGGUAAUAGAAAUGGACUGAAACACAAAUAGGGAAUGCAAGUUAGAAUAAGGAUGGCAAUGGUGAGGGGGGAGGGGACCAACAUCCUUGUACCCAUCCCUGAUGUUCUGUAUAUGUCCCCAUCCCCUUCCCGUCCCCAUCAAAAUUACUUAAGGGAAUUCACGUCCUCCCUCUGAAUAAUAACAGGGAAUCCCCAAAGGUCCCCGAUCCCCAAAUAACUGAUAUAUUUGUUUAGUUUUCAAACUUAAUUUAAUCAUAUUAAGCUAAAAAUAUAUAAAAUAAAAUGAAAAUGAUCAUGAAUGCGCCUUAUAUUUCAUUCAACUUGGUAUAUAUAAUAUUCAAAUAAUGAUUUUCAAAAAAAAAUUCAAAUAAUGUGAUUUUUAUACAAUAUUGACGUGAUUGUUGUCCAUGAGUAACGAUACCUACUGAUCACCGACUAUGAUGCAACAAAGCCGCAUGUGUGGCUGCUAGUUGACAUUGCGAUGAGUUAGUGUAACCCCCACUUUUAUUUAUUUAUUUUUUUCCUCUUUUGCCCUUAUUAAACUGAGUAGGAUAGUUAUUAUUGAGUGUUUGUGUGUGAGUAAAAUUUAUCGGAUUGUUUUAAAUAAGUUACGUAAGUUAUUUUUUUUAAAAAAAAAUAUUUAUUAAUUACCAAGUAUUUAAGAGAAAACCAUAUUUUUAAGAAGCCGUUUUUUAUUUUUCUUACACCGUUACAAACCCUAGAAAGAAAAGAAAGAAAUAUAAGUCUUUGCAAAAGGAAAAGAAAGUUUUAUCACUUCUUUUCUUAGUGUUUGCUUUAAGGUAUUAAGUAUUUCUUCGACUUAUAUGAUUUAUUUUUAUGAAAUUGUUUGCAUUUAAUUACUUGUAGUAUGAAUUGGGUAAUAUAUGUGUUUGUAAUGUUGUGAUGAUAUGAACAGUCUCUAUUCCUUGCUUGAAAUCGUUUUCUUUAUUUAGAAUCACGUGAAUAUCUUACAUAUCAUGGAACUAGACAUCCUAGGCUUUCCAUUGAUAGGUUUUGUGUUGAAAUCGCCUGAGAAUGCAAAUUCUUAUGGGUUUUCGAAGUUGGGUUACUGGUGCUGGAAAAUUCCGAUUUUCAGCAGCGGUUCUCAACUCUGGAAAUUUUUCUAUAAGGUUACACAUCCUUAAAAAUUAUGCUGAUUUUUGUGCCAACAGAUCUAUGUCUCCUAUGCUUGCAUGUUUAAUUUCGUAGUUUUAUUCUUUAUGGUUGAAUUAUUAAAAAUCGUAACAUAUGGCUGCUGCAAAUCUGGAGACUGUUAUCCAGAAUUUCAGAAGCUGAAACGUGUAACAGUUGAGCUAGUUUAUGAAUAUUACAUGCCAUGUUAGGAUUUUAUAAUGAAAUUUCAAUCUUUCCUCUGUCUUUAAAAACUGGAAUCGCGAUUUUUGGGGAUGUAAAAUAAAAGAUACGAAUUUUUGAAAUUCUGUUUUCAAAUCUGGAAUUUUCUGGACGGGUUAGAUGUUCUCGGAAAUAAAACGUUUUAAAAUAGUCUCAGGAGUCCAAAAAUUAUGAAUUUUAAUUAUAUGCUUUUUGAAUGUGUCUUCUGUAAUUAGAAAAAAAGAUAGCAUAUUACUUCGAGUACCAAAGAAUAUUUUAUGAAUUUUCUAAGUGGAAAAGGUCUGUUUUGGUCAGUGCUGGACAGUUUUGUUACUUUGGUGAAAGGUCAAUAUUCUGACUCGAUUUUGACUUGUGCUGAUUUUUGUGAAAUAUUGUAUGCAAUGCUAUACAUGUUCACAGUGCCUCUGUAAAUUUUCAUGGUUUUCCGACAUGUGUAUAGGUUAUUAAAAAUCAUCAUGUGCAGGAUACUCAUAAGUAUAGGAUAUGUUUAGAAUAUGUAUAAGUAUUAAGCUAGUAUUAGUGUCUAUGAUUUAAGGAUGAUUGGGAUUAUAUUUAAGGUUAGAGAUGAUAUUGAUAAGAAUAUUUUUAUGAUGAUUAUAGGACGUGGGUGAGCUCGUUGGUUGUUCUUGAGGUUUUGAAUUGAUUGCUACGGAUCGAGAUAAGUAGAUUCAUGCAUGAUGUGCUUUAUAAUAAAUGCAAUUUAUGUUACAAAAAUUAUGUUUAAAUGGAAAUUUUUACAAAACUGAUUUCUAAAAUAUUUAAAUGAAUUUUGUAAAAUAAAAACACUUUUAAAUGAAUUUAUAUAAAUGAAUUUUAAAAUGAAUUUUUCUUAAGAAAUGAGUUUUCUUAAACAAAAUAUUUUCUUAAAGAAUUUUCUAAAAGAAUUAAAUGAUCAAAGAAAGGUUCUUAAAUGUUUUAGAAAACUUUAAAAGCUAUUUAUGAAAGGAUGUAAGGUGGAUUCAAAAUGUUUUGGCUUAUAGUCCGUAGUAAUGUAUACAAUGGAAAUGUUAUGAUGUUAUGUAAUAUUAUGGUCAGCUUGCUGGUACGAUGAUGGUCUUGUGCACAAGGAUGUUAUGAACAAUGUGGGACAUAGUACCCUAAAUGAGGAACAAUGCGGGGUAUAACACCCUAAAUGAUGAAUGAUGAUGAUUAUGAGGCAUGAGCUACCAAUGUUUACGCUUUAAUGUUUUCAUAAAUGUUUUAAUGUUUUUAUAUGAAUCCACCCCUUAUGUUAAAUGAAGAUGUUGUUAUAAAAUGUUUAAAGGUAUAUGACAAAGGUUUUCAAAUAUUGUGCAUGGAUUUGAUUACCGAGUUGACGGCUCACCCCUCGUCUCCAAUAUUUUACAGAUUGAUUAGAGAUAUGGCUUGGGUUCUUAGACGGAGAAUUUUUCUUAGUGGAUCUUUAGAGUUGUUUUAAAGAUUAAAUUUGGCUAGACUUCCUAUUUUGCAUUAGAGACUUUUCUUUGGAGACCUUAUUUCAUAUGUUUUAUGUAAGGAUUCAGUUGGAGUAUGAAUAAUUAUUGUUUAUCUUGAGAUUUAUUAAUAAGAAUAAAUGAUGUGAGGUUUCAUUCCAAUUUUACCCUUGUGUUUUCAUGAGUAAUUUUUGGGGUGUUACAGUUAGGCUACUCGGACACCGACAACGCAAUGUGCUACUGGGCUAUGAUGAGAUGAAGACGAGUUGCGUGCUUACUACUGCAUGAAUAAUUUGGAAAUUAUGAGCAAGACUGUGAGAAAGUGAUUUAGAGUUUGAUUUGUGAGUUAUGAGCUUGUGGGAUUGUGUGCUUUUGGUUGUAAUUAAGUCUAAAUUAUAUUAAACAUUUUAUAUUAACUAAUAUUUGUAUUAUUUGUAUAAAUAUUUUGAUAUUUGUUAUUUACACCAAUAUUUUAUAUUUUACAAUUUAAAAUUUAUUAUUUAUUGACUAAUAAUUCUAAAAAAAUAAAAAUAAAAUAAAAUAUUAAAAUAGGGAAAUGGGGAGGGGACGGGGAUUCCACCUCAUCCCCAUCCCUUCCCUGAAUAAGUAAUUGGGUAAAAAAUCGUCUUCGUCCCUUCCCCGAAUAAGAAGUUUGGCAUAAAAUCGUCCAUGUACCCUCCCCAAAUAGGAAAAAUCCCCAAGGGCCCCCAUCCCCAUGGGGAUUCCUGCCAUUUCUAAAUUAGAAUAAAUUAUUUACUUGAACUGUAGGAAUCAGAAUAAAAAUAAGCUGGAUUGUCAUUGAUGUGUCUAUUUUGUCUUGGAAUUGAAAUCAAAAUGAGUUACAUUUUAACAACUUACUAAAAAGUGCUUAAUGAGCUAUUGUCAUAAUUAUUAUUUUAUAUUUUAAUUAUGGUAAUUAUUUAUUCAAAAAUUAUAAUAAUUAUUAUUGUUAAUAAUAUAUUCAUAUAUUAAUUAAUUGAAAAUUAUUUAAAUUAAUUAAUUAUUAAUAUAUUAAUUGAUUAAUUAUAAUAAUACAUUAAUUAAUUAUAACUGAGGACAAAAUAAAUAUUUUUUAUUUUGUGAGGGGGCAAAAUGGUCAUUCCAAGGAAUGGGAGACUAAUUCCCGCCUCCCUUGGGAAUUAAUCUUCCAUUUGCCAUUCCCAAAUUGCGGUGGACUCAACGAUUUCAAUUCCGAUUCUUGACUCUAUUUUGUGAAGUAAAUGCUCUCAAUAAUUUCGAUUCCUCAAUCCGAAGAAGUAAACGCACAGUUACUGUUUCUUCUAAAGCUCAAACUUGUCAGGUUUGAGAGACCUGAUAGAUACUUCAGUCAUGCAUCUACUUCAUCAUAAGACAAACUGAAAGUUAGAAAUAAAAGGGACAACUCAAGGAAAAUGCACACAAGUGAGGUUUCAAAAUUAAAAUAGACACUUCAGCUGCAAAUCAGCAUACACAUACAAUGGAGGUCAUACAAAUAUCAUUUCUACAACCGCCCUACUGUAUUCUUGAAUGAAGAUGGUUUAAAGUCAAGUAAUAAGAUAUUUAAACUUAAGACAGAACAAUACAAUUAAAUUUGCUGGAACUUAUGAGUAACUUACUCUCAUCUCUCCUCCUAAUUUAAUUGGACAGGCGUAAAUUUUCCAUGUUAAUAUGGAUGAAGUAAAUUUUCUUUUUGUAAUAUAUCUAUGCAUUAAAAAAAAUUAAUAAUAAUAACUUUUACAAGCAUUUAUGCUUGUAUUAAUACUCUACUUUUUACUACACGAUUGCUUCAGUAUAUGGUGGAUGUUAAGAUAACAAUAAUAAUAGAAUUACAAAUACUUGCAUACUAUUAACUAACUUAACACUAUAAUAUUGUUUACGGUGUAAGCACUCGAGGUGAUGUUAAUAUGCCAAAGAUUUAAAAAUAUUAGUUCUAGCUUUUGAAGAAAAAUAUACUUUUAGUCAGAAGGGAAAAAAAAGCUUUCUAACAAGAUAUCAAAAUGGUUAAUAAGAAGAGCAGUAGUAAUGGGGUAAAAGCUCGUUUAGUCCCUAUAUUUUGAGGUUAGUACUUGUUUAGUCCCUAUAUUUUUAAAAAUGCUUUAAAACAUCUUUGUCGUUAAAUUAUUGACACCCCUGUCUUUACUUUGUAUUCCUUUUAGCUUACUUUUACAAUAUUACCAUUUUUGCAAUAUUGUUUAAUUUUUUGGACAUUAAUAAUAAAUAAAAUUACCAAUUUAACCCCAAAAAUAAAAUAAAGACAAAGAAAAUAUAUAUUAAUCUUUGUCGAAACUAUGUCAAAAAAAUAAAUAUUGUAAAAAAAAUUUAACUACUAAUUUUUUAGACAUUAAUAAAAAAAUUAAUAUAUUAAUUCCUCGUGGAGUAUUCAAAAAAAUUAAUAUAGAUUUUUUUUUGUUUCUAUUUUACUUUUUUGGGUUAAAUUGAUAAUUUGAUUUUUCUUGUUAUUAAUGUGCAAUAAAGAAUAAAUAUUAUUGUACGGGGGUAAUAUUGUAAAAGUAAGUUAAAAAGAACAAAAAAUAACGGUAAGGGUGUCAAUAUUUAACGAUAAGGAUGUUUUAAGGCAUUUUUAAAAAUAUAGAGACUAAAUAGGUAUUAAUCUCAAAAUAUAAGGAUUAAACGAGAUUUUACCCUUAAUAAUGUUACGAGGGGGUUCAAAUGGAGGGGGAUGGGUAUUUCCAAAUUUGUAUCCAUUAAUUUUUUUAAAACUCAUAUCUGUCACUUGUUAUUAUUUUAAAGGAAAUUAUCAGUCAUAUACCUUAAGUUGACAAAACACUUCUACCGUCCACCAUUCCUUUAACUUCCAUUUGCAAGCGUUGACAUCAUAAGGGUAAUUUAGUCUUUUAAGACUGACGAAACUUUGAUAAAAAAAACGGCAUGUCAUCCCAUUUACCGAAUAAAAAAUGACAUGUCAUAUGAUAUAUAUUGAUAAAAAUAACAUGUCAUUCCACUUAUCGGUUAAUUGUUAAUAAUUGCUAAAAAAAACUAUUUUACAACUGAAUCUACUCCUCCAAAAUUUAACUUAAAUUUUUGAAGAUCUACUCCUCCAAGCUCCAACUUGAAAUUUUUAUGGUAUAAUAUGUAUAAUUGUAAAUAAUAUGUUGUUAAUAAUUUUUUAUGGUAUAAUAUGGAUAUUUUUUAUGGAUAAUUGUUAAUACUAUGUACCAUUAAUAAUUCAUUUUUUAAUCAAAAAAUGUAUUGGUAAUAACAAAAUAAAAAAAAUUAUGUAUUGAAAAUUUACGUUAAUUUUUGGGAUAAAUUUAUUUUUUUACCUCAUUUUGAGUUUUAAGGGCAAAAUAGUCAAUUUACCACAAUUCUGUUAACUUUCUAACAGAAGUUAAUAGAAUGGUGGACGGCAGAAGUAUUUUGUCAACUUAGGGUAUACGAGUAAUACACUUGAAAAGUAUUCACACACGUUUGAUACGGGUAUCAUUUAAGGGUAUAUAGCUGAUAAUUUCCCUUAUUUUAAAUAUCAAACUUGUCAACCCUUAGGGGAAACAAGUAUUUAACGGACUUUGUGCGGCUAAUUCUCAUCAUUCGCUACUCUAAAUUUUAUUUUACAGAUUUGUGCAUCAUUUAUAACAUUUAAUUAAAUACACUUAAAUUAUAUAGAUUCAACGGUUCAACCUUCAUAUAUCACAUGAAAAGAAUACUGAAUUUUUAACAUCUCUCAUCAAGAGAUUGUACUGUGCUUACUCAAUUAGAUACUAAGGUGGCGUUUUUUUUUUAACUUAAUGACUUAAAGUGACUUAACUUAAUUAAUUAAGUUAAUUAGAGGUGUUUGUUUUUAUAACUUAAUGAGACUUUGUAGAUAAUUUUGACUUAAUAAAAUAAGCUAAUUUUUUUUGCUUUUUACUUAAUGGAGAAAUUUGAAUUAAGUCAAUUACUUACUAAUGUAAAAAAUAUUCAUGUUUUAUAAUUUAUUUUUCAUGUCUAUCCCAAAACUCACCUAUAGACAUUUACUCCACAUAAAAAUAUCCAUGUUUUUUCUUUCUUAUAUUAUAUACGAUAAAAUUUAAAAUUUAUGGUAUUUUAUAUAUUAAAAUUCUAAAAUAAUUAUGUAUUCACUUCAAUAUAGUUUUACUUAUAAAUGUUAAAAUAUUGUGGUAUUUAAUAUAUUAUUUAUUUGACAUUCAAAUUUGAUAUGGAUACAAAUGUAAAAGUACAUAUUUUCAGUUUUUUCAGUUGAAAAAAACAAACAACUUAAUACUUAUUUUCCGAGAUUCAGAUGAAAAAAUAAACAUAUUAUUUAGAUUCAGACAUUCAAAUCUAUUCAGAAUUCAGACUAAUUCAGGUCUAUUCAGAUUUCAGAUAAAAAAACAAACGACACCUAAGUUUAUACUCCAACUAAUGUGUUAAUAGUAUUUGAAUAAAAAAUGAUAAAACUUAAUAAUUAAUUAUUGCUUAAGUCAAUUAAAUAGUAUCAUAUCAUUUGUUAAAAAAAAAAAAAAAUCUUUGUUGUUUCAAGAUUAUUAAUCCUUUUUCAUUUACUUAUUAUCAUUACUAUCUGCAACAAUCAUAAUGAUUUGCAUCAACAUGUGAUUGUUUUUUUGACUCCAAGAACAGCUUGUAAAUGUAAUUUCUCUUCUUCCCCACUCACCCUUGAAAACCCACUAUUUGUGUACUUCCAAAACGAUUUAUUGCUGACCGCCAAAGACCGAUACUCACUGGACAAAUUCCUAAAAGAAAGAUUCAAAUUCCAAUGUCUUAUACCUAUUUGAUUUGCAGUUCUUGUUAUGCUAAUGACUAGAAUGAGGCAAAGUGUUUUUUAAUUGAGAUGAUGGAUCUAAGGGUGCAGCAUGAUGUUGUGAUUUUCCAUGUUGGUCAUAUAUGAGCUUUGUGAAAAUAGAAAGAUAGAAGAAGCAUGUAGGUUUUUAGAAUCGCAUCAAUGGAUGGGUUUUGCUUGACCGAGGGAACUAUUUGUUUCUGUGGAGAAUAAAGGGUGCAGAAAUGAUGUUGCUAAAUACAACAAGUUGAUAAAUGGGUAAUGCAAGAAUAAGGAAGUAGAGGAAGCGUUAGGCCUUUGUAGCGAAAAGCUUUCUAAAAGAAUUCUCCUAGAAUAUGUUGGGGGGAUGGAGCAGCUGCCCCCAUCGCACCCUAAGCCAACAGACUCAAAAUUGGAUGGGAACUUUUUUCAUAGAUUAUUUCACGAACGCCCGAUUCCAAAUAUGUAACAUAUAACAUCAUGAUUCAUGGGCUUUGUAACAAUGGGCAAAUGGAUACGGAAGCAAGGCGUACGACGCCCAGUUGUGUCAUGUUUACUAAGCUUAUGCGAAAGAAUGAGACAUCAAAAGUUAUUGAACUUCCUCACUCAAUGGAUAAGAGAAAUGUAAUGCGGGAUGCAUCUAUACUUGCAACUGUUGUGGACUUUCUUUUAAAGAAUGAUAUCCGUUUAAACUCGAUUCCAGAAUUCAAAAGCCAAAAUUGAAUAUUGAUUUAGUAGCAUGUUUUUCUACCUGCUGAAAUUCGGAUAUGGAGGGUCCGUUUCAUUAUCCCAAAUGUGAAGGAGUGUCACGUUGUGAGGGCAAUGUAAAAUCCUCGCCAUCUGGUUCGGUUCACCAAAGAAACUUCCCCAUUAAUUUCUUGAAAAAGUUGAGUUAAAACUGUGAAUGAAAGAAUCAUGAUGAUCUGUUUUGGUUUGUGAGAUGUUAGAAAGUGGUCAUUGUUUAUUAAGUGGAAAUAAAAAUGAGGGAAUGAGAUUCAUUAAUUUGUUUACUUAUAAAUAGAGGAGGAGAAUUGAGAAUUAAAUUUGUUGGCCUCACAUCAAUUUAUGAAUAACUCUUGGAUUUCUAAUUUCUAAGGGAGAUUUGGAAUCUACAUCUCAUUUACAAUCUACCCAAUUGUAAUAAUUUUCAUUUUGUCAUUCUUUUAAAUAUUUAAAAAAUAAAUAAAAAUCGCAUGAGUACUGUGCAAAGAUGGAUUGUUCUUGUUAUUGUUGAUGUUAUUAUUACUAGCACCGAAUUACAUAUUAUUAAAUUAAUUUAAAUAUUACAAAUUAAAUUAUUUUUAAAUGAGUGAUAAAACCUGAUCAUUUAAUAACCAUGGCCAUUUAACAGAUUUAAACAUAAAAUUUCGUGUCAAAUUAUGUUUGAGUAUAAGGAUAAUGUAAGAUAAUUGGUACUUUAAUUUACAUUUAUGUGCUAACUGAAUAAAGUUCGCUAUUUAAAUUAAAUUAGAAACGGUGAAAUUUAAAAAUUAACUAUUAUUUAGCCAUUUAAACGCAGAGACACAAUUUGUCACGGUUCCAAAAGCAUAGCAUCAUUGAAAGUACCGUAUCCCACUUGUAUUAAUAUUCGGAAGAAUGGAAGGUUCUAUUUUGGUAAUUCUUUUCUUCUUCUUUUUCAACCCCAAACAAUCAAAAGCUCUCCAAUGGCUUUCGUAUCCACAACUCGUCCAUUUCAUUUUACUUCAAUUUCAAUAUCAGCUCUUAGAUGUAAUUUCUCCUCUUCGUUCCCUCAUACCGGAAAACCCAAAUCUUCCAUUUCGAAAAAUGAGCCCUCAGAUCCGACUACAACAGCUAAACUGAAGGAGUCGCUGCGACUGACAGUCAAAGACCGAGCCUCACUCGAAAAAUUCCUCAAAGAAAGGUGCAAAUCAUCCGGUGAAGGUGAUAUUACUUCCAUUACUCCUAAUGAAGCCUUGUGUAUCUUUGAUUACAUGCUCAAUAUGCGCCCUUCUCCGCCUCCUGUCACUUCCUUCAAUCUUUUGUUUGGUUGUCUUUGCUAAGACUAAACAUUAUGAUACUGACCUUUCACUCUUCAAGAGACUCAAUUCCACUUGGUUGUUUCCGGAUCUUUAUACUUGCAACAUAUUGAUUAAUUGCUUUUGCAAAAUGGGUCGAGUUUCUCAUGGUUUUGUUGUUCUUGGGAGAAUCCUCAGGUCUUGUUUUACUCCAGAUGCUGUGACCUUUACUUCUUUGAUUAAAGGUUUGUGUGCGGAGAGUAGAAUCAUGGAGGCCGCCGCAUUGUUUACGAAACUUAGAGUGUUUGGUUGUAAGCCUAAUGUUUUUACAUACAAUACUUUGAUUAAUGGAUUGUGUCGAACUGGCCAUACAAUUGUUGCUCUAAAUUUAUUUGAAGAGAUGGCCAAUGGAAAUGGGGAAUUUGGUGUUGUUUGUAAGCCAGACGCUGUUACAUACACUACUAUUAUAGAUGGUCUUUGUAAGGAAGGUUUUGUGGACAAGGCCAAGGAACUGUUUCUGCAGAUGAAGGAUGAGAAUAUUAACCCAGAUGUGGUUACCUAUAACUCUUUGAUUCACGGUUUUUGUUACGCUAAUGAUUGGAACGAGGCGAAUUGUUUGCUAAUUGAGAUGAUGGACCAAGGGGUACAGCCUAAUGUUGUGACUUUCAAUGUGAUCAUGGAUGAGCUCUGCAAGAAUGGGAAGAUGGAUGAAGCAAGUAGGUUGUUGGACCUGAUGAUUCAGCGUGGUGUGCGUCCAAAUGCUUUUGUCUAUAGCACAUUAAUUGAUGGUUUUUGCUUGACAGGUGAAAUAGAUCGUGCGAGGGAAUUAUUUGUUUCUAUGGAUAUUAACGGGUGCAUGCAUAAUGUUGUUACUUACAACACGUUAAUAAAUGGGUACUGCAAGACUAAGGAUGUAGAGGAAUCUUUAAAUCUAUAUAGUGAAAUGCUUUCUAAAGGAAUUAGGCCAACAGUUGUUACAUAUAACACCUUGUUUCAUGGCCUUUUUGAAAUACACCAGGUUGAGCAUGCUUUAAAAUUGUUUGAUGAGAUGCAGCAUAGUGAUGUGGCAGCUGAGACCUCUACGUAUAAUACCUUUAUUGACGGGCUCUGCAAGAAUGGUUAUAUUGUAGAGGCAGCUGAACUAUUUCGUACUUUGAGAGUACUCAAGUGUGAACUUGGUAUUGAAGCAUACAGCUGCCUCAUUGAUGGAUUGUGUAAAAUAGGCAAACUGGAAACUGCUUGGGAACUGUUUCAAAGUUUGCCUCGUGUAGGCCUAAUGCCAAAUGUUGUAACAUAUAACAUCAUGAUCCAUGGGUUUUGUAAUGAUGGGCAAAUGGACAAGGCACAUGAUUUGUUUCUUGAUAUGGAAGCAAAAGGUGUAGCACCCAAUUGUGUCACAUUUAACACGCUUAUGCUAGGUUGCAUCCGCAAUAAUGAGACAUCAAAAGUUGUUGAACUCCUUCACAGAAUGGAUGAGAGAAAUGUAAUACCAGAUGCAUCUACACUUUCAAUUGUUGUGGACUUACUUGUAAAGAAUGAAAUUAGCUUAAACUCGAUUCCACAAUUCAAGAGUCAAAGUUAAAGUGAGUUUUAUAUUGAUUUAGUCACAUGUUUCUUCUGCCUGAAAACCCGAUCUGGAGGAUCCCAUUCUUAUUACAACAUGUAAAGGAGCGUUGUCUAAUGUUGGCAUGUUCCUAGGUUCUGUCCAUGGAUUCUGUUUGCAGACAUGGCUAACUUCUUGUCCAACAGAUAAGUUUUAAAGUCUUUCAACUUUAUGUUGUAAAAUAACUUUUUUAUUAUUCAAUUCAUGAGUUUUCCUUCUGUAACACAUCCUUCUCAUUAGCUGGAAGUGCAAAUUUUUUAGGCUUUUCCUGUAUGGCCUCUUUUUCUUCUCUAAAUAAAAUGGCAUUUUGUUUCCCUCCUGUGAGGGUACAACGUUUAUGUUCAAACUUUCUGUUAGUUAAGUUGGUUGUCUUUGAUAUAGGGAACUUCCAGUUGAACUGAUUUGUAAUUCGAGUAUAUGAGAUUACCAACUGUAUUGGGAAUUGAUGCCAAAUUAAUUAUGUCAUCAGGUUUUUCAAUCAGCGUUCAUCAUUUAUUUCUAUUAACAAUUAAUAGCACAGCUUGUCUUCUCAGCUUCAUUGCUUCCUCUAAAAAAUAAUCUUGUAAAGACAAUUUUUUUUUUUUUUUUUUUGGCAUGGUAAAUGCUAGAUAGUUUGUGGUCUGAAUGAUACUACACAUCUAAGUAAUUGCCCAAAUUGCCAUGUAACAAGGAGUGUUGCAUAGUGAUGUCAUGCUCACAGGUACCACUCAUCAACAUGGCCAACGCUUUCGAUGCAGUCAUUAUUAUGGAAAUUCAAGAGUUCUCCUCCUAAGAGGUCUCUCUCUCGUUCUCUUAAUUUCCUUAUUCUGUUUUGGAAGUAAUGUAAUGGGAAAAUAGCAUUUAAUUUCCUUGUGUCUGACAUUUUCUUCUAUAAAUGCUAUAAAAUAUCAUUUUUUUUUUCAUCAUUGAUAUGUAUUACACAAUCAGAAGACUAAUAUUUAUAUGAAACAUCUACUUUAUGGCACAAUUCAGAUUUUUAUCCUUAUAAAUAUUGGAAGGAUAUCUUUAUGUUUCUUCUGUGAUAACUUUUCUGGGUGCUGCAACCUUUUUAUUAGAUUGAUAGAAUGUGAAUACAAGGAAAUUCUGUUUGAUAAUCUUGGCAAACCAGGAUUAAUAUGAAAUGGAGCAUCAUCAACAAAUACUUAGCAUAUUGCUGACUAUGAUUUGUUCUUUCCUCGCCUCAUUCUUUUUGUGAGUAGAAUUGGAUCGUGAAACUUGUUAUGUCAGCACAAGUGUCCUUUCAAGUUGAUGUAAAAUACACUGACUUGAAAUAAUGGCAUGGUAAUUUGGGGGUAUAGAUAAGCUAGCAUGAGUAUAUUUUGUCACCAAUUUCGCCAACCGCGUAUGGGUGUGGAAAUUAUAUUGCAUUUCUAAUGUCAUUUGAAAGAAAAACUUGCAAAAUUUGUAAUUUGUUAAAUCUGAACCGUGGUUCACAUCUACUCUUCCCCAACUUGAGUCAUAUGAUUCAAUUUUUUAGUGGGCAUGACGAGAUAGAUUUCUACCAAGCCCAACCCAUUUAUCUACCCUUUUGUAAUUUUCUAUCAUGCAUAUAUUUAUAUUUUUGUAUAGUUAAUAUCUAAUUAUUUAUAUAUUUUUAUUGAAUAACUAUUAAUUAUAUUUUUCUAAAAAAUCGGCAUGAAAAGUUCAACUUAAUAUUGAAUUUAAAUACUUUGAUAAGUAUAUGUCAAAUGUUUGGAAUUCUUUUUCUUAGUCUUCAUGAUUGAUUAAUUGAAAAAUAAAUGUGUACGUAUUAAAAUGGUAUUGGAUAAACAUGCCCCUAUCACCCAAGUUUUCCUUUGGAUAAUUUCCUAACUUGCAAGUUGAUAUCGAUGUUUAAAAAGAACCAAAAAAAAAAAGUACAUAGAAAUCUUCGUCAAUUACUUCUUGACCUAGUAGUUGACACUUUCUUAUCUUAUUCUUGAGGUUAAAGGUUUGAAUCUUCUUAUGUGGAUUUUAGGUGAACUAUAGAAAAACAAAUUAUAUGAGACAUUUUCAAAAUAAGUAUAAAUGUGGUACUUAUUCAUCAGACGAACAUAUUAAUGACGUGAUAAAUCCGUGUUAUGUAAAUUUUCCAGACUGUAUAAUUAUAUUAUAAUAUUAAAUAAAUAAGAAGAAAGAAUGGAAAAUGCAUCUUCCAAAAGUUUUCAUAGAUUGGCUAUAUGCACAAACAGCAAAUCGAAACAAAAAGAAAGGAUGUGACGUGACCUUACUACCUGUUAUCCCAGUUAUGGAAUUCAAGUCAAUCUUUGAAGUAAUGCACUUUUAUUUCUCUAUGACAGAGACAGGUCCAAGUCUUUCAUCCGAGGCAAAUGCUAAGCUCCAAUUACUUAGCAGGGGUGUUCAUAAUCUAAUCCGAUCCACUUAAUUUAUCUGAUCCGUGAAAAUUCGAUUCGUAUAAAUUCAAUCCGUGGAUUUGUGAAUUGGAUAUGGAUUGAAAAUUUAAAAAUCCGCAGUCGAUGGAUUGGAUAUGGAUUUACUUUUGUAAAUCCGUAAAAAUCCGUGAAUUCACAAAAAAAAAUAUAUAUAUAUAUAGUUAAAAAAUUAUUAUAAAUUUAAUUAAAGAAUAUUAUAAUUGUGACAUUACAUAGUUACAUAAGAACUAUAACAUAUCUUAACCAUUACCCAACAAUAAUAUAAAAUAAUUAAAUAAUCAAAUAUACAAAUAUAACUUGUAAAAAUUAUAAAACAAAAUAAAAGGAAAGUCACACGCACUAACAAAAGCAAAGUAACAUAACGCAAAGUCACCAACAAUUUACAAACAAAAAACCCUAAGCUUCCCCGCUGUCACAUGCACUAGCAACCAAUAUUGGUUUGAUACACUCUCGACACCGAUUUGAAGGACGUCGGUCGCACGAUUCUAGCGAGAGCAAGCCAUCUUCUUCCCCGAGUCCAUCGAGCCACUUCACAAUCACUAGUUCCAGCCAAACAAUUGCACUAUCACAACCUUCAAGAUCGCCACCCGUACUUCUCCUGGUUCCCAUCGUUGACGGCUACGUAAUCACCACUUUUCGACAAAUACAACAGCCCUGGUGAAGGAUCAGACUGUGUUUGGUUUCGGAAACUUCACCAUUUCAAUUAAUUAUGGCUUUAUUUGAAUAAUUAAUUUCGGUGUUAUAUUAAUGUAUUAUUGUAACUUUAUUUGAACAAUUAAUCUCGAUGUGCUAUAUUUUGAAACUUUGAAUGUAUUAUUUUAGUUUUAUUUAAAUAAUUAAUUUGUUUAAAUUUUAUUCAAUUUUAAAUUUAAUUGGUAGUAAAAUUAUUUUUAUAUUAGAUUUUUUUUUUUAAAUUUCAUUAGUUCAUGGAUUGGGGAGAACAAAAAAUUUUUAAUUCGGAAGCUAAUGUGUAAAAUGGUGGAUUGGAUAUGGAUUAAGUUAAAUCCACAUCUGAUCCGCAGACGUAUGGAUUGGAUAUGGAUUUAGUCAAAUCCGCAUCCGAUCCGCAGAUAUAGGAUUGGAUUUGGAUUGAGUUUAAUCAAUCCGUGGAUUGGAUUGGAUUGAAAAAUUAUAAUCCGCAAAAUUGUGGAUCAGAUAUAAAUUAAUGUCCAAUCCCUAAAAUCCGAUCCGCGAACACCUCUAUUACUUAGAGGCUCCCUUCUUCCAAAUUCAUAAUCUUCAACAUUUCUCCAACCAAUCAAGCAAGGCUAGAGAUAGGUAACAUACAUUUUGAUGUACAUUUGUCUUUUGUAUCAUUUACUUCACUAGUGAUCCAUUAAAUGGAUCCACCAUUAACGUAAAUGCUAGUUUAACUAUUGACAGUGGAGCAAGUAUGUAUGUGGUCCCUACGCACAAGCAUACACGCCCAUUAAAGCAUUACUCUCCUCAUCAUUGGAUAUGAAUUUUGUGAACUAUAUAUCUUUUUGGGGGUUUCAUUUAUCUUUCCGGUCUCUUAUGAUCAUUCACGGCUCCUGCUGCUGCUUCUUAUUGGCUCUUUGACAUCCUCUGUCUUGUUCUUGCUGUGUGUGUCGGCCACUAGCAACUGCUUCAAGCAAUGUGAGUUUGUUGCGUGAGCUUCCGUUUUGGUUAUUUUCAAUUAUUAUUUUUGUUGAUGGGUUUGUGAUUUUGUGCUGUAUUAUUACAGGAUUACACUGUUUAUAUGUAAGAUAGAAGAUAUGAUGAGCCUCAGCUGGUUCAGGAUUCGCACCAUCAGAUUCUUUCGGAUAUUCUUGGAAGGUUUAUAUUUCAAUCUCUUUAGCCGAAUUUACCUAUUAUAUUUUUAUCAUAUAAACGUUAUGCAAAACGUUUAUGUUAAUGUAUGGUGAAAAUUGAAAAAUGGAAAAUAAAAAUAUUUGUACUGCUUUCACUAUUUAUCUAUGUUAAUCUCUUUGAUAAAAUGAAGUGGAUGUCAUUAUUUCCAUGCAUCAGUAAUUACAAUCCAUAUUGUGCUCUUGCUAGUCUGUGCUCCAUUUGAACAUCGCAACGAACUUAUUUACUUACAUAUUUUUUGUGCUUUCUGGUUGGAAAUUGGAAGUUUUAACCAAUUUCUGAUCAGAAACAGCCCUUUUGAGUGCUAUGGCAGAAACCGCAGACGUGACCUAACCUUCAUUUUUAAUUUGUAUCAAUUGGUAGUUUUUUAUAACUCUCUCUUUUCCCCUCUAUCAAUAAUGAAUGGUAUUCGCUAGAGAAACCGUAAGGGGACUAAUCAUUGUGAAAAGCACUAGGUGAUAACUAGCAGUUUCAAUUUGACAGCAAAGAAGCUGCUAAGGAAUCAAUUCUCUGUACAGCCACAAGCAUGGUUUUUCUGGAUUUGCCGCAGUCUUAACAGUCUCAAGCCAAGUUAACUGCAGGUGUUAUAAUGUUCGUGAAUGAAAUCUGUUUUAGCUGUCCAAAUUUGUUUUAUUAACCAAUAUUUUCUGUUGAUACGUUUUGUAUGAUGCAUUUGUGCAGAUCACCCUGCCGUGGUCUGUAUUGUACCAAAUAGGACACUCAGUUUGCACACAACCAAAAUGUUGUGAAUGAAAUUCCUUCAAAAGGCCAUUCAGGCGCUGGAAGUUAUUUUCAGAUUCAUGGAAAUAACUAUAAUACUGGUGGCAUUUAGUUUCCAAGUGAUCUUGGUAGUUCAAUAAGUUCUAGUUCUACACUUGUUUCCAAAGGUUUUGGUUACAUGAUGGUCUGCCCGUUGAAUUACAAACUUGUGAUGAUUUGUACAAGAGGAAAAAAUGUAUUGGUUGGAAUUUUUGUUCCAUAUGAUAUAACUCUGUGAAACAGCUUUACAUUUUGUGUUCAAGUUGAACAACAUACAAUUUGAACGAAGAUUAUUCAAUCAAAUUGAAGAUUUCUGUUUGAAUAUUUUGAAUGACAAAAUUAAAUUUACUUUCAUGCAGAUGCAGUAGCAUUUAAUCAAGUUCCUUGUGCUGUUGAAACAAAAAUAUAACAUCCUUGCUUGCAUUUCAACAUGAUAUGAUGCCACUCUUUUACUGUUAACCAACACACAUACAUCAUGUAGGCCUAAUGGCAAAUGUUGUAACAUAUAACAUCAUGAUCCGUGGGCUUUGUAAUGAUGGGCAAAUGGGCAUCUAGUUUUUCGUUUGUGAGGCUACUAGGUCUAUGCUGAAACUUUAUGUUAGUUAAAUUGAUUGUCUUUGAUAUCUAGAACUUCUAGUUGAACUAAUUUGUACUUUGAGUAUAUGAGAUUGCCGGCUGUAAUGGGAAUUGAUGCCAAAUUAAUUAUGCAUCAGGUUUUUCAACGUGUUCAUCUUUUAUUUCUGUUAACAUUUUGGCUCUGGACAUGCUGGAUUGUUUUUGGUUUCAGUGAUACAAAACAUCUAACUAAUUGUCCAAAGUUUUUCAUUCCUUGCGACAUAGCAUUCAAUUGAAUGGUGACUCAUGAAUCAUGAUUGUGUGUUUUGGUAUUUGUAUACUAUGUAUUGGCAAGACAAAGUCUGUUGAAACUGAGAAACUUUUUUCCGCCUUCCAUUCUUGUUUCAUAUUCUUAUGCUAACAAAUCUUGAUCAUGAUGAGUCUCCUCUUUUCUUUUCAACCCACAUAUAAAGUCUUGGCCAUAAGCCUCAAGGCCUAUUGGCUAUUGCAGCAGUGAGUUCACUCUCUGGAAUCAAAUCUUUCAAAUACGAGGAAAUUUGAAAAAAUUGCAAAUGUCUACAAAGCAAAUGAUCCAAAGGUCCUUUUUGUUAUCACACACACACAACAUUACUCAGACAUUGUCAGAGUAUCCAUGUUUUACAGUUGGUCCUGUUGUGCAAACAGCAUUUCUGAUUUUUCCAGAAGACAAUUCUUCGAAGCAUGUAUUUGAGAUGCGCGUAGAGCGUUGGAAUUAUAUGAUUAAUUCUCUUUAAUUUCCAGCCAUAGUUCUAUGCAGGCCAGUUAAUCCCCUUUUUUGUAACACCCCCCCCCCCCCCCCCCCCUCUUCCUUUUUUGCUAUGGAUUGUAUUUCCUUUUUUUUCUACUUUUACUUGCGUUGACAAUUUGAGCUUGCUGUCUUGUGGUUUUAGAACCUGCUAAAGUAAGCGUGCAAGUGACAAUGAAGAAGGGGAAGGGUUUACUCGUCAUUUUCUUUUUGAAAGCAAUGCGUUUUAUGCGGUGAUAUUUUUUUUUUAUCUAUGUUGUGAAAAAAAUUUGACUGAUUUUGAAGAUCCUUAAAGAUCGUCCAUCUUGGUUCUGGCAUUGUUGCAGCCUUGAAGUUUGCAAAACGAUUCCUGCUGGAUAAAUGGAACAGCUGCCUCUUUGAUGGAUUAUGUAAAUCUGGCAGACUUGAGUUUGCAUGUGAAUUGUUUCGUAGUUUGCCUCGUCGAGUCCUAAUGGCAGAUGCUGUAACAUAUAACAUCAUGAUCCAUGGGCAUUGUGACAACGGCCGAAUGGAUAAGGCACAUUAUUUCUUUCUUGAAAUGGAAGAAAAUGCUAUGGCACCCAAUGUGAUCACAUUUGGUACGUUUAUCCAUGGUUUUAGCCAAAUCAAUGAGCCAUCAAAAGUUAUUGACCUUCUUCACAAGAUGAGGGAGAAAAAAGUAAUGCCAGAUGCAUCUAUAGUUUCAAUCGUUGUGGACUUACUUGUAAAGAAUGAAAUUAGUCUGAACCCACUUCCGUCAUUUCCUGUCCAAGAGCGACAGGGGGAAGUUGAUGAGUGAAAUGUCAAGUUGUAGCAGCAUGUGCUUUCAGCCCAAACUCCUGAUCUGCAGCAUCUCAUUCAUGUUACAAAAUGACAUGUCGCCUGGUGACAGCAUGUUCUCUCCGGUGCUGUUAAUGGAUUCUGAUUGUUCUUGUGAUCUGGAGAGUUUCAUUCAUAUUACAGAUCCUGAUCAGGACGAGCUAGCAUAUGUGAUCACCAACUGUACAUGGUUGUUGAUGCCAAAUUAAAUUAUGGUAUCAUGUUUUUCAACUUGUUAUUUAAUAUAGUGCUUCCAUUGAACGGCCACAAGAAACUGUAGAAUCACCGUGUCUUGUUCCCUCUUAAUGAUCCAUCACUUUGGAAGCUAAUGAAUUAGUUGCACCUUGUCACUUUCUUGGUACUUGAUUGUCAUUCGUGCUUUGAAUUUACAGCAUAUUUUAUCCCUGCUUUACUCUUUGCAUAAUCACCUUUGAGGGCUGCUAGUAUGUAUAAUUGAAAAACCUUAUAUAAAUUGUAAGCUUUUUUAUUUAACUUGUUGUAAACUUCCAGUGUAUGUCUCUUCUGUGAAAUGAUUCAUUCUCCAUGCUGCUAGGGCCUAGGCUUAUGACUCUUCUGUGAAAUGAUUUACCCUCACCUGCGCACAGACAUUUAUCACGUUCGAGAAACCUUCAAACAAUGUGAAAAAAUGCCUCAAGCAUGACAUAAACUUAACUGUUUACAUGAAAAGUGGUAGAAACUUGGUGAAAUUACCGAUUAAAUUGUACCUACUGUGAGGAAGGAUGCUAUAUAACUAAGUCGGAAAAUGUAAAUGCCCGGCUUUCAGAAGUCAAUAAUUAGAUGAACUUUGAGGAGAUUAGGAUCACCAGUCAGUCAGAUUUAGAUAGAAAGUGAGAGAUUGCUAUUGCCGAGCCAUUGCUUCUAUCCUAAAUGCUUUGAUGUACCUGAAAAGUAUACAAAUAUCGGGGUUAAAACAGAGCAGAUGAAAUCGUAUUGAUGAAUUCAACUGUGAUAAGUGGUAAAAGAAAACCAACCGACCUUCUGUACAAAACUCGCACGUCUUCCUUUAAGAGCUGACUUUCCAAGAAGAGAUCACCACAAUCGUUCACAUCAACAGUCUCCACUUGAAAAUUUUAUAACCAUAAUACUCAUUCCAUUCAAACCAGAUCCUUGAGAUCAGUUCCUCAGGCAAGUGGCAUGAUCAUCCUCUUCAGGAGACUCAGCAGCAACCAGUCUAUAUGCAUAAGCUUUCUUUGUUUGGCCUCGCCGGAAAGCCCUGCCGAUUGCCUGGCGGGUCACUGAUGUAUUAAAGCUUUCUGUAAUUUCAUUUUUUCAUUUUUCCCUUGCGAGGGUACAGGUUUAUGUUGAAACUUUCUGUUAGUUUGCACUUUGAAUAUAUGAGAUUACCAACUGUGACAUGGCAUUCAAUUGAAUGGUGACUCAUGAAUCAUGAUUGCGUGUGUUGGUAUUUAUUGUACUACGUGUUGGCACGACAAAGUUUGUUGAAACUGACAUACUUUUCUCUAUGAAGAUUGAAGACAACAUAAUAAGAUAAAAUUUGUCAAAAACAUGUAUACUUGACACUUGACAGGGCUGGAACGUCUGUUAUUAGUCCUCGCCUUCCAUUCUUGUUUCAUAUUCUUCUGCUAACAAAUCUUGAUCAUGAUGAGACUUCUUUAUUUUCAAAAAAAAAAAAAUAUCCACAUGUAAAGUCUUGGCCAUAAGCCUCAAGACCUAUUGGCUGUUGCAGUGGUGAGUUCACUCUCAGGAAUCAUAUCUUUCAAAUUCGAGCGAAUUUGAAGAAGCUCGAAUUCGAAGAAAUUGCAAAUGCCUACAAAGCAAAUUGUGUGUAGGUCCUUUCACUUAUUAUUGGAGAAGACCAUUUGUUGAAGCAUGUAUUUGAGAUGCGCAGAGAACCUUUGGAAUUAUAUGAUUAAUUCACUUUAAUCUCCAGCCAUAGUUCCAUACAGCCCAGUUAAUCUUUUUUUUUUUUUGGCUUUUGGAUUUUGUUUCCUUUAUAUAUAAAGGAAAUCGGGACUCAAUUGUUGGGAGUCCAAUCACUUUUUUCUCUUUUAACUUGCUAUUUUUGUUGUCCGAAAUUAUCUGAAGUUCCAUGCAUGCUCCAAUAGAACAAAUAAUACAGGUUAUGAUCGUCAUACUCCAUAAGCAAGUUUUUUUUUUGGCUGCCCCUUAUAUUUGUCACACUCCUUGUACUAGUGCCCAAUGAAACCACAAUAGAAGCAAAAAUCUGACAAUCACUCAUAUACUACUGUAAUUGGAACAUCAUCUUCACCUUCAAGUUCUAAAUAAAUAAUUUUCUUCAAUGGUUGUGUGAUAUCAAUUGAGAUACUUACUCUGGCAUACUGACCAAUGCACUCUUCUUCCUCGUCCGCAUUAACUUCUUCAAUUAUACCAAUUGCCUCUCCCAACGCUCUGAUUAUUUGCUGGUCUAUACACCCAACUGGGAUACUAUGAAGUUGUACCCAAAGGCAGCAUGAGUAAAUGAUUGUUUUGUUAUUUCCCCAAUUCCAUUUGCCUCUUUUAGAUAGGGUUGGGCAAAUAACCCGACCCGACCCGACCCGACCCGACCCGACCCGAUCAGAUCCGAAAACAAUCGGGUUCGGAUCAGAUCGGGUUUUUAACAUAACCCGAUCGGAUUUAAUUUCGUCAACCCGAUCGGAUCGUCAUCGGAUCGGGUUUCACCCGAUCCGAUCCGAAAAUCCGAUCGGAUUUGGCUAUUGAAAAAAAAAAUAAAAUAAAACACCCACACACAAAGGGGUGAAAAACACAACACUGCCACACUCAAACUCACUGACACACACCCACUCCCCAUCCACACACACACACACACUGAUACACCCACCACCCACCCCCCAUCCACAAAAAAUCGCAAUAGAUAGCCUUUUACUCACAUUUCAGAUUUCAUAGCUAGGGGUGGGCAAAUCGGGUUUCGGUUCAGGUUUCGGUUUGGGUUUCAACCCGUUCGGGUUGGAGAAUUGAACCCAAUCGGAUUGAAAAUGCCAACCCGAACCAAACCGAACCGAAUUUAAUUCGGUUCGGUUCGGUUUGGGUUGACAAUUCGGAUCGGAUUGGGUUGAUAAUUCGGGUUAAUUCGGGUUAGUUCGGGUUAGAAUAAUUCGGGUUAGUUCGGGUUAGAAUAAUUCAAGUUAGUUCGGGUUAGAAUGGAUUGAAACAAUUUAAUCUAAAAAUUCUAACAACUAAUAUCAAGUACAAUCAAACUACAAAAAUUACAAAUCUAAAAAUUAAAAUGGCAAAUGACAACCAUGAUUAAACAUCUCCAUUCUCCACAUGACAAUUAAUCAAUCAAUUAAUUAACAUUUGGUCGUCUGACAUGAACAGAAUAAAUCAAUAGCAAGCAUGUAGUUCUUUGAAAAGAACAAAAAACAUAAAACGAAAAUGCAUAUGAGAGUGCCAACAAACAUGAUAGCGACAUUUAAACAAAGCAAAAUUGGAGGUACUGGCAUGAUUUAUAGGCCAAGUAUCAAGAUGGAGACUUUUAAUUAAUUUUUGGAAUCUUUAAAAUAAGAAAACAUAUUAGCAUAAAAGAUAUUAGAAUUGUAUAAUGAAAACAACAGAUGCCAGCAAAACGCACACUGACCAUUUUCCCUGAGAGAUCGUGUACUAGUAACAAAAUUAAGAACUGAAUCAUCAGCAGUUGUUCUUCAACAAAUAUUAACAGAAGCCCAAACUGAAUACCUUUUUCGGUUCCUUUGAGCAGCGGAUCUCGCUUUACGCUUCCUCUUCUCCUGACUGCUCUCAAAAAAUCUUCUUCUCUUGCACUCUUGUAUAAUACCAGCUCUCAGCACCGCACUCCUAAACCGCCUCGCUAUCUUCUCCUCGGGCUAGUCGUCGGCGACUUCUAUCUGCACGUUGAAGAAAUAUAUGGUGUCUGUUGGAGCUGGACGGGGCUGCUGGCUGCUGCUGUGAGUGCUGUCGUCGUGGGCCACAAAACUCAAAAAGUGAGAAGAGGGAGCAAGGAGGGGGAGGGAGUUAGACGGUGAGACCGGCUGGUGUCUGUUGGAGCUGAACGGGGCUGCUGUGGCUGCUGCUGAAGUGCUGAUGUCGUCGGCCACAGUUCUCAGAAAGUGAGAACUGAGAAGAGGGAGCAAGGAGGGGGAGGCCGGGAGGUAGACAGGGAGUGAGAGAUUUUUGUUUAGGGAUUUUUAGGGAUUUUUUGGUUUAAUUAAUGUAUAUAUAUUUUUUAUUUAAAAGCUAAAUCUAAAAAAAAAAAAAAAGCUUCAACCCGAACGGGUUGAAAAUUCGGUUCGGGUUGAACCCGAACCGAAAUUUAACCCGAACGGGUUGAAGCUUUGAAUCCGUUCGGGUUUCACUGGUUAAUCCAAACCGAACCGAACCCGAAAUAAAUUUCGGGUUCGGUUUGGUUCGGGUUAACCCGAACCGAACGCCCACCCUCACGCUUCACUCUCUUCUUUGGUUCUUCUCCAAUUUUCACCCUUAAAUCUUCACAGCUUUCUUCUUUUUAAGUCUUCACUCUUCAGUUUUCACAAAUCGAUUUCUCACACAAUCGGGUUUCACAGAUCGAGUUUCAGUCACAAAAGCAAACCGAUGGUCACUCAAAGACGCAGCGCAAGAACCGAAGAUCAUUUGCAGACACAGCCACCGGAUCCGUGGUUCCGUCCAUCACCAAGUUUCUCACCUCCAAGCUCCACUUCAACCCAGCAACCUGACUUCUCCAACCUGCAACCUGAGCCUUGUGUUUUGAAAUUUUGAUGGUUUUUCUUGAUGUUGUGAUUAUUAUCAUAUAUAAAUUGUAAAAUUUUAAUGUUCACCAGCUAAUGAUAAAGAAAAUCAGUGAUAAAGAAAGUUGUAAUGUAUUUUUUUUCCAAUGAUGGGCAUAAAUUUUUUCAUUUUUCAGUCCAAACUGAUUUUAAUCCGAAUCCGAUCCGAACCGAACUCAACCCGAUUUUUUGACCCGGAUCGGAUUGGAUCGGAUUACAAGUUCGGAUUGAAUUCGGAUGGAUUUCUGCCCAACCCGACUAACCCGAAAUCCGAUCGGGUCGAACCAAACCCGAUCCGAAUCCGAUUUUGCCCAGCUCUACUUUUAGAACUAUCAGAGCUCGUUCAAAAUGUCACGGCCCACUUGAUAAAAUUCUCAUCUUAUCAACUUCAAAGGCAAAUUUAACAUAAAAAUCUUACUCCCCAAAUUUUCAAUUUCACCUAUUCUGCAUACUUGUUGUAAUGCUCACUUAAGACCCUCUCUAGUAACUCCUCUUAGAUGUAAGACUUUGCCCAGCAGACAACCCUCAACUAACUCUCUCGCAUUCCCUUCCAUGACAUUACCAACAACUACUUUACUUUCUUUUCCUUCUUCUAAUGUAAUAACUUUACACUUGCGGAUUAGUUCUUCUGUUUCCAUGAGGCACUAAAAUAUAAAUCCACUAUGAUAACUCUUGAGUAUCUACCACUUCCUCUGUAAUUAAGACUCAACAACUUAGAUGAAAAACUUAAAACUAAAAGAGACACCCAACUCGUGAGCGACUUUCGCAAUCUUAUAGGCUACUACCCUUUCAUUCUAGAUUCUCACUCAAAGAGAGAGAACCUGUGAAGAAAGACUUCUACAGGUAGGAGAGCACUUACACAGUAGAUUAUUUAUAUUUCUUUGGACUGACUUUUUUACUUUAUUAAAGACAAAAACAACAUAAACAAAGACAGAAGAUUAACAAAAGCAUCAAUUGCCAAAGAGUAGAGAGUAUUAUUAUAUUUUAGGAACUUAGGUUAUGACCAACUUAAAAGAAGCAGUUAGGGCUUGUUCGGUACCGUUUUAAAAGCCUUAUUUUCAUUUUUGUUUUGGGAGUAUAAAUAUAAUACAUAUUCAGCGGGUUGAAUCCAAAAAAAUAAAUUAUAAAACAAAUAAUUGAUAUUCACUUUUACAGUUAUAAAAUUAAGAACCUGUUGAACAUGUUCUCAAACAAAUUACAAAUUAAAUUAAAAAAAAAACCCCAAAACAAAAUCUAAAAAGUUAUCUUUCUCUCCCAAAAUCUUAUCCCCUCCCUCUCGUUAUCUCUUCACAACUCUUCCUUCUUCAUGGUUGAUACUUCUCCUUUAACCACAACCCACCUGAACUGUGCACCGAUCUCUCUCUCCCCUUCCCCUUUAUCUAGGUCUACUUCAAUGCUCUCUUCCUCUCGGUGGCUGUUACUUGUUCAUCAACCGCAAUCCAUCGUCGCAAGGUACUACGUCGGAAUAUUUGACCAAAAACAUGUCAGGACAAAGUGAUGUCUAUCAUGGUUUAUUGCUGCAAGUGCAUUAUUUUCUUUGUACUAAAGUGAAUCUUUGAUGUAUUUAUUAAAUUUGGUGGAGCAAUCUUUGUUAAUUUUGAUGAUCUAUAUAUGCAUUUAAUUUCAUUUUUAAUAAUUCAUGUGCAGGAAAUAUGGAUUCUUGGCUUUGCUUGGACUGAUGGUUUGCGCAAUUUCAUUUGGAAUCAAUCAGCUUCGAGGAUAAACACUUGAAGUUCAUCCUUUCUUGUGCAUGGGACUUGCUUUUCUUCCAUCCAACUUUUUUGUUCUCUUUUUCUAUGGUAGCAGUUUUAUGUUUUGUGUUGGUGGGAAACUUCAUGCUGCAAUUUUGUCAAACUCUGUUGACAUACCCUAAUCAGUAAUGACUUUGCUGCAUGGCGAAAGCAUAAAUCUUGUCAUUAGAGCUUGUUUCCAUAAAAUAAGUGUAAUUUGAAAGUACAUUGUACACUAUUGAAUUUAAAUUAUCCCCAACAAGUGUUGAUGCAUGAUGUCUAUCGUGUAAUUUUUUUUAUAAUUAUUUUGUUUAAAUUAUAUGUGUUGUAAUAUAUAACUUAAUUAUAGUGUAAAAACAAUGGCAAUGUAAUUUUUUGUAUUAAUGCUAAUACUAAAACUUUAUCAUCAUGCAAUUUUUUAUAAUUAUUUUAUUUAAAUUAUUUAUGAUAUGUUUGCGUAUUAAUUAAAUAAACAAUUAGUUUUUACUAAAAACUAUGACUUACAUGUUUAGUAAAAACUGUUCAUGAAAAUAGUACUACAGAACACAUUUUCUCUGAUUUUAUCUUUUUCAAUUGUUUUUAUCAAACACAUGUUACUGUUUUCAAUUUUAAAAUACAAGAUAUAGAAAAUGAUAUCAGAUGCCUAUUUAAUUCAAAAUGCUGCAACUGCAAAACACUAUUUUUAUUCUCAUUUUUGUUUUCAGAAAAUACUAAUUCAGAAACAAUAACAAACAAGAACUUAGUUUUAGUACGAAUAAUGUUGUGUUAGUUUUACAGGCUUACAUGCACCCUUAGAUUUAUUAGAAGUAUCAACCCAACCCCCUAGUUACCGUUGACUGAUAUCUAACCCGUUGACUGAUGUUAACUCUUGAAAGUAACUAUAACAUCUAUAUUGUAAUCUCACUUUAUUAACUAAUAAAUUUUAAAAAUAUAAACAGAUCAAUAACAACAAAAUAAUUAAAGUUGAAAUCCAAGAAAUUACCUAAAAAUCAUACCUGAAAACCAAAAUGCAUAAAAUUUCAUUAAUUUAAGUUGUGACAAUGAGUAGUCCACAUUAUAUGAUGAAUGAACAACUUCUAUCAUUUUACCAAGUUAUUAAUGUUAUGUUUACUUACUGGAGUGGACAUGAGAAGUAUAGAUUCCUCUCACUCUAAAGUUUACUUGCAUAUUCUAAGAGGUGUGGGAAUCCCACUCCGUUGAUCCCACCCAAUUUUGAAGUAGUGAGUGUAAUUCCCACUCCCACAACUUUCUUUUUUACUUUUCUUUUAUUAAAUUUAAUACAAUCAUAUUUAGUAAAAUAAAACAAAUAACAUCAUAUUUAUUUAAUAAAUAUUAUUAUUUUAUUUUAUAAAAUUCUAUUUAUUAAAAAGAAUAAUAUUAAUCUUAUUUAGAUAAAAUUAUUAUUAUAUUUAUUUAAAAAUAAUAGUAUUAUAUUUAUUUAAUAUUAAUAAUAAAUAGUUUAUUGUAAGAAACUAUUAAUUUUUCACUAUAUUAUUAAUAAUAAUGUUUCAUUUGUGUUGCUCUUAUCAAUAAUUUUUAUUUCACAUAAUUAAAAUUAAAACUAAUACAAAAUUUUGAUUUACAUAAUUAAUAAUAUUAAUAAUUAUUGUUAAUUUACAAAUAUAGUGAAAUAAAUAUUUUAUUUCAAAUAGAUUUUUUAUUAAUUUUGUAAUUAAAAACUACAAUUCUUUAAAUAAGGGUAAAACCGUAAUUUGAAACCAUUUACUCCCCUUCUCAUUCUAGUGAGCAAAAACAACUUGCUCCCACUCCACACUCUCAAUCACAAGGUUCCCACUUCUUAAGAUUUCCACUAUAAUCUAAAAUGUAAACACCGUCUAAAACGUCAAAUAAAAUUCUUAAUUAAGUAAACCAUAAGGUGAUUACGUAUAAAAAAAAUUAAUAAUAUUAAUUUUCAUAAGAAUUUAUGCUUGUAGUAUUACUUUACUUUUUUAUUGACUGUUGCUUCAACUUAUGGUAGAUAUUAAGAGAACAAUAAUAAUAGAGCUAUAAAUGUUUGCGUACUAUCAAUCAACUUAACAGUAUAAUUACCAACAAAUCCUUAAUACCAUAAAUAAUUAAAUUAUUGGGGUUUUAAAAUGACUCUCUAGACUUUGCAUGAUUUCUUUAUAUGUAGGUGCCAUGGUUCCCAUAAGUAAUAUCAGCCACACUUUUUGUUAUUGUUAAAAAAAUUUUAUAGGUACAAUUUGUGAAUUUGUACAAAAUGUGGUAUUAUACAUUUGAAGCAUGAACUGACAAGACAAUGUUGUGUCAAUAAUAAAGAAACAAAAAAAAAAUUGUAUAAAAUACAGAUGUUGUAGUGUAACUUGGAUUCUUUUUCUUUAUAAUUGCACCUAUCAUGUGAUUAUCAAAAAAAAAAAAAGAACUCCUGAGAUUUUAAAAUUUUGUAAUUGCACUAUUUUUGGAUUAUCAGAAGACUUCCUCUCCUUAAAGAUGCUCUUAAUCCAUAAAUGGUGCAAAACAUAAUUCAUGAAAUGAAUUUAUUAUUUUAGAUAAGUUUCAAGUAUACAUACCUUUUAUAGCUCCAUAUUGCAUAACUCCUCAUUUCAAUCAAUGGAUGCAUUUGUUUACUUUUUCUUUCUUGUAAAUUUUUGAAUGGCCGUAAUUCUAUAAAUAAUUAAUUAAGUGUUAUUGUUAUCAUUAUUUUGUAGAUGCAUAUGUGGGGUGGGGACGUUGGGGGGCAUGGAUCUCAAUAUAGCAGAGGGCCUGAAUAUUUAUUCUUUAAGAGGAACCACAACCAACAACAAUGCUUUAAGUUCCAUUCCAUUUUACUUCUGUGCACCAGAUUGCAUAAACAACAUUGAUUAUCCAAGGUCAAAGUCUCUCAAAUACUCUAGUUACAAGACAAAGCAUGGGUUAGUAGUGGCCAAAAUUUUCUUGCAACGAAAGGCUCGUAAACUGAUGACAGCUGCUGGAUUGUUUUGGGCCUUAAUGGUUUUAAUAUUAUUCUCUUAAAAACAUAUAUGUUGAUUAGAGACGAGAGGAAGAAGAUGAUAUGAUUCAGCCAGUUGCAGAAGAAAGAGCACGCAGUGGAGUUCAGAUUUUGAAUUCUCUUGUCAAAUUGUUUUUAAUUUACUACAAGGUAGAAUAUGUUGCAUUGUUAAAAAAUACUUUGAACAUCCUAUUUUUGUAUUACAAAUAUACCAAAAAUUAAAUUAAUUUUUUUCUUUAUUAGUAUAAACUAAAUUUUGCAUGAAUCCUCAUCCUUAUAAGUGGAAUUCUAUUGUGAAAUUAAUAGUCCUUCCUAGUUGAACUAACUAUCACUUUGAACAUAUGUGUCAUCUCUAACAACAGCUCCCAAACCUGCAGCUACCUGCUUCUUAGCAUUAGAAGCAGUAUCUGCAUUGGCUUUCAACCAGCCAUAAUUAGGAGGAGGGCACCAUUGUUUCUGUUUGUCAAUUUCCUUUCUUGAACCAUAAGCCAUAAUUAGGAGGAGGGCAAACUUCCAAAUAACAUUCCAAAUGGUAUUGUGAAAAAUUUUCACCCUUUUGGUAAUAAAAAAGAACCUUAUUUCUAGUUCUCUAUUAACAAUCUUACCACUAAGUUCUCUCUUGAGUAGAAACAUCAUAUAUAUUAAUUUAUUGUUAAUAUAAACAAAACUAAAUAUUUAUAACUUAAAAGAUAGGUGUUGAAUAGAGGCAGUCUCACAGAAAAAAAAAAAAAAAAGUAUUUGAAAGCAGUGGUGAUAUCAUAUUUUUUGUAAUGAUACGAGAGUAUCACACUAGAUUUUUUUUCUGCAUUACAAAAAGUUUGUAUUCAAGAAUAAAUAAGCAAUAUCAGGAACAAAUUUUACAAAAAGCCUCCAGGACAUGUCAUAUUAAUUUUGUGAUAUAUUAGUCACUAGAUCUUCUUUCCACAUUACAAAAAAAUUAGAAAUGCAAUCUAAAUCGAUAUCAAUUACUAAUUUUAUAUUGAAUGGGUCCUACAUGAAAAUAAGGAGUAUUUUUAUAAUUUAAGAAAUUAUUAGCCAUUUACCCUAAGUUUACUUUGUGUCAAAAAAUACUACGAAAACUUUAACUUAUUUAGUUUUUUACCUGAAUUUAUAAUUUAUAUCAAUCGCUCACUAAAAAGAUAGAAUUACCUCAUAAAAUGACAAAAUAAAAACAAACACAAAUGACAAUACCAGUAAUUUUAUAAGGAUAAUCCAAUCCUUUUGGCACCAAAUUACAUAUUAAAUUAUUUUAAAUAUUAUAAAUUAUUUUUAAAUUGAGUGAGAAACCCUGGUCAUUUUAAUACUCAUGGCCAUUUAAUCUAACAAAACAUGAUAUUUCGAGUAGACUUAUGUUUGCGUAGGAGGAUAAUGUAAAAAAAGUGGCACUUUUAUUCAACUGAAUAAAUUUCACAAUGUAAAUUAGAAAACAAUAAAAAUUUCAUAAUUAACUAUUAUUUGAACUAAUUGAAUCGGGAGCCAUCAUUUGUAGCGGCCUCAAAAGCAUAACAUAUUUUUAUACUGAGUGAUGGACCUAAUCAUUUUAAUACUCAUGACAAUUUAAUCUAUCUAAAUAUGAAAUUUCGAGUAGACUUGUGUUUUUUUUUUUUUUUUUGAAGGGAAGCAAUUUCAUUAAACCAAAAACGAAUUACAGACUAUGUAAUAACCACAAAGGUGGAACGAAAUUCCACUCUUGGGGACCUGACAUAGAACCUACUGCCCUUGCAACAGAAUGAGCAGCCAGGUUCGCAGACCGACGUACAAACGAGAAUUGUACUUCUCCUAAAGGCUUAGCUAAAGCUCGACAUUCAUCAACUAUUAAACCAAAACCGUUAGGCCCUGAAAACUCCUCAACUAGAGCUUGAAAUACUUGUAAACAAUCAGUUUCAACAAUGACACAAGGAAAUUGUAAGCCUUUAAGCCAACUAAGGGCCUCCCGAAUACCAAGAGCUUCAGCCUCCCUUGCUCCAAAAUUCCCAGCCAUUCCAGCACAUCUUGCUGUUAAGAAAACACCCUCUGAAUUUCGAAGCACACACCCAAAACCAAUCUUUCCUUGAGAUGAAAAGAUAGCAGCGUCAACAUUACAUUUGACCCAACCAAACUUUGGCCUCUCCCAACAUAUUGCCCCAUGGACCAGCUUAUGGACAUCAGUAUCAGCAUAGAAUUGUUGCUUCUUUGCUGCUUGCCACUGAUAGAGAAGUUGCCCAGCAGAAUUGAGCACUUGAUUCACUGAACCAGUUUUGUUAUUCCAUACUUUGUCAUUACGAUUAAUCCAAACUCUCCAGCAGAUCAUCAUGGCAACAUGGCAUUCUUCUUUACUGCAGCGUGUAAAGAUGUGAUCAAGCCACUCUAAGAAAGAAUAACAAUGGCCAAUAAAACCCACAGAGGAAGAAAUCCAGCAAGCCUUAGCAACAUUACACUCAACCAACGAAUGGAGAACCGUUUCAUCAGAAGCAAGACACACAACACAAGUAGGGGGGAUAUUCACCCGCUUAGAAAUUAAAUUAACUGCAGUAGGCAACACAUUAGUUGCCGCUCGCCAAACAAAAUUCUUAACCUUAUUCGGCACAUUCAAGUUCCAUAGUUUUCGCCACACAUCUGUGAAAGGGCCAGGGGUAAGAGAAUGUAAAACCUUAUAACAGCUACGGACUGAAUAGCAUCCGCGAGAAUCAGCCAACCAAUACCACACAUCAUCAUUUCAGUGGGAACUAAGGGGAAUUUGAAGUAUCAACUCCUUGUCUCUUGCGUUGAAAAGAUCCGAAACAAGAUCAUAAUCCCAAGCUCGUUGAUUAGGCACCAGUAAACUACUAACAGGAGCUGCAGCAAGCUCUGCAUGGAGAUUAGAAGAAACAAAUCCAUUAUUAGUAUCAGGAAGCCACGGAUCCUUACCAAUGAAGAUCGAAUUCCCACAGCCAACUUGCAGUCUACUCCCUUGAAUUACCACAUCCUUUGCAGCCAAAAUAAAGCGUCAUACAUAGCUAGGAUUAUGCCCCACAGAAGCUUGAAGAACAGAGGUGCGCGGAUGGUAGCGAGCUUUAAUUAUCUUGGCCACAAGAGAUUCCGGACAAGUUAACAGCUUCCACAUUUGCUUUCCUAACAUCGCUAGAUUGAAUAAAUGAAGUUGUUUAAAACCAAGGCCCCCAUAUCCUUUUGGUUUGCACAGAUUUUCCCAUUUGGACCAGUUUAUUCCUUUCCCUCCACUUCGAUUACUACGCCACCAGAAUGAGUUCAUCAGUCCUUCUAGUUCUCUACACAAAUCCUUUGGCAGUAAAUAUAUACCCAUAGCAUAAUUAGGCAUCGCAAGGGCUACCGUUUUUAACAAAAUCUCCUUCCCAGCCCGAGAAAGCAUCCGCGUACUCCAUCCCUGCAGGCGUUGCCAGAGCUUGUCCCUAAUAUACCUGAACACCUCUUUCUUGUUUCUGCCAAUAUAUGAUGGAAGACCAAGGUAGGCUCCAUGAUUAGAGGUCAUGGUAACCGCUAGAAUAUCACAAACCUGCUGAGUAACAGAUGCAAUCACAUUAGUGCUAAAAGAAAUUGAAGACUUGUUGAAAUUAACCUCUUGGCCAGAAGCUCGACCAUAAACCUCCAGCAGCUGCUUGAUUAAAGAAGCUUCAUUGUUAUUUGCCCUGAAAAAAAGGAAGCUAUCAUCGGCAAAAAACAAAUGCGAGACCGAUGGUGCCCCUCUCGCGAUCCGUACACCAUGAAGUAAGCCAUUCCUUUCUUGUCUUCGAAUUAAAGAACUGAGCCCUUCCGCGCAAAGAAUAAAUAGAUACGGAGAUAAUGGAUCUCCCUGUCGAAGGCCUCUACUCGGAACAAUCGGCCCAACUUCCUUUCCCUCCCGUAGCACAUGAUAUCUGACAGUAGAUACACAGAGCAUAAUUAACUCCACCCACUUGGCAUCAAACCCCAUCUUAAGCAUCAUUGCUUGAAGAAAAUUCCACUCAAUCCUGUCAUAUGCCUUAGACAUAUCAAUUUUCAGAGCAGCUACCCCAUUUUUGCCUUGUCUCUUCCGUUUCAAAAAAUGCAUAAUUUCAGCCGAAAUGAUUAUGUUAUCCGUGAUAGCUCGACCCGGGAUAAAAGCGCUUUGAGAGUCUAAAAUAACCACAUCAAGAACUGAUUUCAUGCGGUUAGCUAGCAUUUUGGAUAUUAUCUUAUACAACACAUUGCAUAACGCAAUUGGUCUCGUAUCUGAUAAUAAUUCAGGUUUGUGUUUCUUCGGUAUUAGCACAAUUGAAGUGUCAUUCAAGCCCACUAGGAAAGAGCAAUCAUGAAUAAAUUUUAAACAAGCCAAAAUCACAUCCUUACCCACAAUAUGCCAGAACUUUUGGUAGAAAGCAGGGUUCAUCCCGUCGGGUCCUGGAGACUUGUCCGGAUGCAUUUCAAAGAGUGCUUCUUUAACCUCAAUGUCAGUAAAAGGAGCUAAAAGCAUUGCAUUAUGCUCGUUUGUAAUUCUUUUAUCCACACACUGGGUAACUUCAGCAGUAUGACACCCUCCGGAGGUGAAAAGGCUCUGGAAAUAGUCCACAAUCAAAGUAUCCACCUCCUCUGGGUUGGAACACCAGUCUCCUUGAUUAUUGCGAAGAGACUCGAAGGAAUUCUGCCUUCUCCUGGCAGAGGCCGAGGCAUGGAAAUAGUGAGUGUUCCUGUCACCUUCCUUUAACCACAAAGACUUUGCUCUCUGUUUCCAAAAAACCUUAUGACUAUGCAAAAGCUCAUUAUAACGCUGUCUCGCUUCUGAAAAAGCAACCACACCCUCACUAUCUCGCCUACCCCGAAAAACAGCCAUACACUUCUUGCAUUCCCGAAUUCGCUGUCGAAAAUCUCAAGCAAAAUGCCCUCCCCACUCCAUAAGAGCAGACCCACACAGCAUAAUUCUAUGUUGAAUAGAAGCACCAGUAUAGGAGCUCCAGCUAUCCCGAAUAACAUCACUACAGUCAGCCUCACGCAACCAAGUAUUCUCAAAACGAAAACGGUUAUGCCUUAAAAUAGGCUGGGUCGGGCUAGGAUCCAACAAGAUAGGAAGAUGAUCAGAGCAAGAGGAGUCUAAGCUAUAGACUUUCACCUUGUUGAAUCGCUGAAUCCAUUCCUCAGAUGCAAAAGCUCGAUCAAGCCUUUCUUCAACCCAUUUAUCAGUGCCCCUAGCUCUCUCCCAUGUAAACUGAUACCCAUCGAUGCCAAGAUCAACUAAAUUGCAAUCGGUAAUAGCUCGCUGAAAACCCACCAGCUUCCAAUUUGGGUGCGCAAUACUACCUCUCUUCUCAUUUGCCGCCAGUAAAUCAUUAAAAUCACCUAUACACACCCAUGGGAGUGAAGAGGAAGAAGCAAGCAAACGGAGCAAGUCCCACGAUUUGCGGCGCCGGCUAGACUCAGGAUAGCCGUAAUAACCAGUUAAUCUCCAUUUUCCUAAAACGGGCACUUCAACUUCAGCAUCUAUAAAAUUGGUGGCAAACUGCAGCAGAUUAACAUUACUAGUAGCUUUCCAAAGAAGCGCGAGCCCACCACUCCGGCCAACUCUAUCAACAACAAACAGCCCAUCAUAGCCCAAUUGAAUUUUGAUCAUCUCUAACUUAUCUCUACUGCAUAGCGUUUCAAUAAGAAAAAUGAACGUAGGCUUCUUGUUACGGACCACCUCUGCCAACAUACGAACUGUCCGUGGCUGGCCCAACCCACGGCAGUUCCAACUUAAAGUACUCAUUGCUCUCGGUGGGCCUGAAGUACAGGUCCCACCGCUAGCCCGUUUUUUGGAUCUACCACCAUAGAACUCACAUCCACCUCUGUUUGUACUAUACCCUCCAGCCCCAUAUCCGCUCUUCUUCUUUUAGCUUCCUUUAACACUAACUCUUUCUCCCCAUACCUUACAGCUACUUGAGUAAGGUCCAGCCCAUUUGCAAAUGAAACCACGUCUUUGCCCUUACCAAGCCGUUGACUGCUAGUGGCCUGGACAACUGGCAAUGCUUGUAAGCUCAUUAUAUUAUCCAUAGAAUCCCGCCCAUCACUCCCUAUAUGGUUGGCAAAUUUCGUAUUGUUGGAAAUUCCUGAUUUGGAGGCAUUCAUCUCAUUAACCACGGUACCACUUAAGGAAGUUUUAAAAUUUCCUGAAUUAGCCAUACAUUCUUCUGACAGUUCCGAAUGUAACCACCUUUCACCGGAGGACAUGGCAUUCCGACGAGUUGGAGCCUUCAUCUCUGGCCUAUAUGACCUUGUAAUAUCAGCAGCAUCACAAUUAUACAACUUCGGACAAAGUUUUUCUGAGUGCCCAAGGAGUCCACAAAUGAAGCAGAAAGUAUUUAAUCGUUCAAACUUGAAAUCAACCCAGAACCAAUCUCCUCCCUCCUUCUUUAGUCGCAAUCUUCGCUUCAGGGGUUUCCGGACAUCAAUGGAUACCCUUAUGCGCAUAUAGUUUCUCCACACUCCCAUGAGAUUAUUAGGAUCUGAAGAUUGAAACUCACCAUUAUUGUUACCAAUAUUUAUCAAUACUUUCUCUGACAGAAACCCAAUGGGUAAGUUGUACACCUGGAUCCAAAACGAAGUAUGGAAUAAAGAAACCAUAUUCGGUUGUUCAUUCUCCCCCAAUCUCUUUAAAAUUAGAAUAUGUUGGUCGAAGGUCCACGGUCCCGAAUCAAUCACACGCUUGAGGUCAACUUCGUGAAAGAAUUGGAACAAGAAAAGAGAAGGUGAUAAAUCUUUGAUGCACACUCCCUUCCCUGGACGCCAUAAUGCCGCCAUAGUAUUUUUCAUGGCCGGAAAAUUGAUCACCUUAUCAGUUAAAAACCUCCCCACCAAGCAGAAUCUAAAAUCAGUCAACCCUGCAUUUCCAGUGGCAAUAUCCUCACUAUGAAAAACAAGACCAUCGUCAUCUUCCUCCCCAAUAGAAACCUUUUCAUAUGCAGCAUUCAUCUCAUGCUCCCCAAAAUUUCUACUGGUUGUCAUAGUACUCGUAAUAAGCAGGAAAUAUGGCUAUCUAGCCGGAAAUAUCCUAGAGCAAACUUGUCAGAAGGACAAGACAAACAAAGCUUGCCAAAGAGACAAGAGUAGCCUAAAAUUACGACUUGUGUUUGAGUAGGAGGAUAAUGUAAGAAAACUUGGCACUUUUAUUCAACUGAAGAAAUUUUACAAUUUAAAUUAGAAACGAUAAAAUUUAAUAAUUAACUAUUAUUUGAACUAAUUGAAUCGUGCGCCAUCAUUUGUGUAAUGUAUCCUAUUUGCAAAAUAAACGGCAGGAUGCGGUUUGCGGACAGAUUAUGGAAAGAAAAAGGCAUAUAUUUCUCUCCUAUUUUGGUAAUUCUAUAUUUCUAUUCUUCUUCUUUUUCAACCCCAAAUAAUCAAAAGCUCUCCAAUGGCUUUCGUAUCCACAAGGACCACAACUCGUCCAUUUCAUUUUACUUCAAUUUUAGUAUCAGCUCUUAGAUGUAAUUUCUCAUCUUCGUUCCCUCAUACCGGAAAACCCACAUCUUCAAUUUCGGAAAAUGAACCCUCGUAUCCGACCACAACAGCUAAACUGAAGGAGUCGCUACGACUGACGGUCAAAGACUGAGCCUCACUCGAAAAAUUCCUCAAAGAAAGGUGCAAAUCAUCAGGUCAAGGUGAUAUUAAUCUUAUUACUCCUAAUGAAGCCUUGUGUAUCUUUGAUUACAUGCUCCGUAUGCACCCUUCUCCGCCUCCUGUCUCUUCCUUCAAUAUUUUGUUUGGUUGUCUUGCUAAGAAUAAACAUUAUGAUACUGUCCUUUCACUCUUCAAGCGACUCAAUUCAACUGGGUUGUUUCCAGAUCUUUAUACUUACAAUAUCUUGAUUAACUGCUUUUGCAAAAUGGGUCGAGUUUCUCAUGGUUUUGUUGUUCUUGGGAGAAUCCUCAGGUCUUGUUUUACUCCAGAUGCUGUGACCUUUACUUCUUUGAUUAAAGGUUUGUGUGCGGAGAGUAGAAUCAUGGAGGCCGCCACAUUGUUUAUGAAACUUAAAGCGUUUGGUUGUGAGCCUAAUGUCAUUACAUACACCACUUUGAUUAAUGGAUUGUGUCGAACAGGCCAUACAAUUGUUGCUCUAAAUUUAUUUGAAGAGAUGGCUAAUGGAAAUGGGGAAUUUGCUGUUGUUUGUAAGCCAGACACUGCUACAUACAGUACUAUUAUCGAUGGUCUUUGUAAGGAAGGUUUUGUGGACAAGGCCAAGGAACUGUUUCUGCAGAUGAAGGAUAACAAUAUUAACCCUAACAUGGUUACCUAUACCUCUGUGAUUCGUGGUUUUUGUUAUGCUAAUGAUUGGAAUGAGACCAAGUGUUUGCUAAUUGAGAUGAUGGACCAAGGGGUACAGCCUAAUGUUGUGACUUUCAAUGUCAUCAUGGAUGAGCUCUGCAAGAAUGGAAAGAUGGAUGAGGCAAGUCGGUUGUUGGACCUGAUGAUUCAGUUUGGUGUGCGUCCAAAUGCUUUUGUCUAUAACACAUUAAUGGACGGGUUUUGCUUGACGGGUAGAGUUAAUCGUGCGAAGGAACUAUUUGUUUCUAUGGAGAGUAUGGGUUGCAAACAUACUGUUUUUAGUUAUAGUAUUUUGAUAAAUGGUUACUGCAAGAAUAAGGAAAUAGAGGGAGCGUUAACCCUUUAUAGCGAAAUGCUCUCUAAAGGAAUUAAGCCAGAUGUUGUUAUAUAUAACACCUUGUUUAUUGGCCUUUUUGAAAUACACCAGGUUGAGCGUGCUUUCAAGCUGUUUGAUGAGAUGCAAUGUGAUGGCGUGGCAGCUGAUACCUGGGCAUAUACAACCUUUAUUGAUGGGCUCUGCAAGAAUGGUUAUAUUGUAGAGGCAGUUGAACUAUUUCGUACUUUGAGAAUUCUCAAGUGUGAACUUGAUAUUCGAGCCUACAACUGCCUCAUUGAUGGAUUAUGUAAAUCCGGCAGACUCGAAAUUGCAUGGGAACUGUUUCUGAAGAUGAAGGAUGAGAAUAUUAACCCCAAUGUGGUUACUUAUACCUCUUUGAUUCACGGUUUUUGUUACGCUAAUGAUUGGAAUGAGGCGAAGUGUUUGUUUAUUGAGAUGAUGGACCAAGGGGUACAACCUAAUGUUGUGACUUUCAAUGUGAUCAUGGAUGAGCUCUGCAAGAAUGGAAAGAUGGAUAAAGCAAGUCGGUUGCUGGACCUGAUGAUUCAGAUUGGUGUGCGUCCAGAUGCUUCUGUCUAUAACACAUUAAUGGAUGGGUUUUGCUUGACGGGUAGAGUUAACCGUGCGAAGGAACUAUUUGUUUCUAUGGAGAGUAUGGGUUGCAAACAUAAUGUUUUUAGUUACAGUAUUUUGAUAAAUGGUUACUGCAAGAAUAAGGAAAUAGAGGAAGCGUUAAGCCUUUAUAGCGAAAUGCUCUCUAAAGGAAUUAAGCCAACAGUUGUUACAUAUAGCACCUUGUUUCUUGGACUUUUUGAAAUACACCAGGUUCAGCAUGCUUUAAAACUGUUUGAUGAGAUGCAGCGUAAUCAUGUGGCAGCUAAUACAUAUAUAUAAACUACCUUUAUUGACGGGCUCUGCAAGAAUGGUUUUGUUCUAGAGGCACUGGAAUUAUUCCGUGCUAUAAGAAAUAGCAAGUAUGAGCUUAAUAUCGUAUCCUACAACUGCCUCAUUGAUGGAUUGUGUAAAAUAGGCAAACUGGAAACUGCUUGGGAACUGUUUCAAAGUUUGCCUCGUGUAGGCCUAAUGGCAGAUGUUGUAACAUACAACAUCAUGAUCCAUGGGCUUUGUAAUGAUGGGCAAAUGGACAAGGCACAUGAUUUGUUUCUUGAUAUGGAAGCAAAAGGUGUGGAACCCGAUUGUGUCAUAUUUAAUAUGAUUAUGCUGGGUUUCAUCCGCAAUAAUGAGACAUCAAAAGUUAUUGAACUCCUUCACAGAAUGGAUAAGAGAAAUGUAAUGCCAGACGCAUCUAUACUUUCAAUUGUUGUGGACUUGCUUGUAAAGAAUGAAAUUAGCUUAAACUCGAUUCCACAAUUCAAGAGUCAAAGGUAAGUGAGUUUAAUACUGAUUUAGCCACAUGUUUCUUCUGCCUGAAAACCCAACCUGGAGGAUCCCAUUCUUAUUACAACAUGUAAAGGAGUGUUGUCUAAUAUAGGCAUGUUCCUAGGUUCUGUCCAUGGAUUCUGUUUGCAGACAUGGCUAACUUCUUGUUCAACAGAAAGUUUUAAAGUCUUUCAACUUUAUGUUGUAAAAUAACUUUUUUAUUAUUCAAUUCAUGAGUUUUUCUUCUAUAACACAUCCUUCUCAUUAGCUGGAAGUGCAAAUUUUUUAGGCUUUUCCUGUAUGGCCUCUUUCUCUGCUCUAAAUAAAAUGGCAUUUUAUUUCCCUCUUGUGAGGGUACAAGGUUUAUGUUUAAACUUUCUGUUAGUUAAAUUGGUUGUCUUUGAUAUAGGGAACUUCCAGUUGAACUGAUUUGUAAUUCGACUAUAUGAGAUUACCAACUGUAUUGGGAAUUGAUGCCAAAUUAAUAAUGUCAUCAGGUUUUUCAAUCAGUGUUCAUCAUUUAUUUCUGUUAACAAUUAAUAGCACAGUUUGUCUUCUCAGCUUCAUUGGUUCCUCUCAAAAAUGAUCUUGUAAAGACAAUCUUUCUUGGGCAUGGAAAAUGCUAGAUUGUUUGUGGUCUGAAUGAUACUACACAUCUAAGUAAUUGCCCAAAUUUUUUGUUCCUUGUUACACGGCAUUCAAUUGAAUGAGGACUCAUGUUUGUGUGUAUUGGUAUUUGUUAUACUAUGUAUUGGCAAGACAAAGUUUCUUGAAACUGACAAACUUUUCUCUAUGAAGAUUGAAGACAAUAUGAUAAGAUAAAAUUUAUCAAAAGCCUAUAUAUGCUUGCCAGGGCUGGACCUUUGAUUAUUAGUCCUCGCCUUUCGUUCUUGUUUCAUAUUCUUCUGCUAACAAAUCUUGAUCAUGAAUCUCAUCACAUUUGGUACGCGUAUCCAUGGUUUUAUCCGAACCAAUGAGCCAUCAAAAGUUAUUGACCUUCUUCACAAGAUGAGGGAGAAAAAAGUAAUGCCAGAUGCAUCUAUAGUUUCAAUCGUCGUGGACUUGUAAAGAAUGAAAUUAGUCUGAACUCACUUCCGUCAUUUCCUGUUCAAGAGCAACAGGGGGAGGUUGAUGAGUCAAAUGUCAAGUUGUAGCAGCAUGUGCUUUCAGCCUAAAAUCCUGAUCUGCAGCAUCUCAAUCAUGUUACAAAGUGACACGUCGCCUAGUGACAGCAAGUUCUCUACGGUGCUGUUAAUGGAUCCUGAUUGUUCUUGUGAUCUGGAGAGUCUCAUUCAUAUUACAGAUCCUGAUCAGGACGAGCUAGCUUAUGUGAUCACCAACUGUACAUGGUUGUUGAUGCCAAAUUAAAUUAUGGUAUCAUGUUUUUCAACUUGUUAUUUAAUAUAGUGCUUCCAUUGAACGGCCACAAGAAACUGUAGAAUCACCGUGUCUUGUUCCCUCUUAAUAAUCCAUCACUUUGGAAGCUAAUGAAUUAGUUGCACCUUGUCACUUUCUUGGUACUUGAUUGUCAUUCGUGCUUUGAAUUUACAGCAUAUUUUAUCCCUGCUUUACUCUUUGCAUAAUCACCUUUGAGGGCUGCUAGUAUGUAUAAUUGAAAAACCUUAUAUAAAUUGUAAGCAUUUUUAUUUAACUUGUUGUAAACGUCCAGUAUAUGUCUCUUCUGUGAAAUGAUUCAUUCUCCAUGCUGCGAGGACCUGGGCUUAUGACUCUUCUGUGAAAUGAUUUACCCUCACCUGCAGACAGACAUUUAUCACAUUCGAGAAAUCUUCAAACAAAGUGAAAAAAAUGCCACAAACACGACAUAAACUUAACUGUUUACAUGAAAAGUGGCAGCAACUUGGUGAAAUUACCGAUUAAAAUGUCCCUACUGUGAGGAAGGAUGCUAUACAACUGACUCGGAAAAUGUAAAAUGGGUAACGUACGUCCAAAAUGUCCCUGUAUUGUUGGCAUGUUCCCAGCUUCUGUUCAUGGAUUCUGUUUGCAGACAUGGCAGACUCUUUGUUUCAUCGGACAAGUUUCAAAUAAUUCUGGCAACUUUUUGUUGUAAAAUUACUUUUUUAUCAUUUAAUUCAUAUGCCUCUUUCUCAUUACCUGCAAGUGCAAAAUUUUUAGGCUCGUCCUCUUAGACCUCUUUUUCUUCUCUAAAUAGAUAAAAUGGCAUUUCAUUUUUCUCUUGCGAGGGUGCAGGUUUAUGCUGAAACUUUCUGUUAGUUAAAUUGAUUGUCUUUGAUAUUGGAACUUGUAGUUGAACUAGUUUACAUUUAGAAUAUAUGAGAUUACCAACUGUAACGGGAAUUGGUGCCGAAUUGAUUAUGUUAUCAGGUUUUUCAGUCUUUGUUCAUCUUUUAUUUCUGUUAAUAAUUAAUAGCACAGCUUGUCUUCUCUGCUUCUUUGGUUCCUGUCAAUUGUCAAAUAUAAACUGGUAAAGACAUUUUGUUUUGGCAUGGCACAUGCUAGAUUUUGUUUUUGGUUUGAAUGAUACUACAAAUCUGAGUAAUUGUCCAGAUUUUUUUCAUUCCUAGUGACAUGGCACUCAAUUGAAUGGUGACCCGUGAAUCAUGAUUGUGUGUGUUGGUAUUUGUUAAACUACGUGCUGGCAAGACAAAGUUUGUUAUUAGUCCUCGCCUUCCAUUCUUGUUUCAUAUUCUUCUGCUAACAAAUCUUGAUCAUGGUAGUCUUCUCUUUUCUUUGCAACCCACAUAUAAAGUCUCGGCCAUAAGCCUCGAGGCCUAUUCUCUUUUGCAAUGGUGAGUUCACUCUCAGGAAUCAGAUCGAAUUUGAAGAAACUGCAAGGGACUACAAAGCAAAUGGUGUGAAGCUCCUUUCACUCAUCACUGGCACAGCAUUACUCUGACUUUCUACAUUUUACUGUUGCGUAUGGUUUCUCCAUACCAUUCUCGUUGGAAGUUCAAUCAUUACUGUUUUUUUCCCCCCUCUUUUUACUUGCUCUUGCUAUUUUUGUUGUCUGAAAUUAUCUGAAGUUCCAUGCAUGCUCCAAUAGAACAAGAAAUGUAGGUGCUGACCAACUCAAAAUAAGUAGUUAGUUGCCUAGUAGUUGCUUUGCAUGAAAUUUGUUUUUGGUAUGAAUAAUGUUGUCUGAAUUUUACAAGCUUCCAUGCAACCCCUAAUUUAUUGGAUGUCUUAACCCAACCCCUCAUUUAAUAUUAGAUUUACCCGUUGAUUGAUGUUGACUCUUGAAAGUAAUGUAAUAUUUAUUUAUUUGAUAUUAAUGAUUAUAUCAUUUAAAUAGUCUAUUCUAAGAUAUUAUUAAUUUUCUCAUUUAAAUAAAAUAUUAUUAUAUUUAUUUGAUAUUAAUGAUUAAUUAUAAUAAAUAGUCUAUUCUAAGAAAAUAUUAAUUUUCUAUUAUGUUAUUAAUAAUAAUGUUUCAUUUCUAUUACUUUCAUCAAUAAUUUUUAAUUAAGAUAACUAAAAUUAAAACUAACAAAAAAUUAUGAUUUACAUAAUUAAUAAUAUUAAUAAUUAUUGUUAAUUUACAAAUAUAAUGAAAUAAAUAUUUCUUUUUCAAAUAUAUUUUUUAUUAAAUUUUUAAUUAAAAACUAUAUUUUUUAAAUAAGGAUAAAAUUAUAAUUUGAAACUAUUUACUCCCGCUCCGAGACAAAGUAAACACGUAAAUUGAAUUUUAAUUCCAAUUCCAUACUCCUAUUCCAGUGUAAGUAAAUAAUCUACUCUCACUCCACACUCUCAAUAUCAGGAUUCUUACUUCUUAGGAUUACCUCUCUAUUCCAAAAUAUAAACGCUAACAAAAUAUAAACCAUAUAGAGACACAUAUAUAUAGAAUCAUAUCAUAUCUCAAACGUCAAAUAAAAUUCUUAAUUAAGUAAACCAUAAGGUGAUUGCGUAUAAAAAAAUUAAUAAUAUUAAUUUUCAUAAGAAUUUAUGCUUGCAGUAUUACUUUACUUUUUAUUAACCAUUGCUUCAACUUAUGGUGGAUAUUAAGAGAACAAUAAUAAUAGAGCUAUACACGUUUGCAUACUACCAAUUAAAUUAACACUAUAAUUUGGUUUACCAAACAGAUCCUUAAUAUCAUAAAUGAUUAAAUUAUUGGGGUUUUAAAAUGUAGACUUUGCAUGAUUUCUUUAUAUUUAGGUGCCAUGGCUCCUAUAAGUAAUGUCAGCCACACUUUUUGUUAUUGGUAAAAAACUUUUCUAGGUACAAUUUGUGAAUUUGUACAACGUGUGGUAUUAAACAUUUGAAGAAUGAACCGACAAUGUCGUAUCAAUAAUAAAGAAAAGAAAACGAAUUGUAUAAUACCCAGGUGUUCUAGUGUAACUUGGAUUCUUUUUCUUUAUAGGUGCACCUAUUAUGUGAUUUUUUUUUUUUUAAAAAAGAAAACAAAAAAAAAGAACUCUUGAGAUUUUAAAAUUUUGUAAUUGCACUAUCUUGAAAUUACCAGGAGACUUCCUCUCCUUGAAGACACCCUUAAUCCAUAAAAGGUCCAAAAAAUAAUUCAUGAAAUGAAUUGAUUAUUUUAGAUAAGUUUCAAGUAUGCAUACCUUUUAUAACUCCAUAUUGCAUAACUCCUCAUUUCACUCAAUGGAUGCAUUUGUUCACUUUUUCUUUCUUGUAAAUUUUUGAAUGGCCGUAAUUUUAUAGAUUAUUAAUUAAGUGUUAUUAUUAUCAUUAUUGGCCGUAGAUGCAUAUGUGGGGUGGCGCCGUUUGGGGGGCAUGGAUCUCAAUACACCAGAGGGCCAGAAUAUUUAUUCUUUAAGAGGAACCACAACCAACAGCAAUACUUUAAGUUCCAUUCCAUUUCACUUCUAUGCACUAGAUUGCAUAAACAACAUUGAUCAUCCAAGGUCAAAGCCUCUCAAAGACGUUAGUUGCAAGAAAACGCAUGGGAUUGUGGUCAAAAUUUUCUUGCGGUGAAAGGUUCAUACAUUGAUGACAAUUAUUGGAUUGUUUUGGGCCUCAAUGGUUUUAAUAUUAUUCUCUUAAAAACAUAUAUGUUGAUUACAGACGAGAGGAAGAAGAUGAUCUGAUUCAGCCAACUGCAGAAGAUAGAGCACGCGGUGGAGUUCAUAUUUUGAAUUCUCUUGUUAAGUUGUUUUUAAUUUAUUGCAAGGUAGAAUACGUUGCUUUCUUAAAAAAUACUUUGAACAUCAUAUUUUUGUAUUACAAAUAUACCAAAAUUAAACUAAUUUUUUUUCUUUAUUAGUAUAAACUAAAUUUUGCCAGAAUGGUUGUCCUUGUAGGUGGAAUUCUAUUAUGAAACUAAUAGUCCUUCCUAGUGCUAACUAUCACUUUGAACAAAUGUGUCAUCUCUAACAACAACUUCCAAACUUGCAGCUACCUGCUACUCAGCAUUAGAAGCGAUAUCCACCUUGGCUUUCAACCAGCUGUAAUUAGGAGGAUGGUACCAUUGUUUCUGUUUGUCAAUUUCCUUCCUUGAAGCAUAAACCUUAAUUAGGAGGAGGGCAAGCUUCCAAAUAACAUUCCAAAUAGUAUUGUGAAAAUUUUUCACCCUUUUGGUCAUAAAAAAGAACCUUAUUUCUAGUUCUCUAUUAACAAUUUUAUCACUUUAAGUUCUCUCUUUACUAGAAAUAUCAUAUAUAUUAUUUUGUUGUUAAUAUAAAUACGACUAAAUAUUUAUGAUUUAAAGAUAGUUGUUGAAUGGAGGCCGUCACACACACACACACACACACACACAAAAGUAUUUAAAAGCAAUGGUGAUAUCAUAAUUUUUUGUACUGAUAUGAGAAUAUUACACUAGAUUUUUUUUAUGCAUUACAAAAAGUUUGAAUUCAAGAAUAAAUAAGCAAUAUCGGGAGCAAAUUUUACAAAAAGUCUCCAGGACAUGUCAUACGAAAAAUAGUAUACUAGUCAGUAGAUCUUCUUUCUACAUUACAAAAAAUUAGAAAUGCGAUCUAAAUCGAUAUCAAUUACUAAUUUUAUAGUGAAUGGGUCCUUCAUGAAAACAAUGAAUAUUUUUAUAAUUUAAGAAAUUAUUAGCCAUUUACCAUGAGUUUACUUUGUGUCCAAAAAUACUACGGAAACUUUAACUUGUUUAGUUUUUUUACCUUAAUUUAUAAUUUAUAUUAGUCGCUCAUUAAAAAAAUAGAAUUGCCUCAUAAAAUGAUAAAAUAAAAACAAACACAAAUGACAAUACUAGUUGCUUUAUAAGGAUAAUCCAGUCCUUUCGGCACCAAAUUACUGGUUAAAUUAUUUUUAGACUGAGUGACGAAGGGUCAUUUUAAUAUUCAUGGCCAUUUAAUCUAUCUAAACAUGAUAUUUCGAGUAGACUUAUGUUUGCGUAGGAGGCUAAUGUAAAAAAAGUGGCACUUUUAUUCAACUGAAUAAAUUUCACAAUUUAAAUUAGAAAACGAUAAAAUUUCAUAAUUAACUAUUAUUUGAACUAAUUGAAUCGGGAGCCAUCAUUUGUAGCGGCCCCAAAAGCAUAACAUUAUUGUGAGUAAUGUAUCCUACUUGCAAAAUAAACGGCAGAAGGCGGUUUGGGGACGGAUUAUCGAGGUAUUUGUUAAUAUUCGGAAAUGGAAAGAAAAGGGCAAAUAAAAUUUUAACUUAUUAUUAUUAUUAAAGAUUAGACAAAUAAAGGAGCUGUUUGAGUUUAAAUCUCAAAUCAAACCGUACCCAUCGCAAGUAAUGCAUGUGCACAUAAAAUUAUAUUUUGGUAAUUCUUUUCUUCUUUUUUAACCCCAAAUAAUCAAAAGCUCUCCAAUGGCAUUCGUAUCCACAACUCGUUCCUUUCAUUUUACUUCAAUUUCAAUAUCAGCUCUUAGAUGUAAUUUCUCAUCUUCGUUCCCUCAUAUCGGAAAACCCACAUCUUCAAUUUCGGAAAAUAAGCCCUCGUAUCCGACCACAACAGCUAAACUGAAGGAGUCGCUACGACUGACAGUCAAAGACCGAGCCUCACUCGAAAGAUUCCUCAAAGAAAGGUGCAAAUCAUCAGGUCAAGGUGAUAUUAAUCUUAUUACUCCUAAUGAAGCCUUUUGUAUCUUUGAUUACAUGCUCCGUAUGCACCCUUCUCCGCCUCAUGUCUAUUCCUUCAAUAUUUUGUUUGGUUGUCUUACUAAGAAUAAACAUUAUGAUACUGUCCUUUCACUCUUCAAGCGAUUCAAUUCAACUGGGUUGUUUCCAAAUCUUUAUAUUUACAAUAUCUUGAUUAACUGCUUUUGCAAAAUGGGUCGAGUUUCUCAUGGUUUUGUUGUUCUUGGGAGGAUCCUCAGGUCUUGUUUUACUCCAGAUGCUGUGACCUUUAAUUCUUUGAUUAAAGGUUUGUGUGCGGAGAGUAGAAUCAUGGAGGCUGCCGCAUUGUUUACGAAACUUAGAGUGUUUGGUUGUGAGCCUAAUGUUUUUACAUACAAUACUUUGAUUAAUGGAUUGUGUCGAACUGGCCAUACAAUUGUUGCUCUAAAUUUAUUUGAAGAGAUGGCUAAUGGAAAUGGGGAAUUUGGUGUUGUUUGUGAGCCAAAUACUGUUACAUACACUACUAUUAUUGUAAGGAAGGUUUUGUGGACAAGGCCAAGGAACUGUUUCUGCAGAUGAAGGAUAACAAUAUUAACCCUAACGUGGUUACCUAUACCUCUGUGAUUCGUGGUUUUUGUUAUGCUAAUGAUUGGAAUGAGACCAAGUGUUUGCUAAUUGAGAUGAUGGACCAAGGGGUACAGCCUAAUGUUGUGACUUUCAAUGUCAUCAUGGAUGAGCUCUGCAAGAAUGGAAAGAUGGAUGAGGCAAGUUGGUUGUUGGACCUGAUGAUUCAGUUUGGUGUGCGUCCAAAUGCUUUUGUCUAUAACACAUUAAUGGACGGGUUUUGCUUGACAGGUAGAGUUAAUCGUGCGAAGGAACUAUUUGUUUCUAUGGAGAGUUUGGGUUGCAAACAUACUGUUUUUAGUUACAGUAUUUUGAUAAAUGGUUACUGCAAGAAUAAGGAAAUAGAGGGAGUGUUAACCCUUUAUAGCGAAAUGCUCUCUAAAGGAAUUAAGCCAGAUGUUGUUAUAUAUAACACCUUGUUUAUUGGCCUUUUUGAAAUACACCAGGUUGAGCGUGCUUUCAAGCUGUUUGAUGAGAUGCAAUGUGAUGGCGUGGCAGCUGAUACCUGGGCAUAUACAACCUUUAUUGAUGGGCUCUGCAAGAAUGGUUAUAUUGUAGAGGCAGUUGAACUAUUUCGUACUUUGAGAAUUCUCAAGUGUGAACUUGAUAUUCGAGCCUACAACUGCCUCAUUGAUGGAUUAUGUAAAUCCGGCAGACUCGAAAUUGCAUGGGAACUAUUUUGUGGUUUGCCUCGUGUAGGCCUAAUGGCAGAUGUUGUAACAUAUAACAUCAUGAUCCAUGGGCUUUGUAAUGAUGGGCAAAUGGACAAGGCACAUGGUUUAUUUCUUGAUAUGGAAGCAAA
rnacentral:lncRNA from 1 species